CUCUAAACAUUGCAAACUCCUCAGGUUCUCGGGAAAUUUCUCAAGUUUUGUACAGAAACUGACAUUUAGAAUUUUGAGAGAACUCAAAUUACAAAUGCUUUCUGGAAGACUCACAAGGUUGGUGCAUUCUGCAAGAUUCAAAUAUUGAAGCCCUCUUAAAUAUUGAAUUGAUGUUGGUAGUUCUUCUAUAGCAGUUCCAUCUAAAUGAAGCUCUCUUAAAUUUUCCACAUCCUCAAUGAUUUCCGGAAAGCUCCUUAAUCGUAAACAGCCUGAGCAGAAGAGAGUUGUAAGGGAUUUCAACUCACAAAUGCUACUGGGAAGACGCUCAAGGUUUUUGCAUUCUCGCAAACAUAAGCUAUUAAGUUUAGGGGGACACUCAAUAGUGGGCAGUUCAUUGAUGGCAUUUCCCUUUAAACAAAGCUUCCGUCGGGAUUGCACAUCCUCUUGACAUUCCCGGCAAAUGGUGGGUAUCAUUGCUUUACCAUUGUUCUUUUCAUGAUCAUGGGCAUAUAUAAGAUGGAUCCCACACUCUUCCACUUUCAUUGCUUUACCACGUGAGAAGCCACAAAAUGAAGCUGUCAACUGCCUCCAUUUAUUUGAGGGGUACUUCUUCACAAUCUCCACCUUCGGAUAAUAAGUCAUCCACAUUUUUCGUAGAACAUCAUAGCAUUGACACGAGGGAUAAAACGAGAGUUUAUCCACAAACUGAAUUUUAUGACCACACAAAGUCAAACCAUACUCGAAGUAAGUUGCUUCAUUCUCCAGUGUCUCCUCAGAUUCAUUAUCAAGUGGAUCAUAGAGAGAGUACAAAACAAAACCCAACAAGUCGUUAUUUUUAUACCAAUUUUGAGGAAGCUUUGCUACUACUUUAGCUCCCUUUUUGCGAUGGCUUAUCCAUUUUGGCAUUCCACAACUUACUGAAAUAAUAAGAUUUACUCGGGUAAAACGUUUUUCUCUAGGAUAAAUCUCGCAUUCAAAAUCCUGCACGAAAUUUAAUCAACACGUAAAUCCCUAUGUCUCCACAAAAAAAGUUUUGUUCUAUGAAUAUCAUACCUGAAUCACUGAUUUGAAGCAGUUGAAUAGAGAAGACCAGAGUAGACCUGAAGAAGUUUCCAGCCGUGUGCACUCAUGUACAUCUAAGACACGCAAACUGGAUGGAAGCGCUGGAAUUUGUCGAAGCUCUUGACAGUGACCCAAGUCAAGGAGUCUCAGCAUAGAAAGUUGAUUGACCCCAGCAGGUAUGCUCCUAAAAAGAUUCCCGAAUAGCAGUAAUUGUCGCAGAGACGAUAGGUGGCAAAUUUCGGUGGGGAUUCCUCCUUCAUCUAUACUGCAGAAAGAUAGAUCUAACGCUUUCAACGAGUACAAGCAGCAAAUAUCACUCAGGAUUUCUCCUUGCAUUAGCUUUGACCCAUGUAGAAUUAACUUCUCUAAGGAGCAUAAACCUGACAAAGAAAGCAAUUGGCAACAUGUUGAAUUUAAGCCACAAGCAUGGAGAUGCUUCAAGCUUUGCAGCCUCCCCAGGUUUUGUGGCAAUUUGUGGAGUUUUGAACAGUAACUGACAUCGAGAACUUCAAGAAAGCAUAAAUUAGAAAUGCUUUCUGGAAGAGUCACAAGGUUUUUGCAGCCAUCCAGAUUCAAAACUUCAAGCCUAUUCAAAUGUUCGAUUGAUGAUGGUAGCUCUUUUAUAGCCGUUUCAUUCAAGUGAAGCUCCCUUAAGUUUUCUAUAUUCUCCAAGACUUCUGGAAAGUAUUGUAAUUGUGAACAGUGAGAGCAAAAGAGAGAUUUAAGGGAUUUGAACUCCCAAAUGCUUGUUGGCAGACUCUCAAGGUUUUUGCACUCUCGCAAACAUAAGGUAUCAAAUUCAGAGGCACGCUCAAUGGGUAGUAGGCUGAUUGUCUGACCCUUUAAACAAAGCCGUCGGUGUUCCACGUUCCUCUGACAUUCCAAGCAGCUAGCAUCCACAUCCCCAGUCUGUACUAUUGGAUCUUGGGCGUAUAUAGGUUGGAGCCCACACUUGACCACCUUAAAAUGAUUGCGAGAGCCCAUAAAUAGAGCCUCAAGACACAUGAAUCGAUUGGUGUGACAGCUCUCCAGAAUAGCAGCCUUGGGAUAGAAUAUCACCCACAUUUGUUCUGAUACACCUCCAUUAUGGUAGCAUUUACAAGCAGUGCGAAAACUGAGAUGUCGCACACGUAGGGAAGAAAAUCCAUGUACUUCACUCAAUGACAAUUGACAUUUUAACUCAGUGGAGAUUGAAGAUUCAGCUUCAAGUAAAUCAUCAUAUUCAUUUAGGGCUUCGUCACCAGAUUCAUUCUCGGAUGUAUGUGCCAAAUCAUUUUCUGGUAUGUCCUCACAUUCAUCAAGUGGAGCAUAAACAAAGCAUAUAGCAAUUCCCAAGAAGUCAUCAUUUUCAUUACAAUUCAGAGGAAGCUCCAUUGUGGUCUGAUAUCCCUCUCUCUGAUUCCUUAUCCACUUGGGAAUUCCACUGCUUCCCGGAACAACAAUACAGAUUCCAUGGUCAUUGUAGUGAGAAUCAGCGAGAAAUACUCCAUUUGAAUUGCUCUCGUGUUUCAAAUCCUGCACAAAAGGUCAAUGAAAAUCCAGUGGGUCUGCCAUUAUGUGAGUUUUUAUGAGAGAGUUUGUUAUCAGUUUUCGAUAAAUUGAUUCCCAGUAUUAACUUUCUUUGAUCUAUGCUCCUGAAUCUACUUAAUAUCCCUUUUAGAUGACGGAUAAUCAAUCAACAUGAAAGUGAAUGCCAAGAUUAAGUCUGGAAACUGGAAGUGAGUGGAAACUGAAACCGAAAGUGAGUAGAAUAAGCAGAUCUCUUCUUCACUUGCAGUAGCUUCUUCUCCAUACAGAUUCAUAGAUCUUAGAAUUGUAGCUUCAACUUAACUCUCAAAAUCUUGAAGACAAAGUUCGCUCAAGUUUUAAAAACUCACAGAAAAAUUUCUCCUCAUGUUUCUCUUAAUCCCAUGAGGUGAGAUACAUGUAGCACACACUUAUUGGCUUUUUUCCAUGCAAGUUUCAAGGUGGAGCGUCUAAUGAACUAAAACAUUCCCUCAAAUCCUAGUGGAAAUUCACACUAGAAAUUUCAGAAUUUGCUAAAGAAAGGUUAAUUCAUUUUAUCCAUGAAUAAAAAAAGCAUGUGAGGACAUUUUAACUUCCUAAUAAUUAUUAUAUUAAACUAUAAUUCUCAUUAUUUAAACUUAUGAUCCUUAACUUUAUCAUCACAAUUUGAAGAGACAUUCGUCAUCUCUUCCAUGAAUUAAUUGAUGUUUAAGGAGGUAUAAUAAACUUUUAAUUGAAUUUAUAAACUAUUAUUAUUUUUUUAUACUCUUAUCAAAAUAAAUAAAAACUUAACAAAAAAAAAAAAAAUCAAAACAAACUUUGUAAAGUUAUCAACACUUAUUUACAUCCUUCUUUUUUUUUAAAAAAAAAUUAUAAUUAAAAAAAAUGUAAUUUAAAAAUUAUAAAGAAUAAAAUAUUUAGAAAAAUGUACUAGUUAUUUGAAAUAAAAUAUAAGGGAAAUCAAAAUUCUUAGUAAAUGAAUCGUCAAAACAACUAUAAUAGCUAUACAAAUGAGAAAAAAAAAUUAAAAGUAAAAAAAAAUUAUGAAUGUCAAGAAUGAGAAACAAUUUUUUUCUUUUUUUUUUUUGUAAAUUAUUUUUAUUCUUAUUUUAUGUAUUCAUUACAAUUUUUAAAUUAAUAAAUAAAGUUUUUAUCACAAAAUUUUAAAAUGGUAUGUAUGCUUUAAAAUUUAUAUGUUGUUCUUAGAUUUUUAUAAAUUUCGUUUAUAUCUUUCAAAUUAGAAUUAUUAAACUCACAUUUUAAAAUAAGAUAUCAAAUAGUUAUUUUUUCAUCCUUUAGCAAUAUCAAAUGUUUUUUGUACUUUAAUAAAAAAAAACUAUUUUUCUCUAAUUAAUGACUAUUUUGUAUAGUAUUUGGAUAAAUUAUUUAAUAUAUAAGUAUUACUUAUUUAAUAGUUUAUUUUUUUAAUUUAUUAGAGAAAGAGUGGUGCAUAUAUAAUUCAAAUAAAAGGUAAUUUCGUAUUGCAAGAAAGUUUGUGGAAAAAGGAAAUUUGAACAAGGAUUGAAAUUUAUAGGAACCAUAUUGGACACCUAGUUUUAGGUUUGUUCCAUUCGAACAAUCAUGACUUGAUAGUAGCCUAAUCUCAAAUCUAACUUUGUCAAGCCCUUCCUUUACUAAGUUGAUCAAACAAGUUGUUAACAAGCAGAAUAAGAUAUUUUUCACUUUCACCUUGUUGAGUCUUCAAUAAUCGAUACACAUUCAGAGGGAUCCAUUAUGUUUCUUUUAGAAUAAUAUUGGUGUGACAUGUGAAGCUUUAGUUUGUUGGAUGUAUCCCAUGUUAAGCAACUCUGUAAGUUGUUUCCUUAGUUCUUCUAAAUUAGGCAGUGCCAUCCUAUGGGACCCCUAUGGCAAGGGGCUUAGCUUCUGGCUCUAAGUCAAUUUUGUGCUCCCAUUCCCUUAUUUAUGUGAGUUUCUUAUGUAACUUUAAUAGCAUCUAAGGAUGGCAAAGUUUGAUACAAUUUGUCAACCAGACUUGAACCUGAGGCAUUUUUAGUGGGUUUGGGUUGAGUAUAAUCAUGUUUAGGUCAAAUUUGUGUAAACCUAAAUAACUUGUUUAAUAAAUAGGUUGUUUUUUUUAGUCAAACUACAUAAUACAAAUUUCACCUAAAUUGAGUUGUGUAAUAAUGAUGUUAAUUAACUAGAUUAUAACCAUAACCUAUUUAACCCACAUUUGACUCAUUUAAAACUUGAUUUUGAAUAAGUAGGUUAAUUAAGUCAUAAACAUGUCAGAUUGGGAAGUUAAUCAUAUUAACUUAAACAAGAUCUAACUUGACAUUAUUAUUAAAUAGGACAUUAUUAUUAAAUGGACUAUAUGACAUGUUACUUAUUUAAUAAUUAGGUUAUGCCCGAGUUCAUUCUUUUAACCUAAUUAUUAUUUUUGUGUCAUGUUUGAAUUGAUUUAUUUAAUCAAGUGUCUUUGCUUUGACACAUUGUGAACAUGAUCCACCAACAUGAAUUGUCACUUCUAGUGGCAUCACAUACUAGAACUCUUCAAGUACCACCUCAAUUACCUUGUGAAUGAGUUCCCUUAUUGUAUCAUUCUUUUCCUCCUUUAAUAUAGCCAAGUAGGUCAUUUGCUUAUUCUUCAAUACCUUCUUUACUUGCAUAGUUGAUAGCAAGAGGAUCUCAAGUGUACCUCAAUAGCUAAUGUCAUGAUUCAUUGUAAAUUUUGUCUAAUGUGUAAUCAUAUAUACAAAUGCACUCACCUUAAAAACCUCAUCCCAAUGACUAAGACAAGUCAUCCCUCCAAUUAGAAGGUAGUGUAUUAUAAUCUCAAAUGGAUUGUCUAAAUCCAUCAACCAACCAUGAACAAAUCAUAAAUCUUGCAAGGAACCCAUGACUUAAAUCUUCCGCGUAACUCCUAAUGCAUUUUAGUCAUGUACAAUACCACUAAUGCAUGCAUGCAUACUCAAAUCAAUAUCAAUGUGAACAAAGAUAAAUUAGUGGAAACUCAAGCCUAAAUUUGUUACAUCAUGUCUUGCUUGCAAGGGCUAUAUUUUAACACAAAUAACCAAAUAGGUUCUUGAAAUACAAUAUAAUAUGUGCUAUCUCUCAGAGCACUUUAUUUUUUGUUUCAAUAACUUCAUUUUUCUAUGAAGUUUUAGAUGUUGAAAGCUCUUCUUUAAUUUCCUUCUCCUCACAAAAACUCUAGAAGUCAGAAUUAUAAACUCCUUUCCUCUAUUAUUUCUUAUUGAAAAUCCAUUUUUAUUCAUCAUUUGAAAGCAUAACACUUUGAAUCUUAGGAUGUACUUCUUUCUUCCUAGGCAUUGCACUCUCAUAGGACCCAUUAAAUCCACAUGCAACAUCUUUAAGAUCCUAGAAGAAGAGAAAAUCGUCUUUUUCUCUCACUCAUCUGAAUUCAUUUUCCUAGAUAGAAUAAAUAGGAUUUUUAGGCUUUCCUAAAUGGGACUUGCUUUAAUUAGUUCUUUAUUUGUAAUCCUAGACAAAUCAUUAGAGUUUAAAUGCACUAUCAUAUAAUGCUAUAUGUCUUUGGAUGUAAAUUUCACAUUUUACAACUAUGUGCACUAGAUGAUGAGGAAGAAGUAGAGAGGCGUACAAAGGCAUAACAAACAAUAUAAAAAAUUCUAUUUCUUACCAACACACAUCCUUGAAUAGACACUAAUUUUGAGUAAAAUGAACAAAGCACAUACAAUCACAAAUUUAACUUGCGUUAAUUAAGUUUGCUUUCAAUCCCUCAAUAUAUAGUAACUCCUUGAGCAUAGGUAAAUUUGGACCUUCUAUGGUACCUUUUGGUUUCAAGUUGGUUAUAUGUAAUCCAACCAUCCCCAAAUACAACCAAACUUCCCUUUAUAGGUUCAAACGUGGAGAAAGACUCUAAGUUCAUUGUUGCUUUUACCUUUCCCAAAUACAACCAACUCCUUCUAUGAGUCCAAAAGUCAAGGAAGAUCUAAGUUCUAUGUCAUACAACUAGAGUAGCCACUCUCAAAAUCCAAAACGUGUUUUUCUCUAGCUCUUAGGCCCUAUGGUUAACUAAGGCUUUUUGGUUCUCCUUCUUUACCCAAUUUAUCUUUCCAAUGGGAAAUUUAAAGCCUAUUUAAGAAUUAUUUUUAAAAUUAAUUUUCCAGUUCUUAAAAAUAGAAACCUAUUUUCUAGACUAAAGCCAUGUUUGGUAACUUUUUGACAUAUUAUAGUUUUUUGAGAACUUGUUAUGAAAAUAAGGUAUCUCCUAAUAACAUAUUUUAAUUGCUUUCAAGUGUUUUCAUUUAUUUUGUAGGGUUGUUUUAAGAAAAUAAUGGUAAAAAUAUAAAGAAUGAUGAAAAAUAAAGAACUAAAAAUAAAAGUUAUUUUUAAGAAAUAUUUGGAAAUACAAAAAAUAUAUUAAAAACGUUCUAAGUUUCUAAAUAGACUUUUAUUUUAGAAAACAUUAGACCAACUAUUUUUGAAAACUUUUUUCAAUAAUGGUUUUGUAAGAAUUAUUUUUUAAAAAAAAAAAAAUCCUAAACAAAGCCUUAACCUUUGAGGAUCUAAAACUUUGCACUAAGUUUGGUGUUUUAUUGUUGGAUUUUCUUAGUCUUGCAAGCUUUAUGAUGAUCUUGCAAUAUUUUCUUUAAUUUACAUUUCAUGUUACCUGAGCAUUCAGUUUGGCUAAGUAUUGAAGAAUAACUUUGGCUUACAUUCAACUUUUUUUAUGGACAAAGGAAUGGAGCUAGAUCAGAUUUCUUUCAAUUUAGUCAAUUUUGAUUUACAUGGCUCAUAAUCAGAUUGUAAGACAUUCAAAUUUUUUAACAAGGUACCGUGCUCAUUUUCAAGGUAAGAGAUUUUUUUAAAGCAAGGAAGUCUUCUCUCAUACUUCUUUUAUUCUCAUCCAACUUUCACAAUUUUCAUCUUAAGGCACUGAUCAUACAAGGCUUCCUUGGCAAUCUCAAAUGACAACUUUUCUUCCAAAUAUGUUGUAUCAUGAGACGAACCUUCAAAAUUUUCAUAUUCAAGAUCAAUUUCAAAUUUAACAUUUUUCUUUUCAUUGAAAAGUGAUAUAGAAGGUAGCAAGUAUAUCAACAAUUUCCUCAGGCUUAUCAUGCUCAAAAGACACAAAUAUCAUCAACGUCAUGUGAUAAUAAAUCAUAAUUAUGUUUAUGCAUGUUUCCAGCAAAUUAAUGCAAUAAAAUUUCUACAUUCUUCAUCAAAAUCAUACCAAAUUACUUCUAUGACCUUAUCCUUUUGACAUUCAAGAAAGUGACCUUUCUUGACAUAGUAGAAGAAACUUUGAAUCAACUAGAUCUUUUUAGUGCUUUUUAUCUUUUUAUCACAUUUCUUUUCCCUUGUUUAUGGUCUCGAAGAGGUUAUCCUUUGUUUCUUGAAGCUUUUUGAACUUUUUGAAAGGUUAUCAAACCUAUAAAUUUCAAAUAUUGCUCAUUUUUUAUUCCUAUUCUGAUUCAGAUGCAUGUUUAAUUUUUUUGAUAGAUAACACAAAUAUAUUAAAGGGCAAAGGCCACCAAGCAUACAGGAAGUAUAGAAAUCAGCCUCAAAACGAGAGCACAAAAAAACAAGCACCCUUACCCUCCUUUAAGUGGCCGCUAGCCACUUCAAAAAACCUAAGAGUGAAGAGGACUCCUCUCCAAUAUACACCCUAGCCCAACUCCACAAGGUACAAACAAAAGAAUUUUUGAGUUUUUUUAUAUUUAACACCCCUCCCUUAAAAGCUAAUCUAUUCAUUUCCUUCCAUAUCAUUCAAAAAAUACACAACGGGAUAGAAUUCCAAAUUUUUUUCCUUUUUUUCCCCACAAAGGGACCCCUCCAACUGAAUAACACCUCCUUCACUAACUCUGGGAACACCCACUGAACCCCCACAUGGGCAAAAACGAUUUCCCAUAAGGCCCUUACCACUAUACAAUGUAAUAGAAUGUGAUUUACACUUUCCUCUUCACAGCCACACAAAAAACAACAGUUAGGAAACUGCCAACCCCUUUUUUGAAGCCUAUCCAAGGUGAGAAUCUUCCCUCACGCCACUUCCCAAGCAAAAAAUGCCGCUUUGGUUGGGACCUUGUCCACCCAAACGCAUCUAUACGGAAAGUCGCAAGCAUUGAUAACAACCAGCCCGUUGUAGGCACCCUUCACCCCAUACUUACCAUGGCCUCCCCUUUCCAAAGCACCACGUCCUCCUUUGAAGAUAUCUUGAAGUCCCUGAGCAUAUUAAGCAAUCCUCUAAUCAAGUCCAGCUCCCAAUCAUUGAAGUCUCUAUGAAAUCUAAGAUUCCAACCUCCUUGACCACUGCUAUGAUCCCACAUCUCAUUAACCGUUGCAUUCUUAUUGACCACCAUCUCAAAAAGCUGGGGAAAAGAAUGGGACAACAUCUCAUUCCCACACCACUGGUCAGUCCAGAAUUUUACUCUAGUCCCUUUCCCUACCUUAAACUUUAUGUUAUCCCAACACCACUUAGCUUCCUUCAUAAUCUCCUUCCAAACCCCCACUCCAUAAGUACCACGGGCUUCUUUAGUUCUCCACCCAAACUCUUCCUGACCAUAUUUCACCCUAAUCAUUAACCUCCAGAGGUUAUCCUUUUCAACGGCAAAUCUUCAUAACCAUUUACCCAACAAAGCUUUGUUUAGAGAGUCAAUCUUCCGAAUGCCAAGGCCACCUUUCUCCCUUUAAGUGCACACCACCUCCCAUUUAAUUAAGUGGACUUUCCUCUCCAAGCUACCCCUUCCCCAAAGAAAGUCUCUUUGUAAUUUUUCGAGUUUAUUUACAACACUCUUCGGCAUUCGAAAAAGGGACAUAUUGUAAAUAGGAAGGCUGGCCAUAGUAUUCUUGAUUAAGGUGAUACGCCCUCCCUUCGAAAUAUAGUCUUUUCCACUAGGCUAAUCUUUUCCUCAUUCUCUCUUCCACCCCAUCCCAAAUAGAGACAGCUUUGUGGUGAGCUCCAAGGGGCAGCCCCAAGUAAACAGUGGGCAGCAAUCCCACUUUACAACCAAGCUCCACAGCCAUCUCCUCAAUAUCUUCCACCUCACCAACCGGAAUUAAAACGCUUUUAUCUAGAUUAAUUCUGAGACCGGAAGCCGCCUCAAACCAAGCCAAAAUCCAACUUAGAGCGGACAGUUGCUCUUUGCUAGCUUCACAAAAGAUGAUCGUGUCAUCAGCAAAGAGAAGAUGGGAAACUAUCAUCUCCUCUUCCUCUCUCCCCCAAAUUCUACAACCUGACAAGAAGCCCCCAUCAACCGCCCUUCUAAUAAGAUUACUAAGUACUUCUAUACCCAACACAAAAAGAUACGGGGAGAGGGGAUCUCCUUGUCUUAGCCCCUUGGAAUUCGAGAAGAAACCAACCGGCACCCCAUUGAUCAUGACUGAAAAUUUGGCGGUUGAGAUGCACCACCAAAUCCACUCCAUCCACCGCGACCCAAAGCCCAUUUUAAGUAGAACUUUUAUGAGAAAGUUCCAAUUAAUUCUGUCAUAGGCUUUCUCAAUGUCCAAUUUACAGAUCAGCCCUUUCUCGUUCCUCUUGUGCCAAAAAUCGAUCACCUCAUUGGCAAUAAGAGACGCAUCCAAGAUCUGUUUGCCCCUCACAAAGGCGUUUUGGUCCCCGGACACCACCUUAUCUAACACCUUCUUUAGCCUAUUUGCCAACACCUUAGCCAAAAGCUUGUACAAACCCCCUAACAAGCUAAUUGGCUGGAAAUCACCCAAGUCUUCAGUCCCUCAUUUCUUAGGAAUGAGGACUAUAAAAGUGGAAUUAAGGCUUUUGGCAAAAGAACACUGGUCAUAGAAUUCUCUAAACAAUUCCAUAAUCUCCUCCUUCACUAGCUCCCAGCUUGAUUGCCAAAAAGCAAUUGUGAAACCAUCUGGGCCCAGAGCUUUAUCCCCAUUCAUACCUAUUAGGGCAGCAAAAAUUUCCUCUUCAGUAAACUGCACCUCCAAGGCUUCAGCUUCACAUGAAUUUAGACGCUUAAGGUGCAGUCCCUCAAUAUCCGCCCUCCAGUCUGGUUCUUUUGAAGGCACCUGCUGAAAAGCACUCACUAUUCCCUCUCUCAUCUCCUGUUCCUCAGUCAUCCAAACUCCAUUAAUUUUUAUUCUAGCCAGAGAGUUAUUCCUUCGGUGAGCAUUAGCCAUCCUAUGGAAGAAUCCAGUGUUUCUAUCUCCCUCCUUAAGCCACAAUUCCCUUGACAAUUAUCUCCAGUGGGUCUCCUCCAAUAAGACCCAUUUUUUAAAGGAAUCCUUGGCUUCUUUUUUCAGUUCAGUUUCACCUUCAGACAAGCUCCUUUCCCUUUCCACCCUGUCCCAAAACUCCACUUGUUGAAGGGUUGAGUUCUUAUUGGCUUCCAGUCUACCAAACACCUCCCUAUUCCACACUUUAAUCUUUUGUUUCAGCACCUUCAUUUUAGUGGCUAGUCUGACACUGACCCUCCUUCUUACCUCAACUUCCUGCCACCAACCCCUAAAAAGAUCCGUGAAGCCAUCAACUUUAAGCCACAUAUUUUUAAACCUAAACGGGGACGGACCUCUCCUUAACCCACCCCCCAUCAACACGAUAGGAAAGUGAUAUGAGGUAGGUCUGGGCAGCCUACAUUGCAUGACCUCAUUGAAAUGGUCAAGCCAACUCUGGGUCACCAGGAACCUAUCCAACCUGGCCCAAGCCUGAUUAUUUCUCCCCCUACUCCAAGAAAGCACCCCUCCUUGCAAUGGAAGAUCAAUGAGUUCUAGCUUAUCAGCAACCUGAGCAAACCUUCUCAUUGCACUCGUUAGUCUUCCCUGAUUGCUUCUUUCCCUCAGUGACAGGAUAACAUUGAAGUCACCCCUUAGACACCAAGGAUCCUCCCAAAUGCCUCUAAUUGCUCCUAUCUCCUCCCACAUCCACUCCCUUUCCUCUCUAGAGAAGGGCCCAUACACCCCAGUAAACAUCCAAACUAGCCCAUCUUCCACGUUCCUCAUCCUACAAGAAAUUGAGAAGUUUUCCACUUCCAUUUCCAUUACUUCCAAGGUCCUCUUAUCCUAGCAAAUCAGUAUCCCUCCCGCAGACCCAUGGGCAUCCAGAGUACCCCAAUUAAGAAACCUACCAAUGCCUAAGCUUCUCACCAGGCCCUCUGUCAUUGCCUGAAUCUUGGUCUCCUGGAGACAGAACAGAUCCACUCUUUGACUCUUGAUCAUGACCUUAAUCACCUUUCUUUUUGAGCUAUCGUUAGCUCCCUGAACAUUCCAACUCAAGAUUCUUAGCUUCAUUUAACCACCAUAAUCUGACACCCUCUUACUAGCAUUCCACUCUUCUGCUUCUUCCCCCCCUCGUAGUUAAUAGAGCAUUCCAACCUUUUCAAUUCCCUUUCAAACUUGGAUUUUUUUAGAAGGUUUUUGUUGUGGACUUUUUCCCUUCUUUUUUGGAUUUUAAUCAGAAAAUCCAAAAUUUCUUUCUCCAAACCUUCUGUUGAAAAUCCCAAGAACUUACUGAAUUUGGCCAACUCACUCUCCUCCCAACUUUCCUUCUCCCAUCCCUUUCCAUCUCGUGGCAUAGAUUGGGCUAACCUCAAUUCCUUUCCACAGCUAUCCUUGCAGUCGCUUGGGCCCUCCAUCAAAUCCUAGCGGCUUGCAUUCUCCUCUUCUUGGGAUCCCAGGGGAAGAAGCAUGCGUAAGGGGGUUUAUCUCAGGUGAGUCACCCUAUCAUCCCCAGAAAGGUCGCAAAACUCCCCCAAAGGAGUCCGACCAAAAAAGAAAAGAGAAGAAGGAGAGGGUCCAGACGCCAUCAAACCACAAGGGAUAGGAGCACACCCGUACCUCGACGCUUCUUCAAUUAGGGCACAGUCGGUCCUUAACUUCUCCGCGAGAAAGAGCUCCACCUCAACUUGCCUCCGCCUGCCAUCAUAAUCCCAGAAAGGGAAGCAUUCAACAUCUGGCUCCCUCAGAUGACUUGGACCAGCCCACACAAGAGGCAAAGCCACUCCAGAGCAGCCCACCAAGGACUGGGCUGGAUCACGACAAUCUUCCCUCCCCGUCAGCCCGCACAUNNNNNNNNNNNNNNNNNNNNNNNNNNNNNNNNNNNNNNNNNNNNNNNNNNNNNNNNNNNNNNNNNNNNNNNNNNNNNNNNNNNNNNNNNNNNNNNNNNNNAAAGGGAAGCCUUCAGCAUAUGGCUCCUUCAGAUGACUUGGACCAGCCCACACAAGAGGCAAAGCCACUCCCAGAGUAGCCCACCAAGGACUGGGCUGGAUCACGGUAGUCUUUCCUCCCAGUUAGCCCACACGUCCUAGUGGACUCCACUGGUCUAAGGCCCUCUAAUGACGAAGGCCCUACAGAUGACGAAGGCCCAAUAGGAUGCGGCCCGGUCUUAGGUGAAGAAUCGAGCCCAUCGGACCCAACACCCAAGGCCCUAUGCAAGCCUUCUAGGUCCCCUAGUAAUGACCCAAUUGGGCCUCGAGACCGAGCCUAAAGGGACCCCGACCCACCUGUUUGCUCCCUUGUCCCAUCAGCAAACUGCAGGUGGGUCUCGAGCCUCGCGCCGUCCACCACUUCCAUCACGCGCUUGCCCGCGCAUGUAGAGACAUCACCUUCAACCUCUCCUUCAACACCGCUGUUCUUUCCCCUCCUUUCUGCCGGCAGCACUCUCAUUACCGGCCUUAACUCCCACCAUAGGACAAGCAAAUAACACACCCCUUUGACCCCAAUUUCUAUCAUGCUAGGGAUCUCCUCGCCGGAUAAUUUCACCAAGAUUCUUGCCCACUGCAACUCUUCCAACCUCUCCGUCUGAGUAUCAAUCGCUAAGAGCCCCCCGCAUUUCUCCCUUACCUUUCUNNNNNNNNNNNNNNNNNNNNNNNNNNNNNNNNNNNNNNNNNNNNNNNNNNNNNNNNNNNNNNNNNNNNNNNNNNNNNNNNNNNNNNNNNNNNNNNNNNNNNNNNNNNNNNNNNNNNNNNNNNNNNNNNNNNNNNNNNNNNNNNNNNNNNNNNNNNNNNNNNNNNNNNNNNNNNNNNNNNNNNNNNNNNNNNNNNNNNNNNNNNNNNNNNNNNNNNNNNNNNNNNNNNNNNNNNNNNNNNNNNNNNNNNNNNNNNNNNNNNNNNNNNNNNNNNNNNNNNNNNNNNNNNNNNNNNNNNNNNNNNNNNNNNNNNNNNNNNNNNNNNNNNNNNNNNNNNNNNNNNNNNNNNNNNNNNNNNNNNNNNNNNNNNNNNNNNNNNNNNNNNNNNNNNNNNNNNNNNNNNNNNNNNNNNNNNNNNNNNNNNNNNNNNNNNNNNNNNNNNNNNNNNNNNNNNNNNNNNNNNNNNNNNNNNNNNNNNNNNNNNNNNNNNNNNNNNNNNNNNNNNNNNNNNNNNNNNNNNNNNNNNNNNNNNNNNNNNNNNNNNNNNNNNNNNNNNNNNNNNNNNNNNNNUAUCCUGAUUCAGAUGCAUGUUCAUCUACUUUUAGUGCAAUGUUAAUGUUUCUUCUUCUUAGGAACACUUAGGGUCAUCUCCAAUUGAAGGGAGCCAACUAUCUCAUCUAGCUUAAUUGAAUCAACAGUGUUCCAUUCCUCUAGUGUUAUGACCUCAGGUCUAAAACGAUCAGAGGGGAUCUUAACAGUUUUCAGGUAACCUUGGAAUCAAGUAUAUUCAGGGAUCUUACAUAGAUUGAAAAUCAGCAUUCACAAUGUCUAUGAUUUCAAUAAUAUAUUCAGAAAAUGUUUUUGUUGUGAUCAUUUGAAAUUCAUUCCUUCACCUAUCCCAACUAUACAUAGUUUUUCCUACCCUAGUGGAUAUAUAUCCCAUCUCUAUCUAGCACCAUAUCAGGAUAUCAACCAAAUUGAACAGAACUCCAAUCUCUAUCAGACUUCAUUUUCAGGAAGUACAUCUGUUUUACCUUGGAAUGAGCAUAAUUAUCUCCUUUGAAGUAUGGAGGUCUACCUAUAGAGGUUCCUUCUCGGUGAAUUUCCAUCUUAAGAGAAUAUAGUUUAUCCAUAUUGAGAGCAUGAGUAAACAUGUUUUGAUAUGAUUUAUGAGUUUUUAAGAGAGUAUGCUAUGAACUUGAGAUCUUUUUUAGAUGAUCAAAUAACAUAUGCACAUGAAUGUGAUUAAGUGAUUAGCACAAGGUCAUACGCUAAAAUGUCUCUAAUGAAAUCUCAGCAAACAAGCACACAAAUAUUGCACAAGAUAUAACAUAAAAAAUCUCUAAGGGGAGAAAGGAAAUAAAUAAAUAAAUAACAAUGGGUGCCUUUGUUGUUGCAAAUCCACUAUGAAUAUAAAUCCAGUUUUGCCUACAAGUCCUCCCAGAUCAAUCACCAAUCCCCUUAAGGAAUCCUCAGAGUGAUUAUUUCUUCAAUCCACACCUCUUUUUUAUAUGCUUCAAUAUGGCUCAUCAUGUGCUCACCACCAAUCUCUCGACAUAGCCUCCUUCAACUAUCUUCAAUUACCACGAUUUCUCUUCUCCUCCACUAAUUACAUUACAACAGAAUCACCUUCACUAUCUCAUUGAAGUGAUCUCCAAAAACUAUAAAACAAAAAUUCUAUUUGCAAAGCAACUUCUUCUUCAUAUAGAUUCAGAGAACCAAAAUAAGAAGAUGUUUUCACCUGUAGCAAAAUCUUCAUGUAGAUUUAGAGAACUGAAAUUGUAACUUCAAAUUCACUCUUAGAAUCUCAAUUAAGGUAAAGCUCUCUCACAUUUCAAAAUCCCCCACCAAGAGUUUCGCUUACUCUUCAUUUUGGAAAUGAGAGUAGAACCAACUUAGUGCCGAGGGACAUAAGGCACACCCUUAUGGGCCUAUUGUCAUGCAAAUUUUAAGGUGGAGCAUCCAACUAACUCAACAAAUGUUUUUUUGCUUCCAGCCAUUUGUUUCCAUGGUCUAGAAAAAUAUGUCCUAGAUGAUUCCCAUUGUUUCAACUCUUUCAUGAAAAAUGCUUCUCAAAUCACUCCGGUCUUUCACUCACAUUACAUGUGAACUCCAAUCUACAGUAGUGAAAUCCUAUUAACGAGCAACCUGGAACAAUUAGCUUAUCCUUUCAAUCCCAUUUUCAAGCUCAAUUCCCUCCACCAGUGAAAACAAAUGGUCUUAUAUGAUCAACUCCAUUCACUCCAGGGCUAUAAAGGAAACACUUGUGAGCUGGCAGGCAGUAGCUCCUCCCGACUCACCAUNNNNNNNNNNNNNNNNNNNNNNNNNNNNNNNNNNNNNNNNNNNNNNNNNNNNNNNNNNNNNNNNNNNNNNNNNNNNNNNNNNNNNNNNNGCAAUUCACCAAAGAAUGCAUAGGUGGCAAUGAGGUCCCAAUGGAGCUGUGCAUAUCUAACAGUCGCAGACUUGAAGGAAGCUCUGGAAUUUGUGAAAGCUUCAUGCAGUGACUCAAGUCAAGGGCUCUAAGGUUAGAGAGUUGACUGAUACCCACAAGUAUGUCACUGAGGGUUCCUCCUUCCUCUGGAUUGGACCGACUUAGAUCUAAUACUUCCAGUGAGGAUAGAUGGAAAAUACAAUGGAAGACUCCUCCAUUUAGAUUGCAGUUUCUUAGCCUUAAUUCUUUCAAUGCGUUCAAGCAGUUAUCACUCUUUAUUACUCCUGGUGUUAGAUUGCAUUGAUCUAAAUAUAGUUCCCUUAAGAGAGAUAAACCUGACAAAGAAGGCAAUUGACAACUGAGCGAAUUUAAAGAAAGAACCUCUAGACAUGGCAUUCUCUCCAGGUCCUCUGGCAAUCUGUCAAGUUUUGAGCAGCCUUCAAGACUUAGAACUUCAAGAAAUCUCAAAUUACAAAUGCUGUUCGGGAGACCCUCAAGGUUUUUACAAUUGUCCAAAUACAAGUUGCGAAGACCUUCUAGAAGUUCAAUCGAUGAUGGUAGCUCUUUAAUAGCUGUUUCAUCUAAACUAAGCACCUCUAGUUUUCCAAUGUUGCACUUGAUUUUUGGAAAACUAGUUAGUUUUGAACAGCCACUGCAAUGAAGAGUUAAAAGGUGCUUCAACUUAUGAAUGUCCCCAGGAAGACUCUCGAGGCUUACACACCCUAUAAAAUUCAAGGAAAAAAAAAGUUAGUUUUAUGACACUCUUAUAUGUGUGUGAACCUUAAGUAAAAUUAUACAACCUGAAAGAAUAAGUUCCUCCAAAUUUGGCACGUUUGAGAAAUUUGGUAAUUCAAUAAGCUGUUGUGAAUGACUGAGAUCGAUGUACCUUAAAUUUCUAAGACACUGGAACAAAAUAGAAUUUCUAUUAAUAAAUCAAUUUUAAAAAAUUUAAAAAUAUUAUGAAACAAAAGCAUAAAUAAAUAAUAAUCAUACCAUGUUUCCUUUCCAAAGUAGUUUUAUGUUACUAUUGCUCAAUUUGAGGAGAGCAAGAUCAUUUGGAUGAAAGUUUGAUGGUAGAGAUUCUAAAGAAUAUCCAUCCCAACUGAGACAUGUCAAGUCAUCAGACGAAAAUACAAAAUCUUCAGGAAGUUGUAUGCGAUUGUGGGAGACGACAAGCAAUCUAAGUCUAUUCAUCCUUUCGAAAGCUUUGCAUGUAAACUGUAUCUGUUCUGAUUUGUCCACAUCAAGGAAUAUCCCUUCAAUUUUUUCAGUCCCCUAGAUAAUAAGAGUAUAAAAUUAGAAAAGCACAAUACAUAUAAAUCCUUACUAAGGUGAUAAAGAUAAAUAACUUCUUGAACAAAACAUAUUUUCUAUAUAUAUAUAUCUUACCGUAUUUCUUUUUAAUACUCGAUAAAUAUCUGUAUGCCUCCAUAAUCUGCUCCUCUCUCCUGGCUCAUUAGGACAUUCUUCAUCAACAAUGCCCUUGCCCAUUUGGGCUAACAAAUCAUGCAUCUCUAUUGUCUUGUCCUUUGAAAUGGUUAUGAAACACCUAUCAACGAGAGCAUUUAUUCCACUUUCCGCAUUGAAUUCGGAACCAUCCAAUAUUCUUGAAACUAUUUCCACAUCACCUCCUUUAAAGAAACAUGCAAUGUCGAGAAAUAUCAUCCUUUGUGUAUAAUCCAAUCCAUCAAAACUUAUUUUAAGCACAUUUACAAUUUCCAUGUUAGGCACCUUUUCCAGCUUCCGCAAUUCGCUUUUCCAAUUUGGUAGUCUCUUUCCAAAUAAUAGAGAACCCAAAACUUUAAGUGCUAAUGGAAGACCAUCAGCAUAUCGUACUACUUGAUGAGAGAGAUCUGCAUAACCUUCCUUCAGAUGAUGUUGUUUAAAGGCAUAACGACAAAAAAGUUGAAGAGCUUCGUGAAAAUUUAAUUUCUUAACUUCAUAUAUAUCAUUCACUUCAUGCCUAGUUAGCAAAUCUUUUUUCCUAGUAGUAAUGAUGAUUCUACUUCCUGGACCAAACCAAUUAUGCUUUCCAAUCAAGUGUUCUAAUUGUGUCAGCUCAUCUACAUCAUCCAAAAAAACAAGAACCUUUUUUGAGGAAAGCUUAUCCCUUAUUAUUUUGAUACCUUCAUAAACAUUCUUUAAAACUAUUUGCCCCUUUGUCCUUAGAGUAUCAUCAAGAAGCUUUUGUUGUAACUUAAGAAGACCAGAAUUUUUUGUGGAUUCUUUCCUGACAUUUGUGAGCAAGCUAACACUUUCGAAUUGAUGUGAGAUUUGGUUAUAAAGAGCAUUGAUGAUGGUAGUCUUACCGAUUCCACCAAGACCAUAAACCCCGACCAUGCGAACAUCAUUCGACUCAAUCUUUAACAAUGAUAUUAGUUUUUCCAAACGAGAAUCCAUUCCAACAAUGUUCUCGUUAACACCUAAAAUCUUAGGUAAGUUUCCAUGAACGUUCUCAAUAAUUUCAUCAAUAAGCGUUGACUCAUACCUGCCAAUUGCAAAGCAUAAUAGAUCAUGUACUCAUGCAAUAGAAUGAGUAGCAAAAGACAAUAAAUUAUAUGAAAUAAAUUUAAUGAUGCCUACUUUUCCAACUAUAACUUAGCAGGGCUAAAAAUAAUUUAAAUUAAAAUAAAAUAAACCACAUCUAUCAAACUACUUAUGGGUACGAUUGCAUUAUUCUAUACAGUUGCUCGUGUGAUAGAAAUGAGGGAAGAAAAUGCAGAAUAUGAUUUGCAUUAUCAAAAGUGGAAAAAAGAAAUUGAAAUAUUUUUGUGUUAACUUGUCUACUCAAUCUUUUGGAAGGCUCAAAAUGAAGUUGACUUGUUUGGAAUAUUACUACCCUAUUUUGAUAAGGGAUUCCAUCACAGAAUCAACCACUAUUCUGCAUCCAAGCUUUUACGAUCAACGUUACCAUCUUUUGUACUUGCAUAACUUUCUCUCACCAUUCAUUUAGAUAAUGGUUCCCCUAGCUGUUCUUUAUUAUUAUUAUUAUUAUUUAUAAAUUUUUAUAAAAUUUUUUGAAAACCCUUUAAUCAAAAUAUAACUUUUAUAAAUUAAUUGAACAUAUUUUAUUUAUAAUUUUAAUUAUUUUGUCCGAAGGAAUUAAAAAAAUAUAUUUUAAAAGAAUAUCAAUUUUAACUUAAAAUAAUUUAGUAUAUUCUUUAUCAAGUGUAAAAUUUUAAUGAACAGAUUUUUAUUUUAUAAAAAAUAAAAAAUUUUAAAAUUUUAAAACUCACAUAGCUUUAAAUAUUUUUUAUAUCAGCAGACAGAGAAAAGGAGAGUACUUCAAGUGAAAAAUGAAAAGAAGUUACAAUUACCUGUUCUCCGCAACAUGUCCGGCUAGAUUGCCUGCUUGCUCCAUGGCAGUCCUCCAUUUCCUUAUCUUUUCCUUUCUCUCCUCGUCUGCAUUUUCCUCAUGACGGGUAAAUGCUUCUCCACAAAUCCCAGUUUGCUUCCGAACUUCAGACGGAUCCACAUUAUAGAAAAUUGGGAUAACUAUUUGUCCCCUUUCCUCUUUGCAUUCCAUGAUCUUGACAAGCUCGUCCAGACACCAUUUGGAAUGAGCAUAGGUUUUUGAGAAAACAAUAAUGGCAAUCCUUGAUUCUUCAAUAGCUUUUAAGAGCUCUGGUGCAAUCUCUUCUCCCCUUGGAAGCUCUUCAUCAUCUCUGAAGGUAUGAAUAUUGUUACGAAUCAAAGCCGAGUAGAGGUGAUCAGUAAAGCUUUUGCGAGUAUCUUCACCUCUAAAACUCAAAAACACAUCGUAGCUCCACUGAGAGUGAGAAGUGGAAGAAGAAGAGGGUCUCUGGAUGCUGGGGGAAGCCAUGGUUGAACAGAAAUUGGAGGAAAAAUAAGGGUCUUCGGGUACUGAGUAACUCAUUCCCCUAGCCUUACGUGAAGUUUGGAUGUUGGUGGUGGGAUGCGCUUUUUCUUUCUUAAUUAUUUCUCCCUAGCUGUAUCCCUCUAGCUUUGAAUGAUAGUGUGGUUCACAUGGUCAAGACCGCACUUCAAUCAUUUCCCUUCACUCUUUUCUUUUACAUUUUACUCACUUUUCUGAGUUUUCUCUUUUUGUCAGUCAACAAUGGCCGACAGUCUUGUCUCUGCCGUUUACAGCUGCUCUUUUCUUUUAUUCUAAAAUAAAAAAAAUAAAAAAUGAUCAAAUGGUCUUUGCUUAGCUCAUAAGAUCGUGUGAACGCACAUUAAAUUAAAGUUAUUCAAUUAAGUUUUGUCUUUUCCAUAGUGAGCAAUAUUAUAGUAGAAAAUAAAGGUUUAUUAAGUUGAUAUGUCAAGUAAAGCUAACAACUUUGGUAUUAUAAGCUUCAUUUUUGUAGAUAAAAAAUAUGAUAAUUCAUAUGACAAAAGGUAAAGAAAAUUUUGAUCUUGAAGAGUAGAAAGAAGCACAAAACCUUCAUGAAAUUUUAGGGAAGAAAGACCAUGCCCAAAACUCGAAAUUUAAAUUUUCACAGCCUUUUCACAUUUUGUAGUUGGCUUUAUUAUUAAUAGAAGCACAUAAAUAAAUAUUGUACUUAACCAUGUUACUUCUAAAAUUAAAUCCCAUUAAUUUAUAGGUCAUAAUGGCUUGUAUAGGUCAUCAUAGUAAUGAGUGUGAAGGUGGGUACUUCUAUAAAUAAUAGAUGAGAUUAAACCAAUUACCCUAAAAUUCAAAAGCACCUUUAUCAUAAAAGUCAUUGUCGUCGUAAUGGUAAUGAGGUUGGAGUAUUGGAUUAAAAUAACUUAUUUAUUAAAAAAAAUAUAAUAUUUAACAAAUUUUCGAAACUUAUGUUCAAAUUGAUUUUUUUUUUUAUACCAUGUAGGUGUCAUGUCAUUAAAAUUUAUUUAUUUUUAAUCAUUUUAGUUAAAAUCUCAGUUAGUAAAUCAUUUUAAUUAAAAUCUCAAUUAGUAACUAAGGCUUCAAUUUUUAACUAAAGUCGGUAAUUGUCAAUUAAGGCUUCAUUUUUUAAAUUGAAGCCUCAAUUGACAACUAAAGUUUCAUUUUUGAAUUAAAACCUCAAUUGGCAACUGAAUCUUCAAUUUUGAACUAAAACCACAGUUCCCAACUGAAGCUUUAAUUAUUUUUUUUAAAUAAAAUUUAUUAAAUUAUAAUUUAUGAUUGAAAUUUUAAAAAUAUACUUAAAUAAUAAAUUAUUUAUAUUUAAACUUAAGAAUCUAGUAUUACUUCAACAAACAUAAAUUGAUAAAUAGAAGAUAUUAUAAAUGAAUAUUUUAUUUAUUAAUAAAUUAAUAAUCUUAAAAUAAUAAAUUUACAUAACAUAUAAAUAAUAUAUAAAAUUGUAUAAUUUAUUAAUUUAAGAUAUUUAAUUUGUCGUUUUUUAAGAUAUUAAUUUAUUUGUAUUAUGACAAAUUUAUUUUUAUCGAAAUAAUAAUAUACUUUUAAGUCAUAGUUGCUAACUGAGAUUUCAAUUAUAAUUUUUUUUUUACUUUCAAAUUUAAUUAAAAACUAUUAAAUUAUAAUUUAUUAUUGAAAUUAAAAAUAUAUACUUUAAUAAUAAAUUAUUUAUAUUUAAACUUAAAAAUAUAGUAUUACUUCAACAAACAUAAAUUGAUAAAUAAAAUAUAUUAUAAAUAAAUAUUUUAUUUAUUAAUAAAUUAAUAAUCUUAAAAUAAUAAAUUUAUAUAACAUAUAAAUAAUAUAUAAAAUUGUAUAAUUUAUUAAUUUAAGAUAUUAAUUUAUUUUUAUAAUUUAAUAAUUUUUAAUUUAAAAAAAAUUAACUAGGACCUCAGUUGGAAAUUGAGACUUCAAUUUUAAAAUUUUAGUUUAAAAAUGAAACCUCAAUUGAUAACUGAGGUUUUAGUUCAAAAAUGAAGUCUCAGUUAUCAAUUGAGACUUUAACUAAAAUUAUGAAGAAAAAAAAAUUUAAUGAUAUGACACCUACAUGACACAAAGAGACCAAUUUGAACAUAAAUUUCAAAAAGUAAUUAAAUGUUUUUUUUUUUUUAAUAAAUUGACCAUUUUGACCCGAUACUCAAUGAGGUUAGGUAUAUUUUGAAAGAAUAGAAAACCCUAAAUUUCAAAAGAAUGUUUGAUUCUUGACAAUUUAUCCCCAAGAGCCUUAUUUUUUUACUUUUUAUCUUUUUAUUAUUAUUAUUAUCGUGAGGAUGGUUAAAGAUGAUAUAGAAGUCUUUCAAUGGUUUAAAAAAGAAAAAUGUGAGUGUUAAGUUGACAUUUUUGCCAUUUUAGAAAAUACUUAAUUUUAAGAUCAUUAAUAGGAAGAAAUAAAGAGUUCACAAAAAAUAAAGACAUUUUUAUUGAUUGAUCUAGGUAAUUGUGGACCCCGCAUUUCGGCUCAAUACGUUUUCCACUAGAUGGCGAGCUCGAUUUUGAUUUGAAAAAUGAUUUUUAUUGGUUAAAAGAAUGACUUGGAGUCGCCACUUAUUUUUGUUUUAUUUUUAAAGGGUAAACAAAAUAAGAAAGAAAAACCCUAAGUGUGACUCCUUGUUUUGGAAAAGGUGGUCUGUGAAAAACCGGAUCGGGUUCGGGGGUCAGGUUACUUAUUGGGAAGGUACGGUAGAGACCGUAGCACCCCUCUAAGUCCCUAAAGUCGGGUCUCUACUAAUAAAGUGAAACUGACGUGACAAUCGAAUAAGAAAGUCAAUGGAUACUCACAUCAAUCAUGCAUAUAUGAGAAUCAGAAUAUGUAUAGUGAAUGAUCAGAAUGAGUGAAUGCAUACCUGGGCAGCAAACAGCAACGCGCUAUCAAGAAACGGGAUUAGUGCACAAUUAAUGAAUACAAAACAUAGCUCAUACAUAUCGGAGUGCAAAGCGAAGCUCAAACAAAAUACAGUAAGCACGAAAAUUGACAGUCAAAAGGGGUCAAACAUAGGGCCCCCAACAAAGCCCGAUUUAUUGUUCAUGAGCUAAUCCCACAAAUCCCCUGUUUUGGAAUUAUGAAGGAAUCACUGUUGUUUAUGUAAAAUCAAGAAGAUCAGAAGAUUAUUUAGGAACUGAAAUGUGAUUAAGAACUAUUCGAGUGAAAACUGAAUUAUUGGAGCUUAUUUGAAAAUUGAAGUAUUUGGAAUUAAAUUUUGAAGAUUAGAGCUCUGGUGAUUAAAUCGAAAUUUUUAAAGAAAAUGAGAAACGGACUUUAGGAAAUUGAACUGCGAGACCAUAGACUUUUGAAAGUUGAAUUUAUAAUAAUGAUAGUAAUGAGGUCUUGAGAGGUUGAAUUAAUAAUAAUAAUAAUUAUAAGAUUUCGAAAGUUGAAUUUAUAAUAAUGAUAGUAAUGAGGUCUUGAGAGGUUGAAUUAAUAAUAAUAAUAAUUAUAAGAUUUCGAAAGUCUGAAUUGACGAUAAUAAUAACAAUAAUAAGAUUUUGAAGGUGUGAAUUAAUAAUAAUAAUAAUAAUAAGAUUUUGAGAAUUUGGAUUAAUGAUAAUAAUAAUAAUAAUAAAUAGAUUUUGAAAGUUGAGUUAACAAUAAUGAUAAUAAGAGAGUUUGGAUUAAUGAUGAUAAUAAUAAUAAUAAAUAGAUGUUGAAAGUGCGAAUUAAUGAUAACGAUAAUGAUGAGAUUUUGAAAGUUGGGAUUAAUGAUAAUAAUAAAUAAUAAUAAAUGGAUGUUGAAAAUGUGAAUUAAUGAUAAUGAUAAUGAUGAGAUUUUGGAGGUUUGGAUUAGUGAUAAUAAUAAGUUAUAAUAAAUAGAUUUUGAAAGUUGAGUUAAUAAUAAUAUUAAUAAUGAGAUUUUUGGAAGUUUGGGUUGAUGAUGAUAAUAAUAAUAAUAAAUAGACUUUGAAAGUUGGGUUUAUAAUAAUAAUAAUGAGGGUUUUGAAAGUUUGGAUUAAUGAUAGUAAUAAUAGUACUAAAUAGAUUUUGAAAGUUGAAGUAAUAAUAAUAAUAAUAAUGAGAUUUUUGAAAGUUUGGAUUAAUGAUGAUAAUAAUAAUAAUAAUAAAUAGAUGUUGAAAGUGUGAAAUAAUAAUGAUGAUAAUAAUGAGAUUUUGAAAGUUGGGAUUAAUGAUGAUAAUAAUAAUAGUAAUAAAUAGAUUUUGAAAUUUGUGAAAUAAUAAUGAUGAUAAUAAUGAGAUUUUGAAAGUUGGGUUAAUAAUAAUAAUAGUAAUGAAAUUUGUGAAUGUUGAGUUAGUAAUAAUAAUAGUAGGAUUUUGAAAGUUUGGAUUAAUGAUAAUAAUAAUAAGAAUAAAUAGAUUUUGAAAGUUGAGGUAAUAAUAAUAGUAAUAAGAUUUUGAGAGUUGAAUUAAUAAUAAUCAUAGUGAUAAUAAUAAUAAUAAUGACAAGAACAAUGAUAAUAAUAAUAAUAAUAAUAAUGACAAUAAUAAUAAUAAUAAUAAUAAUAAUAACAAUAAUAAUAACCAUAAUAAUAAUAAUAAUAACAAUGAUAACAAUAAUUAAUAAUAAUAAUAAUAAUAAAUGAUAACAUGCAUCCAUCAAACCCAAAGCCCAUAAGCAUGGAUCCACUAACAAGCCUCAUCUUCAACAAGCCCAGUCCAUAAGCCUAAACCCAUAAGCCUAAGCCCACAAGCCUAAGCCUAAGCCUCCAAAGCCCAUCAGCAAAGCUCAAGCCCAAAUCAAUGAGUAAGCCCAAGCCCUUUAUCACAUGCUCUUCUUCCUCAUCUCCGGAGACAGUGACGGAGAAAAAUGGAGGUGAGAGAGACAUCGUCGGAGGUCCUCGGAGUUGGUCCAAGCUGCCAUCCUCCCGCGCCACCUCGGACAUGCCCAACUGCAGCAGCCUAGUGUCGGUGUGGAGCCUGCUGCUGCAGCCUUCAUAGGAGCGUGGAGCUUCGUCGGCCGGAAUCUGGUCGUUGAGGAAGAGCUCAUGUGCUGACAGCAUCCUCGACGUCGUCGUCGCGGAGCUCCCAUAGUAGGCGAGCCAUGUGGAAGAUUCGAACCCGGCGCCGGUGGACGAUGAGGCUACGGUUAAAGUGGACGGCGUCGGCAUUACGCAAGGUGCGAAGUGCAUGGGGCUCACCGGAGUGCUGUAGAAGAAAAACACCGCUUCCGGAGCCGCGUCCUAGGCUGGAGGGAGCAUUGACGUGGGGGGUGGAGCUAGAGAGAGAAAAUGUGGUGGAAAUGAUAAUGGGUGAGUGUGGCGAGGGUUGACGGAGUUGGGGAUGUGCAUGAGAGAUGAUGGGCAUGAAGAGAUCCAAAAAAAAAAAAAAAAGAUGGGUAUGGUGAUCUCGGAUGUGAGUGGUUAAAUGGGGGUUUGUGAACAAAGCAUGAAUCAAUAAUGUCAAAGCACACUUAUAACUCAAACCUCAUCCAACAAUACAUCAACUACUAGCUAUCCAUAUCUGGAUCAAAGGGAAAAUGACCAGAAAAUAACUCAAGAAAGAAAGAAAAAAAUGGGACAAUCAGAUGCUAAGUAGGAGCAAGGAGUCAUCAAUGGCAUACCUGGGGACGCUCCCUUCUUCUUCAAGCUUCACUUUCCAAGAUCCCUCGAACCAGCCCGCUCUCCCCCUCCUCCUUCCUGUUGCCCUGGUCCCGCUUGCCUUUUCUUCUUUCCCCCGUUCUUUUUUUUCUCUUCGUGUCUUCUUCAGCAAGCCCGCCGUAUCCCGUCCCAUCUGCAGCCCAAAAGCUCUGCCUUCUUCCUGCUUUUCUUCCAACCGUCCUCGGGUGGAUAAAGAAAGUAGAAAAGAAGAAGAAAAAAAAAAGAAAAUGCAUGAAAAUAAAAAAAACCUGCCCCCAGUUGAGGGGGUCUACAGUAAUCCUUUCAUAGCUUUUAACUAUAACUUUGUUGAAAAUCUUACUCCUUCCUCCUUGUCUUCCUCUUAUAAUUUCUAAGUUUCAACUUUUUUUUUUUUCUUUUUAAUAAUAAUAUUGGUUUUAUGUUUUAAUGAAAUAGGUUGCAAAUUUGAAGAAAACAUAUUCUAAUGUAUUUAUUGAUUAUAGCUCUUUCUUCAAAAGGGUUAUCGUUAUUUACAUUCUCAAACUAAUCAAAUUUACAUCUCUAGAUAUGUAAUCAUUGAUGAGUUUGAGUUUUCCUUUACUAACAAAACUUCUACCAUAUCUUUCUUAUAGGAACAAAGUCAAAUGACCAUAUUUUGAGAUUUCGAUCAGCAGUCACAACCAUUCAAUCCAAACACCAACUCAACCCACAACUUCACUCCCACCAAACAACCUUUCAAACCAUCGUAAUAGUGUAGAUCUUCUAUUUUGUCUUUUUAACACAUCUCAUCUAAAUUUGUCUUUCUUACAUACUUUAACACCUUAUUAUGCACUUAUGGUCAUUUUUCUAAGCUGUUUUUUUUAAAUUAUCUUUUAUUCUUUGUGAUUAUGUUGAUUACUAAUUAUUUUAUUUUAUUUUAUUUUAUGCAAGAGUCAUUCUAAAGGGAUUAAAUGCAUUCCAAUAUUGAUUUUAAUGAUUUUUAAAUCUUAAUUCAGGACUUUAUUUUUUAUUGAUGUAUAACAUAUUUAGGUUUGUUUAAAAUUUUCAAACUUUAAUUUUAUAAAAUAGAUUCAAGUUUUGAAUUAAUUAAUAAUUGAUUUCAUUCUCUUUAAAAUGUAGAAUAUGAUAAAAGGCCUGCAACAAAUUCAAACAAAUCUUUAUACAAGUGAGAAUUUAUGUCAUCCAAUCAUUUUAUUAAAAAUCACUCUAUAAAUUAUAAAAAUAAAGAUAUUAAUCACAUCUAUUAAUAUGUUUUUUUUUUAAAUUGACAAAUCAUGAUGAAAUUAUAAUCUUUUUAAUAUUUUAUUAAUUAUAAAUUAAAACAUCACUAUAAUUAUUCAAUCCCCACAGAAUAUAAAAUGAGUUAUUUUCAGUAAUAAUAAUAAUAAUAACUAAUCAUAUUUGAAUAACAUUUCAUCAAUUAUAUAUCAAAAUAAAGUUUUAUGUUUAUCAUAACCUAUGUUUUAAAACAAAAUAAUAAAAGUUAUAUUUCCAUUUAAAUGUAUUUAGAUAUCUACCUCCAUAGCCCAUGGUAUUAAAAUAAUCUAAUAAAACACAGUAUCCCAUAACCGGUCAACAGCACAGCUGCUCCUAGCCUUAGCCUCUUGCAGCUGCAAUCAGCUGUUCCACUCUCUGUUACAGGAGUUUAAGACCAAAAUAAUAUAUUUGUAAAAAAAAAUGAUAAGAAUAGUAUCCAUUUGAAAAUAUUUGCCAAAGUAGUCUUCUUUAUCCACGUAAGCAUCCACAUGGAUUUUAAGUGUAAAGAACCACCGUUGGUGACUGUGGUUUUAGAACUUACAAAAAUUUCCUUAAAACCACAGUUACAAACUGUGGUUUUACAAUUUCUCUUAGAACCACAGUUACUAACUGCGGUUUUAAAAGAAGUUUCCUUAAUACCACAGUUACAAACUGUGGUUUUACAAUUUCCUAACUUUACAAUUAUUUUUAAAAUAUUUUUUUUAUUAAAACAACCAUAAAACCACAGUUAGUAACUGUGGUUUUACUAAUGGUGUUGUAAUUCAAAUUAGUGAUGUUAUGUUAUUCACAUGUUUCCUUGAUAAUUUAAACAAAUAAAACUCAAAUGCAUCCUAAAGUCUAAAUGAAAGAAAUUAUAACUAAAUAAAUUAUUACAACCAUUACCUAUUUUUCUUUCAUAUAAUUAAAAAAUUAUACAUUUUAACCAAGACAUAAGUUCAAAUCAUACUUAAUAAUAAAUAACCUAAAAUCAUAAUCACUAACAUUAAUUUUCAUAUGAAAAGAUAAAAUUUUAAAAUAAUAUAAACAAUUUCUUUAGUUAUUUUAAAAUUUAAAAAUAAUAUGAAUAAAUAAUUUUCUUUAGUUCAUAUGUGAAAAUAUUUGUAAAACAAAUAAAUAUUUUAUUUACUAUAAAUAUAUAAAUUUUUAUGGGAAUGCAUGUAGACCAAAUUAUUUUCUCAAAUUUUCAAGGAAAAUAUGAAAAAAUAAAGAUAAAAUAUAUAUAUAUAUAUUUUUAAAUAGUCGUAACAAAAAAAUUUGUGAAAAGCAAAGUUCUAAAAUCCCAUACUUUUUUAUACAUGAGUCCCCUUAAAAAUAUUUGUGAAAAUUACAACAUAAUUGUAAUUUUGAUAAAAAAAUAUUUUAAAAAUAAUAUUAAAAUUACAACACCAUUAAAAUAGAUGUGGAUUAAAAAUAAUUGUAAAACCACAGUUACUAACUGUGGUUUUAUAGUUAUUUUGAUAAAAAUUAUUUUAAAAAUAAUAUUAAAAUUACAACACCAUUAGUAAAACCACAGUUACUAACUGUGGUUUUAUGGUUGUUUUGAUAAAAAAAAAUAUUUUAAAAAUAAUAUUAAAAUUAUAACACCAUUAAAAUGAGGACGGAUUAAAAAUAAUUGUAAAACCACAGUUACUAACUGUGGUUUUAAGGGAAAUUGUAAAACCACAGUUUGUAACUGUGGUUUUAAGGAAACUUCUUUUAAAACCGCAGUUAGUAACCGUGGUUCUAAGAGAAAUUGUAAAACCACAGUUUGUAACUGUGGUUUUAAGGAAAUUUUUGUAAGUACUAAAACCACAGUCACCAACGGUGGUUCUUUACACUAAAAAUCCAUGUGGAUGCUUACGUGGAUAAAAAAGAUUACUUUGACAAAUAUUUUCAAAUGGAUACUAUUCUUAUCAUUUUUUUUUACAAAUAUAUUAUUUUGGUCUUAAACUCCUGUUACAGUCCAGCUUUGGCCGCCCAAGACAUACAUCUUUUCACCCAUCAGCCAUUACCCCUGCCACAGCUCAUACUAAAGCUGCCAUAACCUAUACCCCAUAACCUAAUAUACGACUCUCACAACCGCCCUUUGUAAGAGUCACACAAAAGCCAAAUUUUUAUUAUUAUUAUUUUUAAUCAACUCCAGCACAGCCUCGUCAGACGCCGAGCCUCCUGAUCUCAUCUCCAAACACGUUCUGCAGCUGAAUCCUUUGCCUUUAUGAAGUUUGGAUGUUGGUGGUGGGAUGUGCUUUUCCUUUCUCAAUUAUUUCUGCUUAGCUGUAUCCCUCUAGCUUUGAACUUUCACUUUUGUCCCUUUUGGCAGUCAACAAUGGCCGACAGUCUUGCCUCUGCGAUUUACAGCUGAUCUUUUCUUUUAGGGAGAGUUGGGAUUACUGGCUGUUAUACGAGAAAUACAUGGUUUUCAAAACCAUAUAACUGAAAUAUGAUUUACCUGAGAAAAAUUGUGAGAGUUGAGUUGUCAUUUUCGCCAUUUUAGAAAAGACUUAAUUUUAAGACCGUUAGUAGGUAGAAAUAACAAGUUCACAAGAACGAAAGAGACCUUUGUUGACUGACCUAAGUAACCCCUUUCAUGGCUUUUUCACUUGUUUGUUUUUGGGUUUUCUUUAAUGAGGCUAGGUGAUUGUUGUUUAUUUUGACUUAUAUUUUAGAUGGAUUUCAUUUUUAAUAAGAGUUUUUCAUGGUAAAAAUUGAUGUGAUACAAAUUUUUAUUGAUAUUAAUAUCAUUUUAUCAUAAAUUAUUUAGAGUAUAGAUAUAAAUAAAAUAUCAAUACCAUAGGAAAUGUUAAAAUAAAGUUAGGUGCAUAUGCAAAAAAUAAAAUUUGAAAAAUAGAAUAGUCCAGUCCAACCAUAUCCACACAUCCAUCUUCCUAUAAAUGAAACUAAUGAUAGAUACAUAAGUCAAAAAUAAGAUUUGAAAAAGAGUAUAAUCCAAUUCAACUACCUAUCUUCCAAUAAAUUAAACUCAAAAUGGGCACAUAUUCCAAAAAUAAAUUUUGAAAAAUAAAAUAUUCCAAACCAACUUUAUCAACAUGUCCAUCUUCCAAUAAAUUAAAUUGGAAAUGAGUCGGCAUGUGAUAAAAUAAAUGUCAAUUUCCAUUUUACUUAUAUUAAAUUCACUUAUAUAUUUAUAUCGAAAAUUAUCCUUUGAAUAUUUCUAGAAACAUUAGUGUGGACUCCGCAUUUUGAUUGCUCAAUGCGUUUCCCACUCGAUGGCGAACUCGACUUUUAUUUGAAAAAUUGAUUUUUAUUGAUUAUUUGAAAAUGACUUGGAGUCGCCACUUAUUUUUGUUUUAUUUUUAAAGGGUAAACAAAAUAAGAAAGAAAAACCCUAAGUGUGACUCCUUAUUUUGGAAAAGGCGGUCUGUGAAAACCGGAUCGAGUUCGGGGGUCAGGUUACUUAUCGGGAAGGUACGGUAAAGACCGUAGCACCCCUCUAAGUCCCUAAAGUCGGGUCUCUACUAAUGAGAUGAAGCUGACAUGGCAAUCAAUGAGAAAAUCAAUGAAUACUCGAAUCAAUCAUGCACAUAUGAGAAACAAAGCAUGUAUAAAGAAUGAGCAAAAUAUGAAUAGAUGCGUACCUGGGCGGCAAUCACGAAUGCGCUAUCAUGAAACAUGGUUAGUGAACAAUGAACAUAUAUAAUUAAGCGCAUAUCAAGGAAUAGAGUAAAUCAAUCAUGCAUGACAAAUAAAUCAAUCAAGCAAUCAAUCAGUCAUGAAUUCACAUAUGUGGGCCCCCCAUCAAAGCCCGUUUAUUUUGCAUGAAUUAAUCUCAUAAAUCUCAUCAUUUGAGAAUUACGAAGAUUGAUUUCUUGCUUGUUUAAAAACAUUUUGAAAUUCAUAGGAGUUGUGAAAAUUAUUGGCCAGAAGGAAGAAUGGCAGUGAAUUUUAUUUGAAAUGAGAUUUUUGAGUGAUCCUAAAAAUUCUAAAGAUGAAAAUUUGAAAAAUAAAUAAAUAAAUAAGAAUAAAAUAAAAUUAUUUGAAAAUCUAGAAAUUGGAAACUAUUUGAAAACGGGAAAUUUGGAAAUUACUUUUAAAUUGAAGAUAAAGAAAUAAAUAGAUAAAUAAAAAAAUAAAUAAAAGACACGUGGCCCAAAAGGUGGUCAUGCAUAGCUGCUUGUAAAUUGGGCAGCCAGUGCUUCUCAUACUCUCAGCUUCGGGAUGUUCCUUGAUGUAGUUGCCCCCAUGUGUCAUCCUUAGCCGUGACAAUGCAUGUGUCUUCAUCCCAAUUAAAGUCACUUUGAUCAAGAAGCGUCUUGACAGUGACAUAUUACAUCCUUAAGACAUCAUACCGAUUCUGCAGUUGCUCCUUCAAUUUUGGGUACUGAGCCCUGGCCCACUUUAACACAAAAUUAUACACUGCAUCCUCUGACGCAACCUGGAGUUCAUCACUAGACAAAAAUGCUUCAGUCUUGACAAGGGGUAAGGCCAUCGCCUCUUCUUGAAACUUGGUUGUGUCUUUGUAACGACUAGCAAGAUAUUGAUUGGUUGCAUCUGUCAAAGGCUGAACUGUCUCAACCAUUAGGGCACUAGAAGGAGGCUCUAGACAGAGCAAUGCAGAUUUCAGGUAUCAUGGAUAAGUUCCUUAAGAGUCUGCUGCAGCUGCGAUUCGGAGACUCUCCACCGUUGAUUUCAUCAUCAUGCUUCGCUUCAGAAUUCUGGACGCCAUGGAUUCAAACCGCGACUGGUUUGGCUUCCUUCAUUGCUUGUCACAACAGACUGCAUGCACCAUUCGUCGCGUACCUCACGACAAAUGUGAGUCUGGUUAAUCCCGUAGGAGGACUCCAAGCAGCAUGCAUAACGUACCUCUUCGGAACAUCACAACGAGACCCACUGGUGCCCUCGUCUGAAUACACCUCCGCAUCUCAUUCAAGUAAUGGGUAUUGGACCCAUGCAUGCAUGCAAAGAUGGAGGAGUGAAGUGGUGAGAGAAAGGAUGUACGGAUUUAGCUGCGAGUAAAGUCACGGGUAUGGGAGGAUGGAUGCGGUGAAGACCUUUGAGGGUGAUGAAAAAUGGUGCAUGGAGUAAGAUAGGCUAAAGUGGAAAUGCGUGGUAGAAUGGGCAAGGAUCUCAUGGGGAGAGUGCAGUCACGCAUAGGGUUAUGGGUAUGAUGGUAUGGGGGAUGGGAUGAUGUAGUUAUGGAGUGGUGUAGUGAGAGGAAAGGUGGUGAAGGGUAUGUGAGGAGGAUGAUGGGUAUGAGAGAAGGGUAUGAUGGGUACCAUGCAUGGGGAUGAAUGGUAUGAAGGAAGAUGGGUAUGGAGGAACAUGAAGGAUGGGUAUUGGAGGAUAUGGGUGAUGAGAAUGAAGUAGGAAACGUGGGUAUUAUGGGUGUGGGAAUUAAGGACGAUGGUGAAUGCGCUUAAUGGGAGAAUAUAGGAUGGAGAACGGGAAAUGGAAGAUGGAGAAUGGAUGAUGAGUGAUGGAGAGCUUGAGGUGGGUUGGAUGGAUGCAUGCAUCGGGCAUGAAGGACGGGUGAGUGGGAUGUGGGUAGUGGGCUUGGAAAAUAGGAACGUGGGUAAGGUGGUGUGGGACCAUGCAUGACUAAAUGGGUUAUCUUUUCCCGGUUUUUUUUAUUUUCCAGAGAUUUGCAGCCAAUUCCUUACUGUCAACAUGAUUACUGCCAACAUCUCAUCUCAGUGCCUUUCAUUAUUCUCACAGUCGCGACCAAAGAACAGUUCACUGUAGGAAACCAUAAAGAAAGACUAUGCUUCGUUGCUACUGACAAGGCAUUAUUUCACUUACCCUGAUUCCAUUUUAAGGCGGGAUAAAACCCGCAACCUGCACCAUCUGCGGAUAUGGUGGAACAAGUCAUCCACCAGAGAAGAAAUGCCUCUCACUGACAGGGUCUGAUGAUGGAGUUGAAAAAUUACGUCUAAAUAAGAAACUGGAAGGAGAGCCUCAAUUUCAUUCUUGGAUUUAACUGCUCAAUCCUUAACAUUCUCACAGCUGUCACCUUCCCCAUCAUAGUCACUUCCACUAACCAUCUUUUCCGGAGGAACACCAUUUUCAUAAAUCCACCAUUACUACCAGCCUCAGGUAGUAAUACGAGAAUCGAAACUCUCCACGACUAGUUCUAGGGAGCAGAGAUGGUAUGGGGGACAAAAUCGUUAAAAAAAAAAAAAAAAAAAGAACAAAAAUCAAAAGAUCCCGGAAUCGUAUAUAUAAAGCUGCGUUCCAUGAAAAACGAACGAGCUCAAAAAUGGUGGAACAAACAGGGGGUCCUCAACACGAGCUGGUAAACAUCAUACUCAAAUCUAGGUAAAGAGUAAUACCCCCAUUGCAAUGAAAAAAAAAAGAUUGAGAGCAUGAGAAGAGAAUAAAACAUAACAUAUAGGAGCAGAUAAUCACAUUUAAACGAAGCAAACCUGUGGCCCUUGAUCGUCCACAGCAAAUCACAAAUAGAUAUUCAUCAGAUUAGCAGAGAAUGAAGUGAGAUUUUAAGAGAUGAAAACGCACCAGAUUCAAAGUGAUGCUACUAAUGGCUCCACAAUGCAACCUUCUCCUCCUCGGCUUGCAAGCUUUCUCUUAGAAAACUCUCCGUGUAGCUUGCUUUCCCCCCAACUCAACCUCUCUGUCAAAAACUCCUCCUGUAGCCCUUCUCUCCCCAACUCUCAAAUAGCUGGCCACCUCUCUCUGCCCUCUCUCUCUACCCUGCAGCAGCUUCUGAAAAGCACCCUACCUCUGGCCAGCUGACCCCCCUGCAAAAAUCCCCUCUAACAGAAAAUAUGCGCUCCUCCUAACGGCCAGAAUAUCUCCAUGCCACGUGUCAAACUCUCACUCGCUCCUCAAUUCCACCAUCUGUUUCUAUGACCACCAACCACAAGACGACACGUGGCCCUAUGGGACUGCGGCACUUGGCAAAAAUGGCUGUAGAAAAUGACACCCAAAUGGGGGUCUACAAAUAUGCCCCUCUUCGGUAGAGUUCACGAGUGUAAGAGAUAUGAACACUGAAGUGAAAAGUAAGUGUGAAUAGUGAGUGGAAUGAAGUGAACUCUACCGAAGAAUCAAAGAGACCCCCAUAGGGACACUGGUGAAACGCAAAGUCACCCAGGCUAGUAGAUGAACACAAAGGCUCUAAUCCUAAAAGAGAAAUGAUGUCACAAAAUGCCUCUGCGGCCAUACUAAGGAUCCAAGCUCCCUCUAAGAUGUCUCCCACCCAUUUACUGCUAAAACAGUGGCAGACAAAUUUGUAUAGGAAUUAUCAAGCUCCACGGGAUGCCCCAGUUCGUCAUUAGUGACCGAGAUCCAAUUUUCAUUAGCAAGUUCUGGCAAGAAUUCUUCAAGAUGUCGGGCACCAAAUUGCAACUCAGUUCCGCAUACCACCCACAGACCGUCGGACAGACGGAAGUUGUCAAUCACUGCCUCAAGCAAUACCUUCGUUGUUUCGUGCACUAGUGGCCACGCAAAUGGAGUUCUUAUUUACCUUGAGCAGAAUAUUGGUAUAAUACCAACUAUCAUAUUUCUACAGGGAUGACCGCAUUCCAGGCACUGUAUGGAAGGCCGCUUCUUGGCAUUCCAUCGUACAUAGGUCUUUCGCUAGUACACGAGGUGGAUCAACAGUUAAUGACUCGCGAUGAACUACUUUAGCAAUUGAAGAUUAACUUAGCAAGCUCAGUUAAUCGAAUGAAACAAAUGGCAGACCACAAGCAGAGGGAUAUUUCGUUGACAUUGGCGAAUGGGUGUUGUUGAAGCUGCAUCCUUACGGCCAACAAACAGCCUUCAAACGGGUCCAACAAACGGCCUUCAAACGGGUCCAUCAGAAAUUGGUUAGUCGUUUUUACGGAUCCUAUGUGAUCUUGAAGAAAUGCGGACCAAUCGCGUACAAAUUAGACUUACCAAAAGGCACGCGCAUCCACCCAGUGUUUCAUGUGUCACUACUUAAAUGAUACCAAGAAAAUGAUGGACUUACGGAGCCACAGUAGACAACGUUGCCACCUAUCUCCGAUGAAGGAGUGGUCGCACUUGAACCGCAAAAGAUUCUGGACACCCGCUUGGUCAAACAGAGAGGCCAACUUGUUGAAGAAAGCCUAGUGCAACGGAAACAUCUACUCUCGAAGGACGCCACUUGGGAACCAACGAAGAAAUUGCUCAACGAAUUCUCACCAACGAUCCUUGAGGACGAGGAUCCACUACACGGGGGAAGUAUUGAUAGGCCACGUCAGUCAACGAGGCCCCGUAAUCCAAAUCCCAAAUACUUGGGAUAAGCUGGACGUGAUCAACAUGAAGUUUGGGUCGUGGGGAACGUUGGAAGUUUACGUUGGAAGUUUACAUAGGAAUGGGUCUUCAGGAGUUACGCAUUUUAUGUCAUUUUCUUUCCGUUAGUGUUGUCUGUUAUAUGCUAUGUUUUAUGUGUUUAAGUUCCGGUUAUUAAGCUACUAGUUUCCCUUCAUUUUUGACAUUAUUGUAAUUGGCUUUGCUUAUUUAAAGCAGCCCAGAAAUUAUCAAGAAGCAGGAGAAAAAUUAUUCAACUAUUAUGGUUCAUUUCUCACCCGAAGAGAAAGUCAUUUACGUUAACAUCUAUCGCAUUUGUUGGGACCUAACAGGGCGCAACUGCUAUCACUACAGCUGGUGAUGUGUUGCUAGUUGCUACAGGGAAUGUGCUGUUGUGGCUGUUGAUGUUGUUGCUUCCUCUUCAAGAAUAUCAACACAAGGUGAGACGAGGGCUUACCCAAAUGAAACCAGAGCAAUCCAAGAAACAAAACUAUCGUGUGGCAUUUCAUCAACCAGGUGGUGGGCAUUAUCAACUGAAAAAAUAUCUCUACUGGAGUUUAUUAUUUUCUAUACAUUGCAUAAACUUUAAAGAUAUUAUGAUCCAUUAACUUUGAACCUUAUUUACACUUGCAUAUGUCUGGGAUUGUGUGUAACAAUUGAUUAACAUUGACUUUUGGGUGUAAAUGUUGUCUAAUUCGUCACUCAGAUAUCAGGUGUGAUUAACCAUGCAUGUCAGAAAUUCUGAAGACUUGAUUGGAUUGAUUUGCUCGUCUGAAAUGUCCAAUCGGCUUGGUCUGUCCAUUCCGUUUGACAUUAUGGAAGAAGGAAAACUUCUCACUUUUGGUGCUAGACGGAGCUUAUCUUUAUCCAGACGGGUUAUAUGUUUGUCCUAAUAAGCCAAAGGGUUUUGAAUUUGAGAAGGACAUGUGGAGGGAAGCUCCCCACAGACAUUAUCAACUGAAAAAGUAUAUCAACUGGAGUUUAUUAUUUUCUAUACAUUGCAUAAGCUUUAAAGAUGUUAUGGUCCAAUAACUUUGAACCUUAUUUUGAAAAUUAAUUUAUAUUCAUUAUUUUUAUAAAUAUAAUAUCAAAUAUAAAUCGAAAAAGUAUAAGUUACAAAUUUCAAAGGGUGUUUAUGAGUGGAUCAAUUUUUGGUCUCAAUUAAAAAAACUAAUUUAAAAUAAUAUAAAUAUAAUAUGUUUUUAGUUUAUUUAUUUAUGGUUAGGGUUAUAAAAUAAAUUGAUAUUUUUUAAUUUUAAAUAAGAAAAACAAAUAAGAUAAAAAAGAAAAAAAAUUAAAGAUCGAACAAUAUAAAAUAUUGAAAGUGAAUGAAUAAAAAUGAAAAAGUUUACAACUCAAAUAAGACCAAUCUAAAAAAUGCAUUACAUAUUAAAAUAUCAUCAUUUUUUUUAUUAAAAUAUACCUAAUGGCAUUUCAUAUUGUUAGAUGGUAAAGGAGAAACUAAAAAAAAUCAUAGAACUAUAGAAUGUAGCACAUGAACUUAGUUUGAUGACCUGAAGUGCACAAGUUGCUUUCAAACCACUGGGACUUGCUUAGGGUUAAAAGUUAAAAAUAGGACCGAUAAUAUUUAAUCAGUAAUAUCAUCUCAAGCCUAUUCCAAAAUAUGGCAACCGGGUAAAAUUAAAAAUUAACUUAAUGCUUAAUAAUUUUUUUUUUAAAAAAAAGAACUUGUUAAAUUUUUUUCUAAAAUCAUUAGAUGUUGUAUAAUUUUUCUAAAAUGAAUGAGAAAAGUUAUAAUGGUGAAGCUCUUGAAAAAGAAGCUUUCAAUUAUGAUCGCACUCCUUCAAAAAAAAAAUCGUUAAAUAUAGAAUAGAAGCAAACUCGUCAAUCAUCACAUAAAAAAACAAUUUCUCCAAAGAGUGCUGACCCUUCAACCCCCAUGAGCUAACCAAGCAGCUCGACCCUAACAUCCUAAGCGAAGCGCAACAGUAGUGAUUCAAGUUUCACAAUCAACACCAAUAAAGACAAGAACAAUUGGCACUCAAAAAAUUUAUUUCCUUUAACUUUUUCCCUUUAAGUUGAAUUUGAUUUUUAAAUGGUGUUAUUUGAUUAAUUAUUUUACAAUAUAUAUAUAUAUAUAUGUUAUAUCUUAAAAAAGGUUAGUAAAUUAUAUUACAAUUAUCAAAUAUAUUACCAUAUAUAAAAUACAACUUAAGAAAUCUUAAGCAUAACACAAAGCACAAGAGCAAGAUAUGUUAAUUUAAGUUACUAAGAGCUUAUUUAGUUGUGUGAUUUAAAAAUAGUUUUCUUAUUUUAAAAAUAAAAAAUUAUUUUAAAAUUUUUUUAACACUAUUUUAAUGUUGUUCUUUGGAAAUAAUUUUUUAAAAUAAAGUAAAAUAGAGAACAAUUUUUAAAGAACAAGUAGGAGUUGUUUCAUCAGUUUUUAAAAAACAAAAAAAUAUAUAAACUCAUUUGAUCAUGUUUUUUUAAAUUUGUUUUUAAAAAUUGUUUUUAAAUUAAAAAAUAAAAAAUAAUUUUUAAAAAUAAGUUUCAGAAAAUAUGACCAAACGAACCCUAAAUGAUUGGAGUUUAUAAUAUUAAAGAGAAAAAAAAGUUAAUUUAAGAGUUUGCAUGUAGGUAGACAUCUAGCUGUAAAACUGGUUUAUUUGAGACACCCAUUUUAUUUAGGGAGAAUUGUGUUUUGGGCCCAACUGGGUCCAAAAAUUAAGAUGUGGUCCAUAUAUUUUACAUAAUUAAGCGCAACACCCAAAGAAAGUCUGAAAAUUGAAAAGAAGGAUAUUGUCCUUCAUUAAUCCCUAAAAUACCCUUAACCCUUACGUAGACAUUUAGUGAGUGUGAAUUUUAAUUUUUUUUGUAUUUUUUUCCCUUUUCUAUUCUCUAUUAAGUAUUACUCAUUUCUAACUUUUUUUUUCUUCCAAUCUAUAUUUCUAUUUUAUGUCAAAUAAAAAGCAAUAAGGUUUUUUUUUUUUUUUUUUUUUUUUCAUUUUUAAAGAUAUUGAAUCUUUUUACUCUUAUUAUAAGCAAGAAUAAAAAUUUUGGGAUUUUUCAUCCAAUUUUUUUAUUUUUUUUAUUUUUUAUCUUUUUGUAUUUAUCUUUUAGUUUAAUUUUCAUUUUUUAUUUUAAAUUUAUAUUACCCUUUCAUUUAUACUUUUCUCUUAUUUUUAAUUAUUUUUUAUUUUCUACAUUAACCAUAUUUUAAAAAAUUUUAAAAUAUACUAUCACUUCACUCUUAUUAUAUAUAUAUAUCCUCCUUUUAGUUUUUAAAUUUUUAAUGUUUUUAUUUUAAAAUUUUUUAAAAGAUAAAUUUAUUGAAAAAAAUAACUAAGAUAUGAAGUUCUAAUAUUAUAUUAAUAAUUUUUCUUAUCCAGAUAGACUAAUGCAAAGUAUUUUGACUCACAACAAGAAAAUUGUUAAUACAAUUUUUUAGUGAAACUUUAAAAAUUAAAUUUCAAAUAAAAUAUAUUAUAUAAAAUUUUAUCUAAAAAUUAUUGAAAGUGGUAUUUAAUUUUUUUUUAUUAACUUUCAAACUUAUCUAAUUUUUUACUUGAAAUGUAAUAGAACAUGUUUACAAAAAAAAUUAGUUUUUCAUUUUUUAAAUAAAUGACUAUAAAUAUAUUAAAAGAAUUAAAGAUAAUUUUAGUAAAAAAUUUAAUAAAUAUGAUUAUAAUUUUAAAUAUAGAUUCAUUUGGAUAAAAUUUCACAAAAAAAAAAAUAGUGAAAAGAAAGAACAUUGCUAAAACUACAAAAACAAAAUAUGAAAUUACAAAAUUUUGAUGAUGAAAUUUAAAAAUAAAAUUUGAAACAAUUCUUGAGUGAGAGAAUUUGAGUGCGGAAAAAUCCUUGAGUGGAAAAAAAUAGAAAAGUUUUUCAAAAUCACUUGAAAUUCUUAACAAAAAGUAGUCUUGUACAGCUGGUGUAAUACCUUUGUACAAUAACUCAAACUUCAUAUAUCAUCUCAUUAAUAUCUAACAAUAAGUCGGUUAACCAUGUUUGCAUUGGUUUUGUUUUAAAAAAGAAGAAAAUUGUUGUAUAAUUUUAUUUUACAAUCAUCAUAAGUGAGGUACCUAUUUAAAUGACCAUAUACAAGUUAGAUAAAGUGUAUGAGAUGAAUAUGUGCUUAAUCAAUGUGUGUAAGGAAUGUCAUCUAUCCUCAGUUAGGGGAAAUAAACAAACAGGUUUUUUAGAAUCACUUAAAAUCCUUUACAAAUAAUAGUCUUGUACCCUUGUACAGUUAGUAUAUUUAUCAUGUACACUUAGUGUAAAUACCUUGUACAGUGACUCAAAUUCCAUAUACCCCCUACUCAAUGUGUAACCAUAGGUAGAUUAACCAUAUUUUCAUUGGUUUGGUUCAAAAAAUAGUGGAAGAUGGAAAAAUAAAAUUUUCUCUCAAACAUCAUUCGUGGGAUAAGUAUUCGAAUUGUCAUAUGCGAGUUAAAUAAAGUGCAUAAGAUGAGUGUGUGAUAGAGGAAUGUGUACCUUGAGAGUGUGCAAUCCUUAGAUGACAAGACAAAAAAAAAAAAGUUGUCCAAAAUUGAUUGAAAUCUUUCACAAAGGAUAGUCUUGUAUACCCCUUGUAUAGUUAGAACAUUUACCAGUAUAGUUAGUAUAACACCCUUGUACAAUGGUGCAAAUUUCAUCCAUAUGCAUACAUUAUGUGCUACAUAUGAUGUGUGAACCAUGUUUCCAAUGGUUUGAUUUAAAAAAUGAUAUAAAACAUAAAAACAAAAUUUUUCCCUAAAUAUAAUUAUUAAGGUAAAUAUUUGAAUUGUUAUAUGCGAGUUAAAUAAAGUACAUGAAUUAAAAGAAUUUGUGGUAGAAGAGCGUACAAUCCAUAGAUGACAAGAAAAAAAAAAGUUGUUCAAAAUGUACAGUCUUGUACACCUCUUGUACAAUUAGUGUAAUAACCUUGUAUAAUGAUAUAGAUUUCACAUAUAUGCAUAAAUUAUAUCCACAUGAGUGUGUAAACUAUGUUCCCAAUAGUUUGACAUUUAAAAUAAUUAAAACAAAUAAAAUGUUAUUUUAUUUUAUUUUCAAAACUAUGUUAGCUAAUUGUUCUUUUAAAAUAACAAGAUCAUAAUCUAUAUUAUAUAUACCAUGAGGAUAAGGAAUAAAAGACAUUAAUUCAUAUCAAAUAAGCAGAGUAAAUAAAGAUUUAGAAUAAAUUAAGCAAAAUUAAUCAGGCUUUAAAUGGGGUAAGAUAAAUUUUGGUACUCUGAAAAUUAAUUUGAAUCUACAGUCUCAUUUCCUAAUUAAUAUACUGCAAUACACAGAGAGACUUUGACACCAACUUUUCCCAUCAGCAGUUUCAACAACAGUUUGUUAGUCAAAGUAAUGGUAGGGGUUUUUGAAAUCUCCGUUAGCAAUGAAAGUUUAAUGAAAAUUUUAUAUUGAAUUAAAGUGUGAACGCAUUUAUUGCUAACAUUAAAAUAAUAUAGACAUUUCCAAAUACUUAAUAUUUUAAUAUAAAAUUUUCAAACACUCAUUAAAAUAAUAUAAAAGGUUUCAGACAAUUAUUAUUUUAAUAUAUAUUUAACUUAAGGUUCUGUGCUUAUAGUGUGAAACCAUUUAAUGUAUAAAAAUUAAGUUUUUGAAAUCGGAUAUCUCAAAAAUUCAGGUAAUAAAAUUCAAAAAUUUUUAAAACGUCACUUCGUGUCAAGGUAAUACCCCCCUUCUGACCAGACAGAGUCUCCCUAACAUGCCAAUUUUCAGGCAAAAACGGGUUUAAGGUUAAGGGUUAAGACUAAAGACUCUAGUUUUAAAACAUGAUUUUACACCCAAAAUUUUCUAAAUAACCCGAUUUUUUUUUUUUAUGUUGAUGAGAACAUUAUAUAAAAAGGAUCCACAUAUAUUACAUAUAUUAAAUAGUAAAGAAAACUUAAAAAUAAUUCAAAUAAUUUUCUUUUCCAUACUUUACCUUUUUACCCCUUUUACCCCUUAAGGGUAAGAAAAAUACAUAAUAAAAUAAAUUCUAAAUGAAAGCAAAAAUUUAACAGAAAAUUAAUUCUUACUUUCUUAUUGAUUGCUGAUAAAUGUACAAAACACAAAUUAUUAAAAAAUAAAACCGAUAAAUAUAUGCACUUAGGAAUAAUUUUAAUAGGAAUAAUAGGACUUCAUCGUAAAGAAAUUGGAGCACUUAUAAAUAUUAACCUUUUAGAUACUAGAAACAAUAUAGUAAGACGAGCUCUUUUAGCUAGUGCAGAAGUUAAUAUGAACCAAAAUUAUGCAGUUAUUGAUUGUAUACCUCAAUUUUGUAUAGAUCUUAAGGAAUUCACAGAAAAAAUAAAAAUAACUGUAAAUACUAAAGGUUAUGAUAUGGAAUUAGGAAGUAAAAACCUUAGCAUAGCUAUAGGAUUUAUAGGAAAAACUACUAACGCUUUAAGUUUAAAAUGUAUAAUGGAAUUCGAUGAUAUAGUAAAAACCUUUGGAAGUAAGACAGUAAAUAUGAUAGAAGCAAAACCUGUAAAUAUAGACUAUUUACUAGGACGAGAGUGGGAAUUACCUUAAAUAAAUAAACCAAUAAUAAAAUAUCCAACAUCCAGUAGCUUAUAUGAAAACCAAGAUGGAAGUGCAAGUAUAACCUUUGGAAAUUAUAAAACUGUAAAUGUAGAGGUAGAGUCAGAUAGUGAGAUAGAAACUGUGAAUGUUAUAUAAGAAGAUAUUUUACUAAACAUUGAGACAGUAGAAAACCUAUACAAAAUCUUAGAGUUAGUAAAUAUAAUGUUAGAGGAAUUUAGUAAUCCAACAUUACUAGACGAACAAGUGGAUCAAGAAAACUUUGUUAAUAUAAUGUGUAAAAACUAUACAAAUGACCAAAUAAUAGAACAACUCUAUAAAACCAAUUUAAUCAAAAAAACUUAUAGAUAUAGAAAUGAUAAAUCAAUUUACUAUUCAACCAAAAGUUAACAUCUCAAACGAAUCAAUAAAUACAAUAAAUGAAGAAAAGGAAUUUGUAAAUGUAAGAAGUGAAAUAGUAAAAUAUAAUAAGCCGUAUAGCAAGCCAAAAGGACCUCAAUGGAAAACUAAAACAGAACCUUAUAGUUUUUUGCAACCAGUAUAUAAUUCUUUGCAACCUGUAUUAUUAGAUAUAGAUAGUGCGCAAGAUCUUAGAAAAACCAUAGAAAAUUGGAAGCAAUCUUUAAAUUCAGCAGGUGUGGUAGUAUCCUUUGAAAACCAACAAGAAAUUUACGAAUUUUGUAAAAACACCCUUAGAGGAACUGUACUACAAUUUUUUAGAAACAUGGAACAAGAAAACAACAGUUAUUUUCAAGAAGUUAGAAAUAAUUUUAGCAUAUCUGUAUUUACAAAUCUAAUAAAACUUUAUUUUUUGGGAACAACACAAGAAGAUGUAAAAGAACCUGCAAUAUACUUUCAUAAGUUAGAACAAUUGAAAUUAUGUAACCUUUCAUAUAUAAGGGAAUAUGAACAAAAAUUUAGGAAAUAUGCAAUCCUUGCUAGAGUAGACAGAACCCCUGAAUAUUUAAAUAAAUAUAUAUUAAAAAUACAAGGAUCUGUAGGACUUAGACUAUGGAAUGAAUUUACAACUUCCGAGUAUAAAAAUUCUCCUUAUAUAGGUGCUAGAAUAGAAUUUGUAAAAAAUUGGUUAGAAAGAGAAUGUGUAAGCAUAGGAGAAAGAAGUCAAAUAAAGAAACAAGACAUAAAUCAACAACUUUGUAGAAAAUUACAUAUAGGAGAAAACCUAGAUAUAGGAUGUAGAGAAUAUAAGUUUAGAAAACCUAAGAGAUAUAAUAAAUUUUUAAGAAGAAAGUCAAGAACCUUUUAUAAAAAAACGACCAUAUUAGACAAAAUAUAAAAAACCUGGAAAGUUUUGGAUAAAAAGAAAAAGAACCUCAGAAAGAAAAAGACAGUGUAAAUGUUAUUUGUGUGGUCAGGAAGGCCAUAUAAGACUUGAAUGUCCUGAACUUAAAAAACUAUUAAAUGAACGAAAUAUAAAAACCCAAGUAAAAAUAAACCUAAUAAAUGAGUAUCAGCUAGAUAGUGAAGAAGAAGAACUUAUCAAUGAAUUAGACUUUGAAAGUGAAAAUUCAAGUGUAUAUAGUAUAGAAGAUAGUGAAAAUGAAAAAGAAGAAAUUUGUAUGAUUAUUGAAAAAGAGGAAAAUCAAGCUAAGAAAACCCCUUUAAAUUUAGAAAACCUUGUACAACCUUUAGAAAGUAAAAUAAAACCUUAUAAUAUAUGGAAAGAUUUACAAAUAAUAAUCAAAGGAAAAUUUUCAAAAGAAGAAGAAGAUAGUUGUUCAAAACCUAAGGACACAGAAGAACCAAAAAGUCCUGUAAAAGAACCAAUGAAUCCUGAAAAAAUAACCAUACAAACAAUAGAACAAGUAAAUAUGGCAAAUAAAGUUAAAUCUAUUAUUUUUCCAACAACAAUUAAAUUAAAAACCAUAGAAUUAAAGGUAGACGCAAUGUUAGAUACUGGAGCCAGUAAAAACCUUUUAUUUGAAACCCUAGUCCCUCAAGAAGAUCAACAAACAUUAGUUCAACCAGUAGAGUUAAUCCAAUACAAUCAACAAAAACUAAUACUAACCAAGUAUAUUUCAAACGUACCAAUCAUAAUUAAUAACAUAACCUUAGUAUUGCCCCAAACUUAUCUUGUACCUACUAUAAGUUUAUAUCCUUUUAUUUUAGGUUUAAAUUUUGUACAUUCUUUACAAGGAGGGAUAACAAUACAAAAUAACCAAGUUAGUUUUCAUCCUAAAACCACAACAAUUGUUUAUACAAACAUGGAAAAUGUAUUAAAUAAAAAUCAGAAUGUAACAUCUCAUCAAAUUAGCAAAAUGGAGGCACAAAAGGAUAACAUAAUUAAUGACUACUCAGAACAAUUAAGAAAUGCAAAUAGAUUAAAAAACCUUAUAUUAGAAGCAGAAAAAAUAGGAAUUAUAGGGGAAGACCCACAAAAACAUUGGAAUAAAAAUAAGAAAACCUGUAAAAUACCAAUUUAAAACCCAGAUUUAACAAUAAAAACGGCAGAUAUAGCAUGUAAUCUUAAGAUACAAAGGAAUUCAAAAUUCAAAUAGAAGAACUAUUACAUAAUAAGCUCAUAAAACCAAGUUUCAGUCCCCAUAGAUCCUCAGCUUUUUUAGUUAGAAACCAUAAUGAAGAAAAACGAGAAAAAGUUAGGAUGGUUAUUAAUUAUAAAAGAUUGAAUGAUAAUACAUAUGAUGAUGCCUAUAAAAUUCAAAAUAAAGAUUCUUUAAUUAAUUCUAUUCAAGGAUGUAAAUAUUUUUCUCAAUUAGACUGUAAAAGUGGAUUUUGGCAAAUUAGAUUAGAAGAAGAUAGUAAACCAUGGACAACGUUUUCAUGUCCUUGUGGAUUAUAUGAAUGGAAUGUAAUGUCAUUUGAACUAAAAAAUGUUCCACAGAUAUUCCGACGAAUGAUGAAUAAUAUUUUUGAAAAAUAUUCUUUUGUUCUUGUAUAUAUUGAUGAUAUUCUUGUCUUUUCAUAUACUCUUCAGGAACACAUAAAGCAUUUAGAAUUGAUUUUUGAAAAACUAGUUAGUCAUGGAUUAAUAGUAAGUAAAAAGAAAUUGAAAUUAUUUAAGACUCAAAUAGAAUUUUUAGGAUUAGAAUUAGAGGAUGGACAAAUAAAAUUACAAGAACAUAUAGUACAAAAAAUAAAUAAUUUUCCAGACAAACUCGAAGACUUAAAAACCUUUCAAAGUUUUUUAGGAUUAUUAAAUUAUGCUAGGCCAUAUAUUAAAAACCUUAGUAGAUUAGUUGGACCCCUUUAUAGUAAAACAAAAAACACAGGGUAGAGAUAUUUUAACUAAGAAGAUAUUAAACUUAUACAGAAAAUAAAAGAACUUGUGAAACAUCUCCCAACCUUACAUUUACCCUUAGAAAAUGAAUAUAAAAUAGUUCAAACUGAUGCUAGUCAAACAGGAUGGGGAGGUAUACUUUUAGCAAUAACUAAUAUAGGAGAAGAAAAACUUUGUAGAUAUUGUAGUGGAACUUUUAAUGAUUAUCAAAAGAACCUUAGUUCUACAUACUUAGAAAUUAAAGCAAUAAUAUUAGUCUUAGAAAAAUUUCAAUUAUUUUUGAACCAAGAACAAUUUACUUUAAGAACCGAUUGUGAGAAUAUUAAAAAAUUCUUUGAAAACAAAAAUUCUUCAAAACUGUCCACCAAAAGAUGGAUAAAGUUUCAAAACUCUUUAAUUGAUUUCAAACCUAAAUUUGAACAUAUUAAAGGAAAAGAUAAUAUACUAGCAGACUAGUUAAGUAGACAAAUAAUUAAUAAUGUUGAUGAUACUAAUGAUUGAUUUCAUGAUUACAAGAACAUGGCUCAAAGAAAACCUACGAAAGCUAGAACCUUUCAAUAUGGAACCAUUUGUCUGAACGAAGUGUUAAAUCCAAAUAUGAGGUUUAACUCUUUAUUUUCUCAAAACCUUUUUGAAGAACAUAAGGUUAUUGUAGAUAAUUUUUUGUCUCUAAAACCACAAAGUUUUUCGAACCAAAAUUUAGAAUACGCUUAUGGAAAAACAGUGUUAGCUUUAGCCCAACAUUUACAAAACCUUCAAAACCAACUGAUUGCUUUAGAAACCCAAAAAUUCCAAAACCUCAAAAUCCAAGAAAAUCAAGAAAAACUGAUAGAAUAUUUGAAAACCAGUACAGUGUCAACCAAUCAAACCAGUUGUUCGAACAAUCAACUUGAAGUAAUUAGUUUAAUUAAGAAAUCAACUCUUCUGAUUGAACAAUAUGAAAAGCUUGUUGUUAAAAACAUAAUUGGAGUUGAUAACUACUCUUUCGUCAAAACCUUUUUCCUACAAAAUCAAUAUAACAAAGUAUUUAAAAAUCAAGAACUUUUGUAUAAACAUUUUAGAACCAAAAAUGCCGGGAUAAAAACAGGGUAUAUGGCAUAUCACGACCCUGAAUUUUUCUUUGUUAUAUAUUUAGCUUAUGUAAAUAUGUCUGUUAUAAAUAUAGAAAAUUUUGAUUUAGUACCACAACUCAUGGAUCAGGGAAUUUUAAAAAAUGUUUUUAUAAACCAUAUAUCUCAAAUCCCUAAAAAUUUCCUAGAAAAAUUGAAAGAUAUUUUAACUUAUUUUUUUAAAACCGAAAAAUAUAUAGAUAUUUCUUUUGAAACCAUUUCACCUUUAUUUCAACCCGAUGGAUCAGUAGUACCAGCCUAUCAUCAUGUAUAUAUAAAACAUAAUAAAGAACAACUCAUCCCUCGAUAAGAACCAGAAUGGGAAAUGAUCCGUUUAGAUGAAUUUCCAGAAUUUUUUACUCACUUUAGAGCUUUUCAAAUCUAUGAUCUUAGACCAACCCGGAAUAAAUUAUUUCAUCUCAUUGGUUAAACAAAAACCAUGUCUAUAUGGAGAGUAAAACCUUUAGAACACAUUAUUGUUCCAAAACCUUUUAUUACUUUUGAAGAACAAGAUUUUAUAACCAAACUCAGUGUAGAUAUACCGGAACCAUCUUCCUACCUCAGCGAUGACGCAUUAUUUUGGGACAACCUGGACGAUGAAAGUUAUCAUAAUUUACAAAAUGCAAUGGAAGGGUGAUGUUAGCAAUGACGACAUUGAGGCAGUAAAUGCGUCUUCAACUACAAAAAUUCAAUGUGGCAGUACAAGUUCAGAAGCAGUAAAGACAUCUACAGGCCACGUAUUAUGCAUGUGAUAAAAAGAGAGAAGAAAAGGACAAGAAAAAAAGACAAGAAGGAAGAGAAGAACAGGUGAAUAAACAAAAGUCAAAAGUCUCAGAAGUCUUUUAUCAUCUUUGUAUUUAUUUUAUACCAAACCUCUAAACACCGUAAAUAUUUUUCCUACCGUCCAACCACUUGAAUUUAAUUCUCACCUGUAUUGUCACCUGUCACUUGUAAAUACUUUGCCUAUAAAUUAGUGGUAGUAAAAGAAAAGAAGUGUGCUCGAGAAAGUGUGUCCGAAGGUGUGUGCAACAUAGUGUAAAGUUGUCUGUGAAAGAAAACUGUAUCUUCAACCUUGUACAUUUAUCAUCAAUCAAUAAGAAAGUAAGAAUUAAUUUUCUGUUAAAUUUUUGCUUUCAUUUAGAAUAUAUUUUAUUAUGUAUUUUUCUUACCCUUAGAAAGUAUUUUUUUAAAUAGUUUUUUAACAAUAUUUUUCUUUAGUUAUAAUUUAAAAUAGAAAAUAAUGCUAAUUUUCAAUUAGUUAUAAAUAAAAUAAAAUUUAAAAACAAUGAAAAAUCUAAAUUAUUAAAAUAGAAUUAUUAUAGUUGCAUGAAUAGUGGUGCAAUAAAGACCAAAAAAGCUUAUGUGAAAGAUCAUUGGGUGUUUUAGUCCAUUAUUAUUUUAUAUCCUUAAAAGGUAAUAUAUGGAAAUUUAAAGGGCAUAUUGGUCUCUUAACAUCUUAUAUCAUUUCCAUUAAUUAUGUAAGUUAUAUGGACCAAAUGUUAAUUUUUGAACUCAAUUGGACUCAAAACACAAUUGUCCCUUUUAUUUAUACAUUCUUCUGGCAUUGACCACGUGUUUAGGAUGUGUUGCACUAAAAUCUCAUGAUAAACUUGCAGUUCAAAAUCACAAACUAGAUGUAUGUAUUAGAAACAGACCAUAUUGGGUCAUGCACAUUCUUCGUCAUUUUCUAUUUCUUAGCAACAUAUAUGACCAAAUGAAAUUAUUAUACCCUAAUUAUAUUUUUUUAACUAGGUGAUAAAGAUAAUUAAAAUAUUAUUAGAAAAAACAAUCAUAUAGGUUUAAAUAGAAUUUCACACUUAGCCGUAUGAUAACAAAUUUUGUCAAUUAAAUAAAUACAACUUAAAAUAACAAAUUAAAUAAAAAAAAUGAAUAGUUCAAUUUUAAAAUUUUUACUCCUACAAAUUCACUAAUGAUUAAAAAUAUUGCAUUUAAAAAAAAAAAAACAAAUCACUUUUUGCUUUCACAGUCUAUAUGACAUUCCAACCUUAGAUCCCAUAGUUUGAGUAAGUUUGAGGCUAGAUUUGAGACAACCCAGUGAUACUACUUCGGUUAGUUCACACAAAUUCAAUAGAUUAUCACAUAACUAGUGCAUGCAUUAUCUUGCCUAGAAUAAUAUCUUAAUAUAACUUGGGCAAAAUCAGAGAGAAGUGGUGUUUAUUGUAGUGAGAAAUCAGAGGGAAAUCAUUGAAUGAUUUAUAGGUUGUGAAAUUAGAGAGAAAAAGAUGAGCUUUGCUGGUUUGAAAUCUAGAGUCUCUGAAGACAAGCAAAGAGCAAGAUUAUGAGAAAGGGUAACUUGAGCCUCAAAAAUAUGUAAAUAUAUAAAUUUGGCAUCUAUGAAAUCGGUCAGGCCAUAAUCAACAUGUACAGUCACAACUUUUUGUUGAGACAUGUGCCUCUCAGAACAUUUGAAGUUAAGAUGUUUGUCUUCAAUUUGAUUGCUCUUUGUGACUUUGAGAUUCUCAUUCCUUUUGAUGUAAAAAAAAGAAAAAAAAAAAAAAAGAAUUAAAAGAUGUAGGGUAAAAUGUUAAAUAGUGUGAGUUUGAAUUAAUAAAGUUUUAAUCAAAAUUGGAAAUUAAGGUGAAGUAUCUAAUUUGCCUUGAUCACAAAGGAAGCAAAGAUUGACCAAUCAGAGCUUUGAGUCUUUCACUAAUCAUAUGAUGGUUUCACUUUUAAUUGUUUGAGAUAUUCCAUAUAGAUAUCCAUCAAACCUAAGGAUAAGACAUUAAAUUGUGUAAUUUUUGUAUAAUGAACUAGUUCACAAAAUGUUUAAUACUUCAAAAGUGAUAACUUACGAAGUAAAGAAUCAAUCCCAACAACUUUAGUUAGCAAAAUAAUGUCGUAAUUCUAUUUUUAACUCAUUUGAAAUACUUCUCAAAACAAUAUUCCGAAGGACAAAAAAAAUUGAAUUUAUAAUGUAGUUUCCUACAUAAUUUGAUUUCUUAUUCUUGCUUCGAGAAUCUAUCUCUUUUUUACACCAACAAAUAUGUAUAGUACAAAAUAAAAUAAAGUGUGAGGCACCGCUUUAAUCAGAAUAAUUAAUUGAAAUGAAAUGUUUGACUUGCCUUGAUUAAUAAGGACUUUCAUGGCUGACCUGAUAGAGGUUGGGCUCUUAAUGUCAUCCAUUCAGCAAUGUAUCAUACCCUACCAAAGCUUGAUCAAGUCUAAGGCUAAGCUGUAAUUGGUUUAGCUAGGAAAAAAAAAGAGAAGAAAAACGAGAUCAUUAGAAAGAAUUUUCAGUCCCUUUAAAUCACUUAGCCAUAUAAUAAAGGAUCGUAGCUCACAAAAAACUUGAGAUAAAUGUUUAGUAUCUUCUCCAGCAUAUCCAUUCAACAAAUUUGCAAAAAAGCUCCAACCGGUUGUGCAUAUGGUCCUCUUCAUCAUCUUGGGCAUCAACAACAUUACUGUCAAUAUUCUGUGUCCAUUGGAGAAUCGCUAUGCUCAGUGCACUGUGUACAGUCAUAGCUUGUUUGUGCAUUAGAAUUAGCAUCUUCUGCUGCUGAUCUGGUAUCACAACUUCUCUGCUCAUCAUUGUACUCUAUCAUUGUCUGAUGGUCGCGCUUGGUCGCUUCUGGGUUGUCACAGCUUCUCUGAGCAUCAGUACUGGUAUCUUCUGGGAUGUUUCUGUUGAUAACAUCACCUGUAUAUAUAAGAUGGAACCCCCACUCUUUCACUUCGACUGGUGUACCGUCAAAGCUACGAAAUGAAGCCUUCAAACGUCUCCAUUCGUUUGACCAAUACUGGUUGUUAAUAGCAACCUUGGGAUAACAAGUCACACACAUUUGACUUGAUUCACCACAAAUUCGGCAGCUAUAAAACAGGACAUCAUCCACGUCACAGCAUUCAGAUUGAUCACCACAGAUAUUGAGUUCGCAAUUCAACCCAUCACAAGCAAUAGGAGUAAAAACAGAGUAGAAAGCAAAUCCUAAGAAGUCAUUAUUUCUGUACCAAUCCAUAGGAAGCUCUAUUGUUAUUUGAGACCCUUUUUUUUGCUGGCUUGUCCACUCUGGAAUUCCAUUAUUUCCCGAAAUUACAACUCUGAUUGCCUUAAUCCAAUAGAAGCCGCAUUCAAAUUCCUGCACAGAAGUACAGUGUUAAUACUCUGUGUUCAUAAGGAAAAAGGGCUGAAUGUUAUGAAAAUCAUACCUCAAUUGUUGAUUUAAAGCAUUUGAACAGAGAAAAACCAAGUAGACUUGAUGGACUUGAUAAAGUUUCUAAGCAUGUGCAACUGUGGACUUCUAGAACUCGUAAACUUGGCAGAAGCUCUGGAACUUGUAGAAGCCUCUGGCAGUGACUCAAGUCAAGGACUCUCAGUUUGGAAAGUUGAAUGAUGCCUGCAAGUAUGCUACUAAAACAGUCCAUGCUUAGAUUUAGACCUGAAGCGUGCAAACACUCUAAACAUUGCAAACUCCUCACGUUCUCGGGAAAUUCCUCAAGUUUUGUACAGAAACUGACAUCUAGAAUUUUGAGAGAACUCAAAUUACAAAUGGUCUCUGGAAGACUCACAAGGUUGGUGCAAUCUGCAAGAUUCAAACAUUGAAGCCCUCUUAAAUAUUGAAUUGACGCUGGUAGUUCUUCUAUAGCAGUUCCAUCUAAAUGAAGCUUUCUUAAAUUUUCCACAUCCUCAAGGAUUUCUGGAAAGCUCCUUAAUCAUGAACAGCCUGAGCAGUCGAGAGUUGUAAGGGAUUUCAACUCACAUAUGCUACUGGGAAGAUGCUCAAGGUUUUUGCAUUCUCGCAAGCACAAGCUAUCAAGUUCUAAGGGACACUCAAUAGUGGGUAGUUCAUUGAUGGCAUUUCCCUUUAAACAAAGCUUCCGUCUGGAUUGCACAUCCUCUUAACAUUCCUGGCAAAUGGUGGGUAUCAUUGCUUUACCAUUGUUCUUUUCAUGAUCAUGGGCAUAUAUAAGAUGGAUCCCACACUCUUCCACUUUCAUUGCUUUACCACAUAAGAAGCCACAAAAUGAAGCGGUCAACUGCCUCCACCUCCGUUUAUUUGAGUGAUACUUCUCAAUCUCCACCUUGGGAUAAUAAAUCAUCCACAUAUUUGGUACAACAUCAUAGCAGUGAAACGUGGGAUAAAACCGGAGUUCAUCCACAAACUGAGAUUCAUGAGCACGCAAAGUCAAACCACACUUGAGGGAAGUUGCAUAAUUCUCCAGUGUCUCCUCAGAUUCAUUAUCAAGUGGAUCAUAGAGAGAGUACAAAACAAAACCCAACAAGUCGUUAUUUUUAUACCAAUUUUCAGGAAGCUCUGCUACCACUUUAGCUCCCUUUUUGUGAUGGCUUAUCCAUUUUGGAAUUCCACAACUUCCUGAAAUAAUAAGAUGUACUCGGGCAAAACGGUUUUCUCUAGGAUAAAUCCUGCAUUCAAAAUCCUGCACAAAAUUUAAUUAACGCGUAAAUCCCCAUGUCUCCAUAGAAAAAGUUUUGUUCUAUGAAUAUCAUACCUGAAUCAAUGAUUUGAAGCAGUUGAAUAGAGAAGACCAGAGUAGACCGGAAGAAGUUUCCAGCCGUGUGCACUCAUGUACAUCUAAGACACGCAAACUGGAUGGAAGCGCUGGAAUUUGUCGAAGCUCUUGACAGUGACCCAAGUCAAGGAGUCUCAGCAUAGAAAGUUGAUUGACCCCAGAAGGUAUGCUCCUAAAAAGAUUCCCGGUUAGAAGUAAUUGUCGCAGAGAUGAUAGGUGGCAAAUUUCAGUGGGGAUUCCUCCUUCAUCUAUACUGCAGAAAGAUAGAUCUAACACUUCCAACGAGUACAAGCAGCAAAUAUCACUCAGGAUUUCUCCUUGUAUUAGCUUUGACCCAGUUAGAAUUAAAUUCUUUAAGGAGCAUAAACCCGACAAAGAAAGCAAUUGGCAACAUGUUGAAUUUAAGCCACAAGCACGGAGAUGCUUCAAGCUUUGCAGCCUCCCUAGGUUUUGUGGCAAUUUGUGGAGUUUUGAACAGUAACUGACAUUGAGAACUUCAAGAAAGCAUAAAUUACAAAUGCUUUCUGGAAGAGUCACAAGGUUUUCGCAGCGGUCCAGAUUCAAAACUUCAAGCCUAUUCAAAUGUUCGAUUGAUGAUGGUAGCUCUUUUAUAGCCGUUUCGUUCAAGUGAAGCUCCCUUAAGUUUUCCAUAUUCUCCAAGAUUUCUGGAAAGUACUGUAAUUGUGAACAGUGAGAGCAAAAGAGAGAUUUUAGGGAUUUGAACUCCCAAAUGCUUGUUGGCAGACUCUCAAGGUUUUUGCACUCUCGCAAACAUAAGGUAUCAAAUUCAGAGGCAUGCUCAAUGGGUAGUAGGCUGAUUGUCUGACCCUUUAAACAAAGCUUUCGGUGUUCCACGUUCCUCUGACAAUCCAAGCAUCUAGCAUCCACAUCCUCAGUCUGUACUACUAUUGGAUCUUGGGAGUAUAUAGGUUGGAGCCCACACUUGAGCACCUUAAAAUGACUCUGAGGGUCCUUAAAUGUAGCCGCAAGAUACAUGAAUGGAUUGGUGGGACCGCUCUCCAGAAUAGCAGCCUUGGGAUAGAAUAUCACCCACAUUUGUUCUGAUACACCUCCAUUAUGGUAGCAUUUACAAGUAGAGCGAAAACUGAGAUGUCGCACACACAGGGAAGAAGAUCCAUAUCCUUCACUCAAUGACAGUUGACAUUGUAACUCAGUGGAGAUUGAAGAUUCAGCUUCAAGUAAAUCAUCAGAUUCAUUCUCCAAUGUAUGUGCAAAAUCAUUUUCUGGUAUAUCCUCACAUUCAUCGAGUGGAGCAUAAACACAGCAUAUAGCAAUCCCCAAGAAGUCAUCAUUUUCAUAACAAUUCUGAGGAAGCUCCAUUGUGAUUCGAUAUCCCUCUCUCUGAUUCCUUAUCCACUUGGGAAUUCCACUGCUUCCCGGAACAACAAUACAGAUUCCAUCGCCAAUGUAGUCGGAAUUAGGGAGAAAUACUCCAUUUGAACUCUUCUCGUGUUUCAAAUCCUGCACAAAUGGACAAUGUAAAUCUAGUGGGUCUGUGUCAUUAUGUGAGUUUUUAUGAGAGAGUUUGUUAUCAGUUUUCGAUAAAUUGAUUCCCAGUUUUAACUUUCUUUGAUCUAUGCUCCUGAAUCUACUUAAUAUCCCUUUUAGAUGAUGGAUAAUCAAUGAACAUGAAAGUGAGUGACAAGAUUAAGUGUGAAAACUGGAAGUGAGGGGAAACUGAAACUGGAAAGUGAGUAGAAUAAGCAGAUCUCUUCUUCACUUGCAGUAGCUCCUUCUCCAUUCAGAUUCAGAGAUCUUAGAAUUGUAGCUUCAACUUAACUCUCAGAAUCUUAAAGACAAAGUUCGCUCAAGUUUCAAAAACUCAUAGAAAAAUUUCGCCUCAUGUUUCUCUUAAUCCCAUGAGGCGAGAGACAUGCAGCACAUGCUUAUUGGCUUUUUUCCAUGCAAGUUUCAAGGUGGAGCAUCUAAUGAACUAAAACAUUCCUUCAAAUCCUAGUGGAAAUUCACACUAGAAAUUUCAGAAUUUGCUAAAGAAAGGUUUAAUUCAUUUUAUCCAUGAAUAAAAAAUCAUGUGAGGGCAUUUUAACUUCCUAAUAAUUAUUAUAUUAAACUAUAAUUCUCAUUAUUUAAACUCGUGAUCUGUAACUUUAUCAUCACAUUUUGAAGAGACUUUCGUCAUCUCUUCCAUGAAUUAAUUGAUGUUUAAGGAGGUAUAAUAAACUUUUAAUUGAAUUUAACAUUAUUUCUAUCCUUAUACUCAUCUUAAACUCUAAUUUUUUUUUUUUACUCUUAUCAAAAAAAAUAAAAACUUAACAGAAAAAAAAAAUUUCAAUUACUCCGUGUUCACGAGGAAAAAUGGCUGAAUGUUAUGAAAAUCAUACCUCAAUUGUUGAUUUAAAGCAUUUGAACAGAGAAACACCAAGUAGACUUGAUGGACUUGAUAAAGUUUCCAAGCAUGUGCAACUGUGGACAUCUAGAACUCGUAAACUUGGCGUAAGCUCUGGAACUUGUAGAGGCCCCUGGCAGUGACUCAAUUCAACGACUCUCAGUUUAGAAAGUUGAAUGAUGCCUGCAAGUAUGCUACUAAAACAGUCCAUGCUUAGAUUUAGACCUGAAGCAUGCAAACACUCUAAACAUUGCAAACUCCUCAGGUUCUUGGGAAAUUCCUCAAGUUUUGUACAGAAACUGACAUCUAGAAUUUUAAGAGAACUCAAAUUACAAAUGGUCUCUGGAAGACUCACAAGGUUGGUGCAAUCUGCAAGAUUCAAACAUUGAAGCCCUCUUAAAUAUUGAAUUGAUGCUGGUAGUUCUUUUAUAGCAGUUCCAUCUAAAUGAAGAUUUCUUAAAUUUUCCACAUCCUCAAGGAUUUCUGGAAAGCUCCUUAAUCGUGAACAGCCUGAGCAGUUGAGAGUUGUAAGGGAUUUCAACUCACAAAUGCUACUGGGAAGACGCUCAAGGUUUUUGCAUUCUCGCAAACAUAAGCUAUCAAAUUCUAAGGGACACUCAAUAGUGGGUAGUUCAUUGAUGGCACUUCCCUUUAAACAAAGCUUCCGUCGGGAUUGCACAUCCGCUUGACAUUUCCGGCAAAUGGUGGGUAUCAUUGCUUUACCAUUGUUCUUUUCAUGAUCAUGGGCAUAUAUAAGAUGGAUCCCACACUCUUCCACUUUCAUUGCUUUACCAUGUGAGAAGCCACAAAAUGAAGCCGUCAACUGCCUCCAUUUAUUUGAGUGAUACUUCUUCUCAAUCACCACCUUUGCAUAAUAAAUCAUCCACAUUUUUGGUACAACAUCAUAGCAGCGAAACGAUGGAUAAAACUGGAGUUCAUCCACAAACUGAGAUUCAUGAGCACGCAAAGUCAAAGAACACUUGAGGUAAGCUGCAUCAUUCUCCAGUGUCUCCUCAGAUUCAUUAUCAAGUGGAUCAUAAAGAGAGUACAAAACAAAACCCAACAAGUCGUUAUUUUUAUACCAAUUUUCAGGAAGCUUUGCUACCACUUUAGCUCCCUUUUUGUGAUGGCUUAUCCAUUUUGGAAUUCCACAACUUCCUGAAAUAAUAAGAUUUACUCGGGCAAAAAGGCUGUCUCUAGGAUAAAUCCUGCAUUCAAAAUCCUGCACAAAAUUUAAUUAACACGUAAAUCCCCAUGUCUCCAUAGAAAAAGUUUUGUUCUAUGAAUAUCAUACCUGAAUCAAUGAUUUGAAGCAGUUGAAUAGAGAAGACCAGAGUAGACCCGAAGAAGUUUCCAGCCAUGGGCACUCAUGUACAUCUAAGACACGCAAACUGGAUGGAAGCGCUGGAAUUUGUCGAAGCUCUUGACAGUGACCCAAGUUAAGGAUUCUCAGCAUAGAAAGUUGAUUGACCCCAGAAGGUAUGCUCCUAAAAAGAUUCCCACUUAGAUGUAAAUGUUGCAGAGAUGAUAGGUGGCAAAUUUCAGUGGGGAUUCCUCCUUCAUCUAUUCUGCAGAAAGAUAGAUCUAACACUUCCAACGAGUACAAGCAGCAAAUAUCACUCAGGACUACUCCUUGCAUUAGCUUUGACCCAGGUAGAAUUAAAUUCUUUAAGGAGCAUAAACCCAACAAAGAAACCAAUUGGCAACAUGUUGAAUUUAAGCCACAAGCACAGAGAUGCUUCAAGCUUUGCAGCCUCCCCAGGUUUUGUGGCAAUUUGUGGAGUUUUGAACAGUAACUGACAUCGAGAACUUCAAGAAAGCAUAAAUUACAAAUGCUUUCUGGAAGAGUCACAAGUUUUUUGCAGCCCUCCAGAUUCAAAACUUCAAGCCUAUUCAAAUGUUCGAUUGAUGAUGGUAGCUCUUUUAUAGCCGUUUCAUUCAAGUGAAGCUCCCUUAAGUUUUCCAUAUUCUCCAAGAUUUCUGGAAAGUACUGUAAUUGUGAACAGUGAGAGCAAAAGAGAGAUUUUAGGGAUUUGAACUCCCAAAUGCUUGUUGGCAGACUCUCAAGGUUUUUGCACUCUCGCAAACAUAAGGUAUCAAAUUCAGAGGCAUGCUCAAUGGGUAGUAGGCUGAUUGGCUGACCCUUUAAACAAAGCUUUCGGUGUUCCACGUUCCUCUGACAUUCCAAGCAGCUAGCAUCCACAUCCUCAGUCUGUACUAUUGGGUCUUGGGAGUAUAUAGGUUGGAGCCCACACUUGAGCACCUUAAAAUGAUUGCGAGAGUCUAUAAAUACAGCAUUAAGAUGCAUGAAUCGAUUGGUGUGACAGCUCUCCAGAAUAGCAGCCUUGGGAUAGAAUAUCACCCACAUUUGUCCUGAUACACCUCCAUUAUGGUAGCAUUUACAAGUAGAGCAAAAACUGAGAUGUCGCACACACAGGGAAGAAGAUCCAUAUCCUUCACUCAAUGACAGUUGACAUUGUAACUUAGUGGAGAUUGAAGAUUCAGCUUCAAGUAAAUCAUCAUCUUCAUUUAGGACUUCGUCACCAGAUGGAUUCUCCAAUGUAUGUGCAAAAUAAUUUUCAGGUGUGUCCUCACAUUCAUAGAUUGGAGCAUAAACAGAGCAUAUAGCAAUUCCCAAGAAGUCAUCAUUUUCAUAACAAUUCUGAGGAAGGCCCAUUGUGAUAUGAUAUCCCUCUGUCUGAUUCCUUAUCCACUUGGGAAUUCCACUGCUUCCCGGAACAACAAUACAGAUUCCAUCGCUAAUGUAGUCGGAAUUAGGGAGAAAUACUCCAUUUGAACUCUUCUCGUGUUUCAAAUCCUGCACAAAUGGACAAUGUAAAUCUAGUGGGUCUGUGUCAUUAUGUGAGUUUUUAUGAGAGAGUUUGUUAUCGGUUUUUGAUAAAUUGAUUCCCAGUUUUAACUUUCUUUGAUCUAUGCUCCUGAAUCUACUUAAUAUCCCUUUUAGAUGACGGAUAAUCAAUGAACAUGAAAGUGAGUGACAAGAUUAAGUGUGAAAACUGGAAGUGAGGGGAAACUGAAACUGAAAGUGAGUAGAAUAAGCAGAUCUCUUCUUCACUUGCAGUAGCUUCUUCUCCAUUCAGAUUCAGAGAUCUUAGAAUUGUAGCUUCAACUUAACUCUCAGAAUCUUAAAGACAAAGUUCGCUCAAGUUUCAAAAACUCACAGAAAAAUUUCGCCUCUUGUUUCUCUUAAUCCCAUGAGGCGAGAGACAUGUAGCACACGCUUAUUGGCUUUUUUCCAUGCAAGUUUCAAGGUGGAGCAUCUAAUGAACUAAAACAUUCCUUCAAAUCCUAGUGGAAAUUCACACUAGAAAUUUCAGAAUUUGCUAAAGAAAGGUUGAAUUCAUUUUAUCCAUGAAUAAAAAAGCAUGUGAGGGCAUUUUAACUUCCUAAUAAUUAUUAUAUUAAACUAUAAUUCUCAUUAUUUAAACUGAUGAUCUUUCACUUCAUCACGACAUUUUGACGAGACUUUUGUCAUCUCUUCCAUGAAUUAAUUGAUGUUUAAGGAGGUACAAUAUUUUUUAAUUGAAUUUAACAUUAUUUCUAUCCUUAUACUCAUUUUAAACUAUUAUAUUUUUUUUUUAUAGUUUUAUCAAAAUAAAUAAAAACUUAACAAAAAAUAAAUAAAGAUUUCAAAACAAACUUUAUAGAGUUAUCAACACUUAUUUACAUCAUUCUUUAAAAAAAAUUAUAAUUAACAAAAAUGUGAUAUAAAAAUUAUAAAGAAUAAAAUUUUUUGAAAAAUGUACUAGUUAUUUGAAAUCAAAAUUCCUAGUCAAUGAAUCGUCAAAAAACUGCAAUAGCUAUGCAAAUGAGAAAAAUAAAUAAAUUAAAAGUAAAAAAAGAAAUUAUCAAUGUCAAGAAUGAGAAACCAUUUAUUUCCUUUUUUUUUUGUAAACUUUUUUUUAUUCUGAUUGUAUGUAUUCAUUACAAUUUUUAAAUUAAUAAAUAAUGUUUUUAUCACAAAAUUUAAAAAUGGCAUCUAUCAAAAUUUAUAUAUUGUUAUUAGAUUUUUAUAAAUUUCAUUUAUAUCUUCAAAAUUACAAACUCCUUUCCAUUAUUAUUUCUUAUUUUUCUUAUUGAAAAUGCAUCUUUAUUCAUCAUUUGAAAGCAUAACACUUUGAAUCUUAGGAUGUACUUCUUUCUUCCUAGGCAUUGCACUCUCAUAGGACCCAUUAAAUCCAUAUGCAACAUCUCUAAGAUCCUAGAAGAAGAGAGAAUCAGUUUUCUCUCUCAUUCAUGCGAAUUCAUUUUCUUAGAUGGGACAGAUUUUAGGAUUUUUAGGUUUUCCUAAAUGGGAAGUGCUUUAACUAGUUCUUUAAUUGUAAUCCUAGACAAAUCAUUAGAGUUUAAAUGCGCUACCAUACAAUGCUACUGUCUUUGGAUGUAAAUUUCACAUUUUACAACUAUGUGCACUAGAUGAUAAGGAAGAAGUAGAGAGGUGCACAAAGGCAUAACAAAAAUUACCAAAAAUUUGAUUUCAUACCAACACACAUCCUUGAAUAGACACUGAUUUGGAGUAAAAUGAACAAAGCAUAUACAAUCACAAAUUUAAGUUGCAUUAAUUAAGUUUGCUUUCAAUCCAAUAUAUAGUAACUCCUCGAGUAUAGGUAAAUUUGGACCUUCUAUGGUACCUUUCACUUUCGAGUUGGUUAUAUGUAAUACAACCAUCCCUAAAUACAACCAAGCUUCCCUUUAAGGUUCAAACGUGGAGAAAAACCAUAAGUUCAUUAUUUCUUUAACCAUUCCCAAAUACAACCAAACUCCUUUUAUGAGUUCAAAAGUCGAGAGAGAUCCAAGUUCUCUGUCAUACAACUAGAGUAGCCACUCUCAAAAUCCACAACGUGUUUUUCUCUAGCUCUUAGACCCUAUGGUCAACUAAGGCUUUUUGGUUCUCCUUAACCUAGAUUUUCUUUCCAACAGACAAUUUAAAUCCUAUUUAAGAAUUGUUUUUAAAAUUAAUUUCUCAGUUCUUAAAAAUAGAAACCUAUUUUGUAGACUAAAACCAUGUUUGGCAACUUUUUGACAUAUUAUAGUUUUUUGAGAACUUGUUCUGAAAAUAAGGUUUCUCCUAAUAACAUAUUUUAAUUGCUUUCAAUUGUUUUCAUUUAUUUUGUAAGGUUGUUUUAAAAAAAUAAUGGUACAUAUAUAAAGAAUGAUGAAAAAUAAAGAACUAAAAGUAAAAGUUAUUUUUAAUAAAUAUUUGGAAAUACAAAAAAUAUAUUAAAAACAUUCUAAGUUUGUAAAUAGACUUUUAUUCUAGAAAACAUCAGACCAACUAUUUUUGAAUCAUGCAAAUUGGGCACACAUUUUCUAUGCCUAGUUUUCUGCCCAAGGCCCUGUAAAUGAACACAACCUCAAUUUUAAGGAGUUUCAAAACGAUGGUUGCUUUCUCGAAGGGGAGAGGAGUUUCGAAGGGUGGUAAGAGUUUGUUUGCAAUGGAAUCAAAGACAUUCGAAAUCCCCAUUGAAGGGAUUCGAGGCAACAGAUGGGAUUAUUCCGAAAAGGAACAAAGGCUUCUCCUCAUAGAUAAAAUUUGGUGAAAAGAGCUUCAGUUUUCUGUUGGAAGGGGUGGAAGACUAGUGCAGAGGAGAGUCAAGCUCGAGGCACCUUAAAGUUUAGGAAGAAGAAGGAAGAAAAUAUAGGUUGGAGUGUCGUUCAAAUGAAGCCGAUAGGUAUCUACUAUGCUCGAUGAGGGAUUUGGAAGCUAAGAGGUUUUGUCUAGUGUUUCCAGAAGGUAAAGGCUUAGUAGGAGGGUGGUUUCUGUUGGCUUAGAAGUUAAGGGCCCUUGGAGUUUCUACUCCAGCCUUGAGUAAAGGUGAUCUGGGUACUUCCAACUCUGAAAAGAAUGGUUAUAUGGCCAAAGGAAAAGAUAAAGGGAAAGGAGUGUAUGCAGAAGUCGUGAGAAAGGAGGUAGGGGAAUUAGGGGAUGCAUUGUGAGUGCAUGUUGGGGAUCGUGACCUGCUCAGUAGGGAAGAACAGCUUAGCCAUUGUUUAGUAGGAUGUUUUGGUGAUAGUGUAGAGGUCGUCCCUUCUUUGUCCUUAUUGAAGGAGUGGGCGUGUGAAAAGUGGUAUCUCAAGGGAGGUUUAUAAAUCUCCAAUUUGGGUGGAGCCCUUGUGUUGUUCGAAGUUGAAGAUAAAAGUUGAAGUGGAUUUGGUGCUUUUAAGGGGUAGUAGAUGUCUUAAGAAGAGAGAGUUUUUCCUGCAGAAAUGGGGACUUGAAGUUGGGUGUUUUAGAAAUGGGAGCCACCCUAAGGAAGUGUGGGUGAAAGUUGUCGGACUUCCACUUCACCUUUGGAGUAGAGAGGUGUUCAAGAGUAUUGGAGAAAGAUGUGGUGUUUCAUAGCUGUGGAUAAGGAAACUGCUUUCUCCUCCGAGUUGAUGUGGGCUCGUAUCUUGCUGAGAGCCUUUGGGAAGUUUAGACCAGGAACUUCACAAGUGGCAGUCGGGAAUUUUUGUUGGACGGUGAGUCUAUGGUGGAAAACUCCCCCAUGGUUCUCAAAGGUAGUGGCAAGGUUCGCCUAGUUUGAAAAUGAGAGACGAGAGAUCAGGGAUGAGGUUGGGGGUGAAACACGUGCCGAAGUUAGCGUGCAAUAUGUUCAAAAUUUUCAAAUUGAUAUGCAGUCUUGGGGGACAGGGGCGCAGGUUGUGUGUGGCAGAAGGAAAAGAAAGGAAGUAGUUGUAAUGGUUGCAAAGGGUAAGCUGCCUAGUGUAGCUGAUAUGGACUCUUCUUGCAGUGGGUCUGGGCCCAUAAAAGAAAAUGGGAAGGCUUUCAAAGGGAAUGGUUGUUUGGGCUUUAGUGGUGAAGUGGUUUGGGCCAAAGGCCCAUUGUCCGUUAGCCUUGAAGAGGCGAGCUUAGGUAAGUCUCCUAAGCCCACUUUUAAUAAGGCUGGCACAAGCUUUUUGGAGCGUCCCUCCUCAGCUAGGGCUCCAUCUAUUCCCGCAGGGGGUGUUGGGGGACGGAUGCGAAGCUCUUGGCUGUUGAAGUUGCAGUCACCGCGGAGUUGCUGCCACAUCGUCGGAGCGUCACUGACAAGGCUCUGAUGGAGGAGGCUUCCAGGUAUUAAGCUAUUCCCAAUUUUUCUUUGUUUUUAGGGCUUCGGGAAUCCUCUUCUUCUUCUCUCUGGGGCCACACCGAAGUUGUAGGGGUGUCGAAGGGGUUUGCUUAUGGAACGGAAUGGGAGUUGGGUCGGUUUCCACCGAGUGUGGUGCGGAAUAGAGCUGAGUCGACUUUAUGAGGCUGGAGUGAGCCUUCUUGGGACUCGGUUGACGCUAAGAGAGUGAAUGGGUUAGCACUUGUCCCGAUGAGGUCGGACUUUACGCGCCUUUUUGAGAAAAGGAGUGUCUGUCACCUAGAAGAAGGGGGAUGUGAUGAAGGGUAAGGGGGAUGUGAUGAAGGGUGGAGUUCAAGCCGUCUUGCGGUGUUCAGUCGCUGCUUGGGUAUGCCAACGAAAGGCUUCGAAAAGGAAAUUUUGUACUUCUUAAGGAGAAUGACAGGGAAAAUUGAGUAAAAGGGUAAGAGAGGGGUGACUAGGAAGACAAGUUUAAAAUCUUCAAAAUCCAACAAGGAACUCAAGAAGCUGGAGUGGACUGUUAAAGAGGCUAAUGAUAGGGGUAAAAGGAAGAUUAUCAAGUCAGUCAUUAAAUCCCAAAGAGUGGACCUGGUUUGUUUACAGGAAACUAAAAUUAAAGAAAUGACUACAGGGCUUGUUCGUAGUCUAGGGGUGGGAAGAAAUCUAAAAUGGAGAGCAGUCAAUCCUAGGGGAGCAGCUAGUGGUAUUCUGUUGUUCUGGGACAAUAGACUGGUGGAGCUGGUUGGCUAGGAAGAAGGGGUUUUCUCAAUUUGGCGUUGGUUUAAAAAUUGCAUGGAUGGUGUAGUGUGGGUGUUCACUGGAGUGUAUGGGCCAGUAUGCAAUAGAGAUAGAGAGGAUUUCUGGAAGGAACUAGGGUCAAUUAAAGGGUUAUGGAGUGACCCUUGGUGUGUAGGAGGGGAUUUCAAUUUGGUAAGGUUUCCAAAAGAGCGUAGUAGGAGAGGUGGGCUUAUUGCUUCAAUGAGGAGAUUCUCAAAAGUGAUAGAAGAUUUGGAGUUGAGGGAUUUUCCUUUGACGGGGGGCUCAUUUACUUGGAGAGGAGGCUUGAAUAACCAGGCCCAGUCUAGGCUUGACUGGUUCUUAUUGACGAACAACUGGGAUAAUCUGUUCAAUGGGGCCAUGCAGGGAAUUCUCCCCAGACCUGUCUCAGAUCAUUUCCCGAUCCUCCUAGGAGGAGGGUUGACGAAGGGACCUUCCCCUUUCAGAUUUGAGAAUAUGUGGUUGGAGGAGGAGGGUUUCAAAGACAAGAUGAAGACAUGGUGGGGGAGUUUAAAAUUUACGGGGACAUCCAACUACAUUUUAAAUGCUAAAUUGGGGACUCUUAAAAAUAUUCUGAAGAUUUGGAAUAAAGAAGAGUUUGGGCUCUAUUGGGAUGAAAAGAAGAAAUGUGCAGCUUUAAAUAUAAAAGAGUGUGAAGCAAGAAAUGGAGCAAGAGUCCUACAAGUCUUGGGUGACGAGAGAAGAGAUUUUUUGGAGACAAAAGUCUAGGAAGUUGUGGCUGAAGCGGGAGGGGGGACAAUAAUACUAGAUUUUUUCAUAGGUUGGCGAAUGCUCAUAAUAAAAGAAUCUAGUUGUCCAAGUUGAAAGUUAAUGGCUAUUGACACUCAGAGGAAAAUAAUUUAAAAAAGUGUGGUGGGGGCGUUUCAAAAACCAUACUCAAAAGAAGAGGGGUGGCGCCCUAGUAUCGACAGGUCGUCCUUUAUAGGUUAGAUAGAAGUGAGGCUGAGGGGUUGGAGAAUCCUUUCUCGGAGGAAGUGGUGUUUGCAGCUCUUUCAGAUCUAAGCAAAUACAAAGCCCUAGGGCCGCAUGGUUUUACCAUGGCAUUUUGGUUUUUUUGGUGGGAUGUGGUGAAGGUUGAGAUUAUAGGCUUUUUUAGAGAAUUUCAUGAAAGGGGUAGAUUUGUAAAAUCUCUAAAUGUCACCAUCUUGGGUUUAGUCCGUAAGAAGGGAGGUGCUCAAGAUUUGAAGGAUUUCAGACCGAUUAGCCUUGUGGAGCCUUUACAAGUUGUUGGCCAAGUGUUGCCAAAUAGAAUCAAGAAGGUAAUGGGAAAAGUGAUUUCGGAACCCAAAAUGCCUUUGUGAAGGGUAGAUAAAUACUUGAUGCAGUUUUGAUUGCAAAUGAGGCUACGAAUUCUAGGUUGAAAAGCAGUCAAGGGGGUAUGAUGUGCAAAUUGGAUAUAGAGAAGGCCUAUGAUCAUGUCUGCUAAAAGUUCGUGUUGGCAAUGCUAAAAAAAAUAGGCUUUGGUGAGAGAUGGAUUAAGUGGAUGGAGUGGUGUAUCUCUAUUAUAAGAUUCUCUGUUCUUAUAGAUGGUUCUCCCUCCGGGUUUUUCCAAAGUUCAAGGGGUUUGAGACAAAGAGACCCCUUAUCCCCUUAUCUGUUUGUGAUAGUUAUUGAGGUAUUUAGUUGCUUAUUGAGAAGGGCCAUUAGUGGGGGCUUUAUAUUAGGGUGGAGGAUAAGAGGCAGGGUGGAGAGGGGAUUCUGAUAUCUCACUUGCUUUUUGCGGAUGACACCUUGGUGUUUUGUGAGGAGUCUCAGGAUCAAUUGACGCAUCUAAGCUGGCUUCCCAUGUGGUUUGAGGCUUGCUCAUGGUUGAGAGCUAACUUGGAGAAGAGUGAGCUUAUUCCGAUGGGGAGGGUAAAAGAUAUAGAAUAUUUGGCUUUGGAAUUGGGCUAUAAAGUGGGUGGUCUGCCUUCCUGUUAUUUGGGUCUGCCUUUAGGGGCACCCUUCAAAUCAGAGGUGGUAUGGGAUAGUGUUGAAGAGAGGUUUCGAAAAAGGCUAACUAUAUGGAAGAGACAACAUAUAUCAAAAGGGGGAAGACUCACCCUAAUAUGAAGCACUCUCUAGUUUGCCAGUUUACUUCAUGUCUCUCUUCUUUUUGCCCAAAAAAGUAAGGCUAAGGUUGGAGAAGAUUCAGAGGGACUUCCUGUGGGGAAGAGGAGCUCUUGAACAAAGGUCACAUCUUGUUAGGUGGAACUUGGUUUGUCUGGAAAGAAAGAAAAGUGAUUUGGGUGUGAGAAAUUUAGCUUUGAUGAAUAAAGCUCUCUUGGGUAAGUGGAAUUGGCGCUUUGCCAUUGAAAGUGAGGCUUUGUGGAAGCAAGCGAUCGGUCACAAAUAUGAUGUAAAGGAGGGGGGAUGGUGUACUCGGGCCGUAAGUGGGAGGCAUGGUGUAGGGCUUUGGAAAGCUAUUAGAAAGGAGUGGUUGGGUAUGUAUAGAAGUUUAGUCUAUCGCGUGGGCAGUGGUAGGAAAGUGAGAUCCUGGAAGGAUAAGUAGUAUGGAGAUGAGCCUCUUUAGGAGUCCUUCCCUUCUUUAUUUGCCAUUUCCUUGGCUAAAGAUGUUUGGGUAUCAGAUGUGUGGAAACCAGAUGGUGUAGAGGAUGGUUGGACCCCUCUUUUCUCAAGGGCGCUUAAUGAUUGGGAGAUUGAGAUGGUGGAGCAGUUUAUGCUAAAAAUCCAAGCCUUUAGGGUGUAAAGGGAGGACGAGGAUACAGUGGUAUGGACAGCAUCUAAAAGUGGAGGACUAGUAUUUGGAGAGCGUAUGUGCCUCCUAAGGUAACUUUCUUCGCUUGGGAAAGCAUCCUGAGGCAAAAUCUUAACUUUGGAGCAACUCCAUUGAAAGGGGUACUCUUUGGCAAAUAGAUGUUUUCUUUGCCUUUCUGAAGCAGAAAGGGUGGAUCACCUUUUACUUCAUUGUGUUAAGACACGGGCAUUGUGGAAUCUUCUUUUUUCCCUCUUUGGUGUGACUUGGGUUCUCUCUGGUUUAGUUAAGGAAACUCUCCUUGGUUGGCAUGGAGCAUUUGUGGGAAAAACCCGUAAAAAGGCGUGGCAAAUGAAUCAUUUAUCUAUAUUUUGGUCAAUAUGGAAGGAAAGAAAUUUAUUGGCUUUUGGGAAUGAGGUGUUUUCACUCCAAAGGUUGAAACAUUCUUUUGUAUGUAAUUUUUGAUCUUGGGUUAGGGUGUUUAUAGUUUUGAGCCCUUGUUCUCUUGUUAGCUUUUUUGAGUGGCUAGGCUCUAAGUAAGGGUAGGGGUUGUCGUUUCUUUCCCCUUUCUUGGUUUAGAGUAUGUGGGUUGCUUUUGUAUACUCCCUGUAUACUUAGAGGGCACUAGUUUGGUGUUUCCUCUUUUUGUUUAAUAUAUUUCUUUUUACCUAUCAAAAAAAAAAAAAAAAAACUAUUUUUGAGAACUUUUUUCAAUAACCGUUUUUUAAGAUUUAUUUUCAAAAAAAAUUCCUAAACAAAGCCUUAACCUUCAAGGAUCUAAAACUUUGCACUAAGUUUGGUGUUUUAUUGUUGGAUUUUCUUAGUCUUGCAAGCUUUAUGAUGAUCUUGCAAUAUUUUCUUUAAUUUACUAUUCAUUUUACCUGAGCAUUAAGUUUGGCUAAGUAUUGAAGAAUAACCUUGGCAUACAUUCAACUUCUUUUAUGGACAAAGGAAUGGAGCUAGAUCAGACUUUCUUUAAAUUUAGUCAAUUCUGAUUUACGUGACUCAUAAUCAGAUUGUAAAACAUUCAAAUUUUUUAACAAGGUACCUUGCUCAUUUUCAAGGUAAGAGAUUUUUUUCAAGCAAGGAAGUCUUCUCUCAUACUUCUUUUAUUCUCAUCCAACUUUCACAAUUUUAAUCUUAAGGCUUCCUUGGCAAUCUCAAAAGACAACUUUUCUUCCAAAUAUGUUGUAUCAUGAGAUGAACCUUCAAAAUUUUCAGAUUCAAGAUCAGUUUCAAAUUUAACAUUUUUCUUUUCAUUGCAAAGUGAUAUAGAAGGUAACAAGUAUAUCAACAAUUUCGUCAGGCUCAUCAUGCUCAAAAGACACAAAUAUCAUCAAUGUCAUGUGACAAUAAAUCAUAAUUAUGUUUAUGCAUGUUUCUAGCAACUUAAUGCAAUGAAAUUUGUACAUUCUUCAUCAAAAUCAUACCAAAUUACUUCUAUGACUUUAUCCUUUUGACAUUCAAGAAAGUGACCUUUCUUGACACAAUAGAAACUUUGAAUCAACUAGAUCUUUUUUGUGCUUUUUAAUCUUUUUAUCACAUUUCUUUUCCCUUGUUUAAUCAAAUAGGUUAUCCUUUGUUUCUGGAAGCUUUUUGAACUUUUUGAAACUUUAUCAAGCCUAUAAAUUUCCAAUAUUGGUCCUUUUUUAUUCCUAUUCUGAUUUAGAAGCAUGUUUAUCUACUCCUAGUGCAAUAUUAAUGUUUCUUUUUCUUAGGAACACUUGGAGUCAUCUCCAAUUGAAGGAAGCCAACUAUCUCAUCUGGCUUUAUUGAAUCAACAGUGUUCCAUUCCUCUAUUGUUAUGACCUUAGGUCUAAAACGAUCAAAGGGGAUCUUAACAGUUUUUCGAGUAACCUUGGAAUCAGGUAGAGGCCUACAUAGAUUGAAAGUUAGCAUUCACAAUGUCCAUGAUUUCAAUAAUAUAUUAAGAAAAUAAUUUUGUUGUGAUCAUUUGAAAUUCAUUACUUCACCUAUCCCAACUUUACAUAGUUUUACCUACCCUAGUGGAUAUACAUCCAAUCUCUAUUUAGCACCUUAUCAGGAUAUCAACAAAAUUGAACAGAACUCCAAUCUCUAUUAGACUUCAUUUUCAAGAAGUAUAUCAGUUGCACCUUGGAGUGAGUAUAAUUAUCUCCUUUGAAGUAUGGAGGUCUACCUAUAGAGGUUCCUUCUCAGAGAAUUUCCAUCUUAAGAGAAUAUAGUUUAUCCAUAUUGAGAACAUGAGCAAACAUGUUUUGACACAAUUUAUGAGUUUUUAAGAGAGUAUGCAAUGAACUUGAGAUCUCUUUUAGAUUAUCAAAUAACAUAUGCACAUGAAUGUGAUUGCGUGAUUAGCACAAGGUCAUAGACUAAAAUGUCUCUAAUGAAAUCUCAGCAAACAAGCACACAAAUAUUGCACAAGAUAUAACAUGAAAAAUCUCUAAGUGGAGAAAGGAAAAUAAAUAAAUAAAUAACAGUGGGUGCCUUUGUUGUUGCAAAUCCACUAUGAAUAUAAAUCCAGUUUUGCCUACAAGUCCUCCAAGAUCAAUCACCAAUCCCCUUAAGGAAUCCUCAAAGUGAUUAUUUCUUCAAUCCACACCUCGUUUUGAUAUGCUUCAAUACGGCUCAUCAUGUACUCACCACCAAUCUCUCACCAUAGCCUCCUUCAACUCUCUUCAAUUACCACGAGUUUUCUUCUGCUCUACUAAUUACAUUACAACAGAAUCACCUUCAUUAUCUCAUUGAAGUGAUCUCCAAAAACUAGAAAACAAAAAUUCCAUUUGCAAAGCAACUUCUUCAUAUAGAUUCAGAGAACCAAAAUAAGAAGAUGUUUUCACUUGUAGCAACAUCUUCAUGUAGAUUCAGAGAACUCAAAUUGUAACUUCAAAUUCACUCUUAGAAUCUCAAUUAAGGUAAAGCUCACAUUUCAAAAUCUCCCACCAAGAGUUUCACUUACUCUUCCUUUUUGAAAUGAGAGUAGAACCAACUUAGUGCCAAGGGACAUAAGGCACACUCUUAUUGGCCUAUUGUCAUGCAAAUUUCUAGGUGGAGGAGAAUCCAACUAACUAAACAAAUGUUUUUUCGCUUCUGGCCAUUUGUUUCUAUGGUCUAGAAAAAUAUGUCCUAGAUGAUUCCCAUUGUUUCAACUCUUUCAUGAAAAAUGCUUCUCAAAUCACUCACUCCAGUCUUUCAUUCACAUUACCUGUGAACUCCAAUCUGCAGUAGUGAAAUCCUAUCAAAAGACUUGGAUUGAGUUCCUGGUUCUCGGUUGCCUAGCUCUAGCAAACCAGGACUUCUGUUAGCAACCUGGAACAAGUAGCUUAUCCUUUCAAUCCCAUUUUCAAGCUCAAUUCCCUCCACCAGUGAAAACAAAUGGUCUUAUAUAAUCAACUCCAUUCACUCCAGGGCUAUACAGGAAACACUUGUGAGCUGGCAGGCAGUAGCUCCUCCCGACUCACCAUAUUUCCAACCCCAUUUGCUCCAUCAAAUUCAUAAGAAGCUAACAAAAUAACUAGCAUUAUAUAUCAUACAAUAUCUAUGCUAGUUAAUUUACAUGGAAAAUGCAAUUUCUACCCUAAAUAUGCCAACAUACAGGAAUACAUACAAUUUAUACAAACAUUGCACGCUAACACAAGAAAAUCAUACCUGACUUGCUGAUUUGAGGCAAUUCACCAGAGAAUGCAUAGGUGGCAAUGAGAUCCCAAUUGAGCUGUGACAAUCUAACAGUCGCAGACUUGAAGGAAGCUCUGGAAUUUGUGAAAGCUUCUUGCAGUGACUCAAGUCAAGGGCUCUAAGGUUAGAGAGUUGACUGAUACCCACAAGUAUGUCACUGAGGGUUCCUCCUUCCUCUGGACUGCACCGACUUAGAUUUAAUACUUCCAGUGAGGAUAGAUGGAAAAUACAAUGGAACACUCCUCCAUUUAGAAUGCAAUUUCCUAGACUAAAUUCUUUCAAUGCGUUCAAGCAGUUAUCACUCUUUAUUACUCCUGGUGUUAGAUUGCAUUGAUCUAAAUAUAGUUCCCUUAAGAGAGAUAAACCUGACAGAGAAGGCAAUUGACAACUAAGCGAAUUUAAAUAAAGAACCUCUAGACAUGGCAUUCUCUCCAAGUCCUCCGGCAAUCUGUCAAGUUUUGAGCAGCCUUCAAGACUUAGAACAACAAGAAAUCUCAAAUUACAAAUGCUGUUCGGGAGACCCUCAAGGUUUUUACAAUUAUCCAAAUUCAAGUAGCGAAGGCCUUCUAGAAGUUCAAUCGAUGAUGGUAGCUCUUUUAUAGCUGUUUCAUCUAAACAAAGCUCCUCUAGUUUUGCAAUAUUGCUCUUGAUUUUUGGAAAACUAGCUAGUUUUGAACAGCCAGUGCAAUGAAGAGUUAAAAGGUGUUUCGACUCAUGAAUGUCCCCAGGAAGACUCUCAAGGCUUACACACCCUAUAAAAUUCAAGGAAAAAAAAAGUUAGUUUAAUAACACUCUUAUAUGUGUGUGAACCUUAAGUAAAAUUAUACAACCUGAAAGAAUUAGUUCCUCCAAAUUUGGCACGUUUGAGAAAUUUGGUAGCUCAAUGAGUUGUUGUGAAUCGCUGAGAUUGAUGCGCCUUAAAUUUCUAAGACACUGGAACAAAAUAGAAUUUCUAUUAAUAAAUCAAUUUUAAAAAACUUUAAAAUAUUAUAAAAUAAAAGCACAAAUAAAUAAUAAUCAUACCAUGUUUCCUUUCCAAAGUAGUUUUAUGUUACUAUUGCCCAAUAUGAGGGAAACAAGAUUGUUCGCAUGAAAGUUUGAUGGUAGAGAUUCUAAAGAAUAUCCAUUCCAUCUAAGGUAUGUCAAGUCAUACGGAAAUACAAAAUCUUUAGAGAGUUGUACGUGAUUGUGGGAGAUGGAAAGCAAUCUAAGUCUAUGCAUCCUUUCGAAAGCUUUGGAUGUAAACUGUAUUUGUUCUGAUUUGUCCACAUGAAGAUAUAUCCCUUCGAUUUUUUCAGUCCCCUAGAUAAUAAGAGUAUAAAAUUAGAAAAGCGCAAUAAAUAUAAAUCCUUACUAAGGUGAUAAAGAUAAAUAACGUCUUGAACAAAACAUAUUUUCUAUAUAUAUAUAUCUUACCGUAUUUCUUUUUAAUACUCGAUAAAUAUCUAUAUGUCUCCAUAAUCUGCUCCUCUCUCCUGGCUCAUUAGGACAUUCUUGAUCAACAAUGCCCUUGCCCAUUUGGGCUAACAAAUCAUGCAUAUCUAUUCUGUUGUCCUUUGAAAUGGUUAUGAAACACCUAUCAACGAGAGCAUUUAUUCCACUUUCCGCAUUGAAUUCGGAAGCAUCCAAUAUUCUUGAAACUCUUUUCACAUCAUCUCCUCUAAAGAAACAUGCAAUGUCGAGAAAUAUCAUCCUUUGUGUAUAAUCCAAUCCAUCGAAACUUAUUUUAAGCACUUUUACAAUUUCCAUGUUAGGCACCUUUUCCAGCUUCUGCAAUUCACUUUUCCAAUCUGGUAGUCUCUUUCCAAAUAAUAGAGAACCCAAAACUUUAAGUGCUAAUGGAAGACCAUCAGCAUAUUGUACUACUUGAUGAGAGAGAUCUCCAUAACCUUCCUUCGGAUGAUGUUGUUUAAAGGCAUAACGGCAAAAAAGUUGAAGAGCUUCGUGAAAAUAUAAUUUCUCAACUUCAUACAUAUCAUUUACUUCAUGCCUAGUUAGCAAAUCUUUUUUCCUAGUAGUAAUGAUGAUUCUGCUUCCUGGACCAAACCAAUCAUGCUUUCCAAUUAAGUGUUCUAAUUGUGUCAGCUCAUCUACAUCAUCCAGAAAAACAAGAACCUUUUUUGAGGAAAGCUUGUCCCUUAUUUCUUUGAUACCUUCAUGAACAUCCCUUAAAACUAUUUUCCUCGUUGUCCUUAGAGUAUCAUUAAGAAGUUGUUGUUGUAACUUAAGAAGACCAGAAUUUUCUGUGGAUUCUUUUCUGACAUCUGUGAGCAAGCUAACACUUUCGAAUUGAUUUGAGAUUCGGUUAUAAAGAGCAUUGAUGAUGGUGGUCUUGCCGAUACCACCAAGCCCAUAAACCCCGACCAUGCGAACAUCAUUCAACUCAAUCUUUAACAAUGAUAUUAGUCUUUCCAAACGAGAAUCCAUUCCAACAAUGUUCUCGUUAACAACUAAAGUCUUAGGGAAGCUUCUAAGGACGUUCUCAAUAAUUUCAUCAAUAAGCUCUGAUUCGUACCUGCCAAUUGCAUUAGGAUGAGUUGCAAAAAACAAUAAAUUAUAUGAAAUAAAUUUAAUGAUGCCUAGUUUUCCAACUUUAACUUAAUAGGGCUAAAACGAAUUGAAAUUAAAAUAAAAUAAACCACAUCUAACAAAUUACGUAUCAGUACAAUUUCAUUAUUCUAUACAAUUGCUCAUGUAUAUGAUAGAAAUAAGGGAAGAAAAUACAAAAUAUGAAUUGGAUUAUCAAAAGCGGAAAAAAAAAAAAAAACUAAAAUAUUUUUGUGUUAGCUUAUACUAUUCAAUCUUGUGGAAGGUUCAAAAUAAAGUUGAGUUGUCUAGAACAUUACUACCCUAUUUUGAUAAGGGAUUCCAUCAUAGGAUCAACUGCUAGUCUGCAUCCAAGCUUUUUAAUCUAAUGAUUUUACUACUGAUUAGACGGUCAACAUUACUAUCUUCUAUACUUGCAAGACUUUCUCUCACCAUUUAUUUAGAUAAAUGUCUCUUGCUGUUCCAUAUGUUGUAUUUUGCAUUUAUUUUUGUCUCUAGCUGUAUGAACAAAAAUUUUUGAAAACCGUUUAAUUAAAAAAUAACUUUCAUGAAUUAAUUAAAAAUAUUUUAUUUAUAAUUUUAAUUCUAUUGCAUGAAUGAAUUAAGAAAACAAAUUUACAUCAAUUUUAACCUAAAAUAAUUUAGUAUAUUCUUUAUGAAUCAAUAAAAUAGAAUUUUGUUUUUAAGAAAUUGUAAUAUUAUGGUAUCAAGUUUAAAAUUUUAAUGAACAGAUCUUUAUUUUAUAAAUAAUAAAAAUGAAUAAAAAAUUAUAAAAGUUUAAAACUCACUUAGCUUUAAAAAUUAUAAAAAUGAUAUAAAUAUUUUUUAUAUCAGCAGACAGAGAAAAGGAGAGUACUUCAAAUGACAAAUGAAGAGAAGUUACAAUUACCUGUUCGUCGCAUCAUAUCCGGCUAGAUUGCUUGCUUGCCUCAGGGCAGUCUUCCAUUUCCUUAUCUUUUCCUUUCUCUCCUCCUCUGCAUUCUUCUCAUGAUGGGUAAAUGCUUCUCCGUAAAUCUCAGUUUGGUUCCGCACUUCAGACGGAUCCACAUGAUAGAAAAUUGGGAUAACUACCAUUUGUUCCCUUUCCUCUUUGCAUUUCAUGAUCUUGACAAGCUCUUCCAGACACCAUUUGGAACGAGCAUAGGUUUCUGAGAAGACAACAAUGGCACUCCUUGAUUCCUCAAUAGCUUUUAAGAGCUCUGGUGCAAUCUCUUCACCCCUUCGAAGUUCUUCAUCAUCUCUAAAGGUUCUAAUACCGCUAUGAAUCAAAGCCUUGUAGAGAUGAUCAGUGAAGUUUCUGCGAGUAUCUUCACCUCUAAAACUCAAAAACACAUCGUAACUCCAUUGAGAAUGGGAAGUGGAAGAAGAAGAGGCCAUGGUUGAACAGAAAUUGAAAGAAAAAUAAGGGUCUUUGGGUAUUUAGUGGGUUGAUUCCCUUGGCCUUAUAGAAGUAUGGAUGUUGGUGGUGGGAUGUUGCCUUUUCUUUCUCAAUUGUUUUUAUUCUUAGCUGUAUCCCUCUUGCUGGUUCACAUGACUCAAGACCCUACCUCAAUUAUUUCCCUCCACUCUUUUCUUAUACAUUUUACUCUCACUUUUCUCUUGUUGACAGUCAACAAUGGCCGACAGUCUCGUCUCUGCAGUUUACAGCUGUUCUUUUCUUUUAUUUCCAAUUAAUUUCUAAAAUAUAAAAAAUGAUCAAAUCCAUGUGAUCUUUACUUAGGUCAUAAGAUCGUGUGAACGCACAUUAAAUUAAAGUUAUUCAAUUAAUUUUUGUCUUUUGCAUAAUGAGCAAUAUUAUAGUAGAAAAUAAAGGUUUAUUAUGUUGAUAUGUCAAGUAAAGCUAACAACUUUGGUAUUAUAAGCUUGAUUUUUGUAGAUAGAAAAAUAUGAGAAGUCAUAUGACAAAAGGCAAAGAAAAUUUUGAUCAUGAAAAGUAGAAAAAAGCACAAAACCUUCAUGAAAUUCUAAUUCUAAGGAAGAAAGACCAUGCUCAAAACUCGAAAUUUAAAUUCUCACAAUCUUUUCAUAUUUUGCAGAUAGGUUUAUUAUUAAUAGAAGCACAUAAAUAAAUAUUGUACUUAAAUCCCACUAAUUUAUAGGUCAUUAUGGUAUAUGUAGGUCAUCAUAGUAAUGAGUGGGAAGGUGGGUACCUUUAAAAAGAAUAAGCUAAACCAAUCACCCUAAAUUUCAAAAGCACCUUUAUCAUAAAAGUGUGGUAAUGAGAGUGGAUAUCUUUUAAAAGAAUAGACAACCCUGAAUUUCAAAAAAAUGUCUGUUUCUUGGCGAUUGUAUCCCAACAGUCUUAUCUUUUUUUACUUUAUAUCUUUUUAUUAUUAUUAUCGUGAGGAUGGUUAAAGAUGAUGCUAGAAGUUUUUCUAUGGUUUAAAAAGAAAAAAUGUGAGUGUUAAGUUGGCAUUUUUGUCUUUUUAGAAAAUACUUCAUUUUAAGAUCAUUAAUAGAAGAAAUAAAGAGUUCAUAAAAAAUAAAGAAAUUUUUAUUGACUGAUCUAGGUAACCAUUUCAUGGCUUUUAAUUGUAACUUUGUUGAAAAUCUUACUCCUUCCUCCUUGUCUUCCUCUUGUUAUUCAAAAGUUUCAACUCCUUUUUUUUUUAAAUAAUAAUAUUGAUUUUAUGUUUUAAUGAAAUAAGUUGCAAAUUUGAAGAAAACAUAUUCUAAUGUAUUUAUUGAUUAUGGUCCUCUUUUCAAAAGGGUUAUCGUUAUUUACAUUCUCGAACUAAUCAAGUUUACAUCUCUAAAUAUGUAAUCUUUGAUAAGUUUGAGUUUUCUUUUACUAACAAAACUUCUCCCGUAUCUUUCUUGUAGGAACAAAGUCAAAUGACCAUAUUUUGAGAUUCUUAUCAACAGUUACAACCAUUCAAUCCAAACACCAACUCAACCCACAACUUCACUUCCACCAAACAACCUUUCAAACUAUCGUAAUAAUGUAGAUCUUCUAUUUUAUUUUUUUUAACACAUCUCAUCUAAAAUUGUCUUCUUACAUCCUUUAACACCUUAUUAUGCACUUAUGGUUAUUUUUCUAAGCUAUUUUUCUAAAAUUGUCUUCUAUUCAUUGUGAUUAUGUUGAUUACUAAUUAUUUUAUUUUAUUUUAUGCAAGAGACAUUCUGAAGGGAUUAGAUGCAUUCCAAUAUUGAUUUUAAUGAUUUUUAAAUCUUAAUUUAGGACUUUAUUUUUUAUUGAUUUAUAACAUAUUUAAGUUUGUUUAAAAUUUUCAAACUUUAAUUUUUAUAAAAUAGAUUCAAGUUUUGAAUUAAUUAAUAAUUGAUUUCAUUCUCUUUAAAGUGUAGAAUAUGAUAAAAGGCGUGUAACAAAUUCAAACAAAUCAUUAUACAAGUGAGAAUUUAGGUCAUCCAAUCAUUUUAUUAAAAAUCACUCUAUAAAUUAUAAAAAUAAAGAUAUUAAUCACAUCUAUUAAUAUGUUUUUUUUUAAAUUGACAAAUCAUAAUGAAAUUAUAAUCUUUUUAAUAUUUUAUUAAUUAUAAAUUAAAACGUCAUUAUAAUUAUUCAAUCCCCACGGAAUAUAAAAUGAGUUAUUUUUAAUAAUAAUAACUAAUCAUAUUUGAAUAACAUUUCAUCAAUUAUAUAUAAAAAUAAAGUUUUAUGUUUAUCAUAACCUAUGUUUUAAAUUAAACAAAAUAAUAAAAGUUACAUUUCCAUUUAAAUGUAUUUACAUAUCUACCUCCAUAGCCCAUGGUAUUAAAAUAAUCUAAUAAAACACAGUAUCCCAUAACCGGUCAACAGCACAGCUGCUCCUAGCCUUAGCCCCUUGCAGCUGCAAUCAGCUGUUCCACUCUCUGUUACAGUCCAGCUUUGGCCGCCCAAGACAUACAUCUUUUCACCCAUCACCCAUUUACCCCUGCCACAGCUAUUUUUUACCUUUGAGCUGCCCAAAGUCACACCAAACUAGCUGAUAAACCAUACCUUACAACCUGCAAACCAUCUCCUCAGCCAUCCCUAAUAGCCCACUGCCAGCCCUUUGUAAGAGUCACACCAAAGCCAAAUUUUUUUUAUUAUUAUUUUUAAUCAACUCCAGCACAGCCUCGUCAGACCGCCGAGCCUCCUGAUCUCAUCUCCAAACACGUUCUGCAGCUGAAUCCUUUGCCUUUAUGAAGUUUGGAUGCUGGUGGUGGGAUGUGCUUUUCCUUUCUCAAUUAUUUCUGCUUAGCUGUAUCCCUCUAGCUUUGAACUUUCACUUUUGUCCCUUUUGGCAGUCAACAAUGGCCGACAGUCUUGCCUCUGCGAUUUACAGCUGAUCUUUUCUUUUAGGGAGAGUUGGGAUUACUGGCUGUUAUACGAGAAAUACAUGGUUUUCAAAACCAUAUAACUGAAAUAUGAUUUACCUGAGAAAAAUUGUGAGAGUUGAGUUGUCAUUUUCGCCAUUUUAUAAAAGACUUAAUUUUAAGACCGUUAGUACGUAGAAAUAGGGGUCUCUAAAAAGCCCGCGGCCCGCUUUAGGCCCGGCCCGGCCCGGCCCGACGGGCUAAAGCCCGGCCCAAGCCCGCCGGGCCCAAGCCCGGCCCGAGCCCAUUUAUGGGCGGGCCGGGCCGCGGGCCUAAAUUUAGGCCCGGCCGUUGGAGACCCUUGCGUAGAAAUAACAAGUUCACAAGAACGAAAGAGACCUUUGUUGACUGACCUAGGUAACCCCUUUCAUGGCUUUUUCACUUGUUUGUUUUUGGAUUUUCUUUAAUGAGGCUAGGUGAUUGUUGUUUAUUUUGACUUAUAUUUUAGAUGGAUUUCAUUUUUAAUAAGAGUUUUUCAUGGUAAAAAUUGAUGUGAUACAAAUUUUUAUUGAUAUUAAUAUCAUUUUAUCAUAAAUUAUUUAGAGUAUAGAUAUAAAUAAAAUAUCAAUACCAUAGGAAAUGUUAAAAUAAAGUUAGGUGCAUAUGCAAAAAAUAAAAUUUGAAAAAUAGAAUAGUCCAGUCCAACCAUAUCCACACAUCCAUCUUCCUAUAAAUUAAACUAAUGAUAGAUACAUAAGUCAAAAAUAAGAUUUGAAAAAGAGUAUAAUCCAAUUCAACUACCCACCUUCCAAUAAAUUAAACUCAAAAUGGGCACAUAUUCCAAAAAUAAAUUUUGAAAAAUAAAAUAGUCCAAACCAACUUUAUCAACAUGUCCAUCUUCCAAUAAAUUAAAUUGGAAAUGAGUCGGCAUGUGAUAAAAUAAAUGUCAAUUUCCAUUUUACUUAUAUUAAAUUCACUUAUAUAUUUAUAUCGAAAAUUAUCCUUUGAAUCUUUCUAGAAACAUUAGAUUUUAAGGAAAUCAUGCAAGUAUACUUUUCUUAUUAUCAAUUUAAAAUAUAAAAUCCUUCCAUAGUUAUUUAUUAAAGUUCUACAAAGAAAAUUAAGAAAAUAAGGAUUUGGUAGGUAAUUAUGUUUAAAAAUAAUUUUCUAUUUUUUAUAGUAGAAAACCAGGUUCUAACUUUUUUUUUUUUAAAAAAAAAAAACACAUUAGACAAAUUUCGACCAAGAAGAAUUUCUUCAAAAUUUGCUCUAGAUACAUGUUAUUUUAAAAACAUGAUUUUGACAUAUUUUCAAAUAUUGUUUGUAUAGUUUUUGAGCAAAAAAUGAAAAGAUGGAGAAUACUCCAAAAACUUUGCAAAUGAAAAUACUAUGUUUUAUAUUUAUGUUUUCAAAUACAAUUUUGCAAAUGAAAUAUUUGAGAAUGUUCUUAAAAAUUAUUUUUUAAGAAGUGCUUUUGAAAACUUGGCUAAACAUGACCUAAAUAUCCUAAACAUGAAAGAUACAAGAAUGCAAGAAAAACAUUUUCAAUAAUUUUAUUUUAUUUAUUAUAUUAAAGAGUAACAUUAAUGUUUCAUUAUGAAGUUAAAAUGUUUCAUUCAAUCAAAAUUUAUUCUGCUAGUUUUCAAGGAAAGCAUUAUUUAUCAAGAUGCUUGCCUUAGUUGUUUUGUAUUUUAUAUUUUUCUUUGAUUGGGAUUGGUGAGAAUUGUCCUAAAUAUAGAUUUUAUUUUGAAUAAUUUCUAAAUUAGACUUGUAAAAAAUAAGAAAAAGUAUCUAGUAAUUCAUUGUUACACAUGAAUGUUGCAACUUGGUAAAAUUUAUGAUAUUUAUCACUAGGAAAUUUUGCUUAUAGAUAUAAAUAAAAUGGUAACAUCUAUCACAAGGAAAGGUUGGGAAGGAAGCAAACAUAUUAAUAGGUGAAACAAGAAAAAGAAAAAUAAUAAUAAUAAAUGAUAAAAAAAGGUAAGGGAAUUCAGAGUCAUGAGUUGGUACUCUAUAUUAUUUAAAGUGAUUAUAAUUUAGGGUACAAAUUUCUUUAGAAAUAAAUAACGUAAAUAGAUUCUAAAAAAGAUUAUGUAAAAUUAUCAUUUCUUAAAAAAGAGAAGAAGGUAUUUUCUUUAUUUUUAAACAUUUAUUAAUUUUUAAUACUAAUACAAUAUUAAAUCUAAUGAGAAGACCUCCUUUAAUCUUCUCACUUUAUUCAUUGAAGUCUUUUUAAAUAAUUUGAGAAAGUAAUUUUAAAUCCAAUUACAUGGUGAAGAUCAAGGUAAUAGUUAGAAUAAAACUACAAAUAACAUGGUCAAGAUCAAGGUGGGUGUGUGUGUGACAAUCUUAUAUACUUUUUUGGAAGUAUGAAAAGAGUAAUGAAAUCAUGUACCUAAUAAAAAGUAAAGAAAACUUUAAUUCUACUGGAGGAAGCAAACACUAAACUUCCUUAAGAAAAUGGUAAUGUUGAAUUAAAUAACUUGCAUUGACGAACAUUAUGGUCCUUAUUCUAAAUUAUUUCAUUUCUUUUAUUGUGUCUCCAUUCAUUUAACAUGAUUUUUGAAAGUAUAAAAAGAGUAAUAUAAGUUACGUACCUAACAAAAUUAAAAAAAAGUACUUUAAUUUAAAUAGGGAAUGAGACAUGAAACUUCCUUGAAAAAAUGGCAAUGUUGAAAAGUUAAUAAAGUAGUUUAAAUUUUCAACUUGUUACAUUAGAUAACUUGCAUUAAAGGACAAUAUGUAUCUUAGAAAUAGAAAGUUUUGAAGUGAAACAUCUAAACAUGUAGGAACAUUAAACAAUGCCUUGGUCAAAAAAGGAAAACGCAUAGGAACAUAUAUCAAAUAAUAUCUUGGUCAAAAAGAAUAAUGCUUUAGUAAAAAAUGGAAAAUGCAUAGGAACAUUAAAUAAGACAAUAUCACAUAGGGUUUAGGUAAGACAAUUCUCUAAUCCCUUAUCCUUGUUGGCUCAUACACUUGUUGAACCUCUUUGAUACGAAAAUAAUCCAAAUGACUCAUAAAAUAUAGUGUUUAUAUGGAUGCUAUUAAGAUAUAAAUUAGGCUACAAUGAAAGUUAAUUAUAACUUUAAUGUUGGAGGGAAUAAGCAAUUUUUUGUGAGAAAGGGCAACACCUAGAAAGUCAAUAAGAUUAAUUAUCUUAAUAAUGGAAAAAAAGUUCAUUCUUAUGAAUCCUCAAAGUGAAUCAAAGAGACAAACUUCAAUUUUGAAGUGAACAUAAUUAUUAUUUUUUUGUUUCUUUGUUAAAUAAUUAGUAAUACUUAAUUUAUCGAUCGUGUAAGAAUCAAAGAAGAAUAGCUACUAUUCAUGCAAUGGGUCUCAUCUUAUUGUAACAAAACUUAUGAUUAUUUUUCUUCCAUGUAUUGGAAGUUACUAUAAAUUCAUUUCCCACUUGUUAUGUGACUUAGGUAUCAAAUAGAGCCCACUAGAUAAAAUUUCUCUCAAGGUAUUUCCACAUCAAAUUUCUUUAUUUUAAACAUGUUUAUGGAUGUAAGUUUGCAUUGAAUAAAUUUCAAGUAUUAAUGUAGACUAACAAUAUUUAAAUAAAAAUGAUAAUAUAUUUAAAUUUUUAAUAAAAAUUGAGUUGAAUUUUUCAACCAACAUUUGAUUUCCUUCCACUCACCUAAUGUUGGCAUUAAAAUGCAUUAAUAUAUAUAUAUAUAUAUAUAUAUAUAUAUAUAUAUAUAGAUAUAUAAAUAUAUAAUCAUUGUCUUGGGAACUUUUUCUUCGGUGCUUAUCCUCAAACCUUCUUAAAAAAAAUAAGAUUGAUUCUUGUUGUGCUCACCUAAUGCUUGCAUUAAAAUACUAUAAACUUUUUUUUUGUGAGCUUAUCCUUACACCUUAGAAAACAAGAUUGAUUCUCGUUGAUAAGAAGAUAAGAACAAAAACUUCUAAUAAAUUAUAUUUGGUAUAUUGGUAAUUUAAUGGGAAAAGACCUUAAAUUUUGUAAAUGUAAAAGGAUAAUAUAGUUGGACGACACAUUUAUACAAAUAUAUGAUUGGAUUUUAAUUUUGUAACUUAAUUAAUUAAGAAAAUAAAACCUUUGGGCUAUUUAAAUAUAAUUGGAUUUUAAUUUUUAGUUUGGGUUAAAGUUACAAAAGAAAAAAAAAUGACCCAAAUAAAUUAAUUGGGCAUUUAUAUUUAAACAAUUAGUCUUUAGAAUUAAUAUUUAAUUGGAUUGAAAAAAAAAAAAAAAAAGAUAAUAAAGGGAGUAGAAUGGUCUUUUCCCAUUAGAAACCUAGGUAUAAAUAUUCACCACCCUUCUUUACAAAAGUCUUUUGCAUAGAGAGAAAAUGUGGGGUUUGAAAUCAAUCUUUUAAAGCAAACAUAUAUAGAUUCAAUAUUUAGUUUCAUUUUUAAUGGUCAUAAAAAAAUAAAUAAUCUAGAAUCAUAUCAUGAUAAUUAUUAAAUAUGAUUAAUUUUUAUGAGAAAAUUAAAAAACACAUAAUUCUAAUUAAUUAUAUAGUCAAAUACCAUUAACCAUUCUUAGUUAAAAAUUUAAAGUCUUUUUCCAUUUGCAUUGGACAUUACUAUUAAUAGAUGCAUAUCCAUGAAUAUUGUACUUAGUAAUAUUUCUUUUAGAAUUAAAUCCCAUUAAGAUUAUAUUGCAUUGUGAUGUAUAUGAGUUGCACCUUCAAUUAUUUUUAUUUAACUUUGGUUCUCAGAAAAUAUUAAGGAAAAAAAAGAUAUUAAGGAAAAUAAUUCUUCAUGUUUGAUUGUCUUAUGAAAAAUUUCAAAAAAAAUAAAAUAAAAUAUAAUUAAAAUUAGUUUAGAACUUAUGUAUUUUCAAAUUAUUUAAUCUUUAUGUUGAUGAGUUAAAAUAAAUAAAAUGAGUUUGAAAUAACAAAUAAAAAUAAUUUAUCGACUUUAACCUUAUUUUUUAUUUUCCUUCAAUUUUUCAUUUCUUUUUUUUUUUUUCACUUUGUUUUCUUUCCUUUGUAUUUUCCCUCAGAUUUUUUUGGAAACCAAACAUAACCUUAAUGAUUAUGAGAUCAUAUUAGUUAAAAAGUGAAGUUUCUACCACUACAUAUAAUAAAUGCAUAUACAUGUAUAUUUUGAUCUUAGCCUAGACAAUAUUUAUAUAAAAAUGAAUAGAUCAUUAUAAAUGACAUUAAAAUUGAUUUCCUAUUGAGAAAUUACAAGUGUUCUAUACUUUUUAUAUAUAUAAAAAUUUCUUAAUCAAUAUUAUCAAAUAACUUUUUACAUUUUUCUAUUGAAAUAUAUAUUUUUUUGCAAAAAAAUUCCUAUUAUUAUAAUAAAUUUUUUUUUUUCAUAUUUUUCAAUUAAGAUAUACUCUUCAUAAGGACAUUCCUAUUAUUAUAAAAGAUAAAUUAUUUUUUAUAUGAAUAUUUUAUUUAAUCAAGAUAAACAUGGAAAGAAAUUGUUCUCACAUGUCUUAUAUUGAGAAAAAUUAUAUAUAAAUUGGAAAUAAUUUUAAAAUUAAUAAAAUCUAAAAGUUGUUUCACUAUUUUCUAAAAUUAAUUUCAAUUUUUUUUUUACUUUUUAAUUAGUGUAUGUUUAUGUAUGUAUGCAUGCAUGUAUAUAUGCAUACAUAUUAAAAAAUGUUGAUCAUUUAAGUGGCUCUAAACUAAUUAUUUAUUUGCAUGAAAAAAUUUAUUUAAAAUGAGUUGUUCAUCUUUUAUGAGAUAUAACAAAAGCCAUUUGCACUAGGUCAUAAUGGUAAUGAGUGGGAAGGUGGGUGCCUGCCUUUAAAAAGAAUAGAAGUGAACAACCACCCUAAAAUUCGAAAGUAUAACAUACAAAAGUACCUUGCAUUGAUGUACGCAUACACAUGAAACUUCCUUGAGAAAAUAGUAUUGUUGAAAUGUCAACAAAGUAGUCAUACACAUGAAACUUCCUUGAGAAAAUAGUAUUGUUGAAAUGUCAACAAAGUAGUUUAAAUCCUCAACAGGUUGUUACGUUAGUGUGUGUGUGUGUGUGUGUGUGUGAGAUAAAAGAUUUCAAAAGGAACAAUCCCUUGGUCAAAAAACAGAAAACAUAUAGAAACAUAUAUUGAGAAUAAUAUCUUAUUAAAAAAGAAUAAUGUCUUGGUGGGAAUGGGAAACGAGUAAGAACAUUGAAUAUGACAAUACCACAUAUGGUUAAGUAAGGCUAUUCUCUAAUCUUUUAUCCUUGUUGAACCUCUUUCAUUGAAAAAUAAUCCAAAUGACUCAUAAAAUAUAGUGUUUAUAUGGAUGGUAUUAAGAUAUAAAUUAGGCUACAAUGAAAGUUAAUUAUAACUUUAAUGUUGGAAGAAAUGAACAACUUCUUAUGAUAUAUAUAUAUAUAUAUAUAUAUAUAUAUAUAUAUAUAUAUAUAUAUAUAUAUAUGUGUGUGUGUGUGUGUGUGUGUGUGAGAUAAAAGAUUUCAAAAGGAACAAUCCCUUGGUCAAAAAACAGAAAACAUAUAGAAACAUAUAUUGAGAAUAAUAUCUUAUUAAAAAAGAAUAAUGUCUUGGUGGGAAUGGGAAACGAGUAAGAACAUUGAAUAUGACCAUACCACAUAUGGUUAAGUAAGGCUAUUCUCUAAUCUUUUAUCCUUGUUGAACCUCUUUCNNNNNNNNNNNNNNNNNNNNNNNNNNNNNNNNNNNNNNNNNNNNNNNNNNNNNNNNNNNNNNNNNNNNNNNNNNNNNNNNNNNNNNNNNNNNNNNNNNNNGAAAUAGAAAGUUUUGAAGUGAGACAUCUAAACAUGUAGGAACAUUACACAAUGCCUUGGUCAAAAAAGGAAAACGCAUAGGAACAUAUAUCAAAUAAUAUCUUGGUCAAAAAGAAUAAUGCUUUAGUAAAAAAUGGAAAAUGCAUAGGCACAUUAAAUAAGACAAUAUCACAUAGGGUUUAGGUAAGACAAUUCUCUAAUCCCUUAUCCUUGUUGGCUCAUACACUUGUUGAACCUCUUUCAUUGAAAAAUAAUCCAAAUGACUCAUAAAAUAUAGUGUUUAUAUGGAUGGUAUUAAGAUAUAAAUUAGGCUACAAUGAAAGUUAAUUAUAACUUUAAUGUUGGAAGAAAUGAACAACUUCUUAUGAUAUAUAUAUAUAUAUAUAUAUAUAUAUAUAUAUAUAUAUAUAUAUAUAUAUAUAUGUGUGUGUGUGUGUGUGUGUGUGUGAGAUAAAAGAUUUCAAAAGGAACAAUCCCUUGGUCAAAAAACAGAAAACAUAUAGAAACAUAUAUUGAGAAUAAUAUCUUAUUAAAAAAGAAUAAUGUCUUGGUGGGAAUGGGAAACGAGUAAGAACAUUGAAUAUGACAAUACCACAUAUGGUUAAGUAAGGCUAUUCUCUAAUCUUUUAUCCUUGUUGAACCUCUUUCAUUGAAAAAUAAUCCAAAUGACUCAUAAAAUAUAGUGUUUAUAUGGAUGGUAUUAAGAUAUAAAUUAGGCUACAAUGAAAGUUAAUUAUAACUUUAAUGUUGGAAGAAAUGAACAACUUCUUAUGAGAAAGGGCAACACCUAGAAAGUCAAUAAGAUUAAUUAUCUUAAUAAUAGAAAGAAAGUUCAUUCUUAUGAAAUUGAAUCAAAGAGAUAAAUUUCAAUUUUGAAGUAAACAUAAUUAUUUUUCUAUUUUUGUUAAAGAAUUAACAAAAUUUAUCAUGUAAGAAUCAAAGAAGAAUAGCUACUAUUCAUGCAACUGGUCUGAUCUUGUUGUAACAAAACUUAUGAUUAUUUUUCUUCUAUGUAUUGGAAGUUACCAUAAAUUAAUUUCCAACUGGUCAUGUGACUAUUGCAUCAAAUAGAGCCCACUAGAUAAAAUUUUUGUUGACGUAUUUCCACAUCAAAUUUCUUUAAUUUAAACAUGUUUAUGGAUGUAAGUUUGCAUUGAAUAAAUUUCAACCAUAGAUAUGCACUAACAAUAUUUAAAUAAAGAUGAUAAUGUAUUUAAAUUUUUAAUAAAAACUAAGUUGAAUUUUUCAACGAACAUUUGAUUUCCUUCUGCUCACCUAGUGUUAGCAUUAAAAUACAAAAAAAGCUCACCUAAUACUUGCAUUAAAAUACUAGAAACUUAUUCUUGUGAGCUUAUCCUUGCACCUUCUUAGAAAAAAAACAAGAUUGAUUCUUAUUGGUCAGAAGAUAAGAACAAAAACUUCUAAUAAAUUAUAUUUGAUAUAAACUCGUCAAUCAUCACAUAAAAAACAAUUUCUCCAGAGGGCGAUGACCCCAUCAACCCCCAUAAGCUAACCAAGCAGCUCGACCUUAACAUCCUAAGCAAAGCGCAACAAUACUGAUUCAAGCUUCACAAUCCAACACCAAUAAAGACAAGAACAAUUGACACUCAAAAAAAUUAUUUCUUUUAACUUUUUCCCUUUAAGUUGAAUUUGAUUUUAAAAUAGUGUUAUCUCAUUAAUUAUUUUACAAAAUAUAUAUAUGUUAUAUCUUAAAAUUGGUUAGUAAAUUAUAUUACAAUUAUCAAAGAUAUUGCCAUAUAUAAAAUACAACUUAAUAAAUCUUAAGCAUAACACAAAGCACAACAACAAGAUAUAUUAAUUUAAGUUACUAAGAGCUUAUUUAGUUGUGUGAUUUAAAAAUGGUUUUCUAUUUUAAAAAAUAAAAAAUUAUUUUAAAAAAUUUAUAACACUAUUUUAAUGUUGUUCUUUGGAAACAAUGUUUAAAGACAAAGUAACAUUGAGAACAAUUUUUAAAGAACAAGUAGGAGUUGUUUUUAUUAGUUUUUAAAAAACAAAAAAUAUAUAAACUCAUUUUACUAUGUUUUUUGAAACUUGUUUUUAAAUUAAAGAAUAAAAAAUAAUUUUUCAAAAUAAGUUUCAAAAAAUAUGACCAAACAAACCCUAAAUGGUCGGGGUUUAAUAUUAAAGAGAAAAAAAGUUAAUUUAAGAGUUUGCAUGCAGGUAGACAUCAGGCUGUAAAACUGGUUUACUAAGACACUCAUUUUAUUUAUAUAUUCUUCUAUGUGCAUGCAUUGACCAUGUGGUUAGGAUGUGUUGCACCAAAAUCUAAUUAUUAACUUGCAGUUCGAAAUCACAAACCAGCUGUAUGUAUUAGAAACAGACCAUAUUGGGUCAUGCACAUUCUCCGUCAUUUUCUAUUUCCUAGCAACAUAUAUGACCAAAUGAAAUUGUUAUAUCCUAAUUAUAUUUUUUAAUUAGGCGAUAAAUGAAUGGAUUCCUUUUAAAAAUAAUAAUUGAGAUAUUAGGGAUGAUUAAAAUAUUAUUAGAAGAAAACAACCACUAUCUUCCAGAUUAAUCACAGCUUAAUAAAUGUAAAUAAAUUAAUCUGACACUACAUUUUUCUUUAUUUGUUUUGGUUUCUUUACAAGAAUGUUUCUUUAUGUAUUCUUGUUGAAUCUAUAAAAUAUCAUCUAUAAACAUUCUUUUUGAAUGAUUAAGAAUCCGAUAUUUAAAUGAUUGUGUGGACCUUGCAUUUUUGCUCAAUGCGUUCCCACUCAAUGUUGAACUCUCUUUUUAUUUAUUUAAUGAAAAAUAUGAUUUUUUUUUUUAGAAAAGACUUGGAGUCGCCACUUAUUUUUGUUUUAUUUUUAAAAAUGGUAAACAAAAUAAGAAAGAAAACCCUAAGUGUGACUCCUUAUUUUGGAAAAAGUGGUAUGUGAAAAAUCAGAUCGGGCUCGGGGAUUAGGUUACUUAUCGGGAAGGUACAGUAAGGACCAUGACACCCCUCUAAGUCCCUAAAGUCGGGUCUCUAUUGAUAAAAGGAAGCUGACAUGGCAAUCAAUAAGGAAAUCAAUGGGUACUCAAAUCGAUCAUGCACAUAUGGAAAUUGGAAUUUUAGAAAUUGGAAAUUAAAUUCGAAAAUGGGAAAAUUGGAAUCUCAAAAAUUGGGAAUUGAAUUUGGAAAUCAGAAUUUUGAAGAAUUAUUUAAAGAUGAAAAUUUUAAAAGUAAGUAAAUAAAUAAAUAAAUAAAAUAAUAAUGAUUGGAUAAAUAAAUGCGAAAAUUGGAAUUUUGGAAAUCGGAAAUUAUAUUUGGAAUUUGGAAAAUCAGAGUUUUGGAAAUUGAGAAUUAAAUUUGGAAAUUGGAAUUUUGAAGAAUUAUUUAAAGAUAGAUUUUUUUAAAUAAAUAAAUAAAUAGAAUAAUAAUAAUAAUCGAAAUAAUAAUAAAAUAAAUGAACAUGAACAUUAAAAUUUUUUGAAAUAGAAAAUUAAAUUUGGAUGUCGGAAAUUUGAAAAAUUGUUUAAAAAAACGGAAUUUAGAAAAUAAAUAAAUUAAUUAAAAAAAAAGUAUUGUAGUGAAGGUCAUCAAACUCAAAGUCUUAUUCAUGACCCAAUUUCCCAUAUUUGAUUAAGAAUCCAUGCAACAUUACUAUGGGCCACCUGAGCCAAAAUGUCUACACGUUCCACUCUUACACCAUCCCAUUGCAGCUCUCACCACAACAGCCACAACAGUGGAAGUAAAAAUAAAAAAUAAAAAAUAAAAAAAUCACGCCACAUGAGUUGACCAUGAUGUCACCUCUUCCAACACAAGCAAUACACUUCCAAUUGGAACUCUGAAAGCAAUAGUCACUUCAGCACGACAGCGAGGUAGACUAGGGCAGUAGGUGUUGAAUGAGUGAUGAAUCCGAAAAGAAUGGGUUUGUAACAUAAAUGAUUAAUCUUACAACAUCACACAAGAGAUAUGAAUCCAUAUUUACGCACAUAUCCAAACAAAACCAUAUGAACAAUAGAUGAGACCAUGCCACAACAAACCAUUAUAAGAGUAAGAAAAGGAAAAAAGAGAGAGAAAAAAAAAGACAAACUUCAGCAUAAAAAAAAACAAAUCUAGAAGGUAGUGAAGUGAUGUAUGGAGAGUCACCGUGAUCAUACCGAAACAAACUCACAAACAACGCAAAAUAAUCACAUAAAAAAACAAAAGGGUAAUAGGAUGACCAAUAAUAAUCCAUGAACCUUAUCAGUCUUACCAGGUAAAGCUUUCUAUCCACUGGAGUUUUCUAGACUUUCUUUCCAACUUCCCUCCUCCUCUUUCCUGCUUCAGCCUAUCCCCGAAAAGCUUGCUCUGCCCAUUUUUCUACAACCAACCCAACAGCUAGCUUAGCCCCCAAAAAGAUGAAGACGCUCCCCCCUAUUUAUUCUCUCCCGUUCAGCUCAUUUCCCGCCCAGUUUUUCUCUCCAGAUUUUUUUUCCCCUAGUCCUCACAUGCUCCCUACUCCUUGCUCAACCAAUCUGUCACCAUCUCAACCACCACCAUGGCGAGGUAGUGGUGUCGUCCUCCAUGCGUCUCAUGCAUGCUAAUAUUUGAAAAAGUCGAUCCCCCUUCCUCCUACAACAAGCUGCUAGCUAUCCGGGUGGCUAGCAUGAAGGGUCUACAAAUAUGCCCCUCUUCAGUAGAGUUCACGAACGUAAAGAAAUAUGAACACUAGAGUGAAAAGAAAGUGUGAAUAGUGAGCGAAAUGAAGUGAACUUUACCGAAAAUGGGCAUAUUUGUAGACCCCUCAUGCUAGCCACCCGAAUAGUUGGUAGCUUGUUGUAGGGGGAGGGGAGACCGACUUCUUCAAAUAUUAGCAUGCAUGAGACGCAUGGAGGAGGGCACCACUACCUCGCCAUGGUGGUGGUUGAGAUAGUAACAGAUUGGCUGAGCAAGAAGCAAGUGAAGACUAGGGGGAAAAAAAAGAUCUGGAGAGAAAAAAUAGGUGGAAAAUGAGCUGAACGAGAGGGAAUAAACAGGGGAGAGCAUCUUCAUCUUUUUGGAGGGUGACCUAGCUAUCGGGUUGGUUGUAGAAAAACAGGCAGAGCAAGCUUUUCGGGAAUACGUCGAAGUAGGAAAGAGAAUGAAGAAAGUUGGAAAGAAAGUCCAAAAAACUCCAAUGGAAGGAGAGCUUUACCUGAUAAGACUGAUCAGGUUCAUAGAUUAUUACUGGUCAUCCUACUACCCUUUUGUUUUUUUACGUUAUUAUUUUGCAUUGUUUGUGAAUUUGUUUCGGUAUGAUCAUAGUGACUCUCCAUACAUCAUUUCCCUACCUUCUAGAUUUGUUUUUUUUUUGUGCUAAAGUUCGUCUUUUUUUUUUCUCUCUCUUUUUCUUUUUCUUACUCUUACAAUGGUUUGUUGUGGCAUGGUCUCAUCUAUUGUUCAUAUGGUUCUGUUUGGAUGUGUGUGUAAAUCUGGAUUCAUAUAUCUUGUGUGAUGUUGUAAGAUUAAUUGUUUAUGUUACAAAUCCAUUCUUUUUGAAUUCAUCACUCAUUUCACACCCGUUGCCUUGGUCUACCUUGCUGUCGUGUUGGAGUGGUUGUUGCUUUUAGAGCUCCAAUUGGAAGUGUAUUGCUUGCAUUGGAAGAGGUGACAUCAUGGUCAACUCAUGUGGCGUGUUUUAUUUUAUUUUAUUUUUACUUCCGUUGUUGUGGUUGUUGUGGUGAGAGCUGCAAUGGGAUGGUGUAAGAGUGGAAGGUGUAGACAUUUUGGCUCAGGUGGCCCAUAGUAAUGUUGCAUGGAUUCUUAAUCAAAUAUGGGAAAUUGGGCCAUGAAUAAGACUUUGAGUUUGAUGACCUCCACUCAUUCCACCACCAAACCUUUUUUUUUUAAUUAAUUUAUUUAUUUUUUAAAUUUCAUUUUUUUAAACAAUAUUUCAAAAUUCCGACAUCCAAAUAUAAUUUCCGAUUUAAAAAAAUUUCAAUGUUCACGUUCAUUUAUUUAAUUAUUAUUUCUGUUAUUAUUAUUAUUCUAUUUAUUUAUUUAUUUAUUUUUAAAAAAUUCAAUCCUUAAACAAUUAUUCAAAAUUCCGAUUUCCAAAUUUAAUUCUCAAUUUCCAAAACUCCGAUUUUCCAAAUUCCGAAUUUAAUUUCCGAUUUCCAAAAUUCCAAUUUUCGCAUUUAUUUAUCCAAUCAUUAUUAUUUUAGUUAUUAUUAUUAUUAUUAUUAUUUUAUUUAUUUACUUACUUACUUUUAAAAAUUCCAUCUUUAAAUAAUUCUUCAAAAUUCUGAUUUCCAAAUUCAAUUCCCAAUUUUCGAGAUUCCAAUUUUCCCAUUUCCGAAUUUAAUUUACAAUUUCUAAAAUUCCAAUUUUCGCAUUUAUUUAUUCAAUCAUUAUUAUUUUUCGUUAUUAUUAUUAGUUUAUUAUUUACUUAUUUAUUUUUAAAAUUCAAUCUUUAAAUAAUUCUUCCGAAAUUCCAAUUCUUAAAUUUAAUUCCCAAGACUCCAAUUUCCAAAUAAUUUUCGAGACUCUAAUUUUCAAAUAAAUUUCAAAAAUCUAGUUUUCACUCGAACAAUUUUAAUUCCAUUCCGGUUCUCAAAUAAUCUGUUGUUUUUCUUGAUUUUACAUAAGCAUGAAUGUAAUUUUUCACAAUUCCACAAUAAUGGAAUAUGUGAGACUAAUUCAUGCAAGAUAGAUUGGGUUUUGGUGGGGGGCCCAACAUUGGUGUUUUUUUCCUCUAAAAAUAAAUUUGAUUGAAUUGAAUUGUGAUAUCUGUUGAUUUCUCACUCUGUUUAGUGGCAUGUGUGACAUAGUCUGUUUUGUUAAUUGUGCACUAAACCCAUUUCUUGAUAGUGCAUUAUGACUCGUGGCCCAGGUGCGCAUCCGCUCCUAUUCUGGUCAUUCUCUAUGCAUGUUCUGAUUCCCAUAUGUGCAUGAUCAAUUUAAGUACCCGUUGAUUUCCUUAUUGAUUGCCACGUCAGCUUUCUUUUAUUAGUAGAGACCCGACUUUAGGGACUUAGAGGGGUGCUACGGUCCUUACUAUACCUUCUCGAUAAGUAACUUGACCCCCAAACCCAAUUCGGUUUUUCACAUACCACUUUUUCCAAAAUAAGGAGUCAUAGUUAGAGUUUUCUUUCUUAUUUUGUUUACCCUUUUUAAAAAUAAAACAAAAAUAAGUGGUGACUCCAAGUCUUUUCUAAAAAAAAAAAAAAUCAUAUUUUUCAUUAAAUAAAUAAAAAGCAAGUUCGCCAUUGAGUGGGAACGCAUUGAGCUAAAAUGCUGGGUCCAUAAAAUGGCGACUCCACUGAGGAUGAUUUAGAAGGUCAAACUUGAACUUAAGAUGAAGCAAAUGCGACAUUUGAUGGGUCGAUCAGUGGGUACCUAUCUUUUAAUUGCACAUUGAGAGUUCUUGAUAUCAUUGGAUGCAUGCUUGGAUAUUGUAUUCAUUUUGAGACAUUGAUAUGUUGGUUAUGAUGAUUGAUUUGUCUUGAUUGAGGAUUCCGAGAUAGCUAUUUUUUUUGUGCUUCAUUGCUAUAUUUGUUUGGGAUAUUGACAUACUGAUUGUAUCAAUUUCUUAUCUUGCCUUGCUUAGCAUAGUGACCCUGAUUCUUGCCAUGAUUGUUCUGCUCACUUCAUAUGCAUAGACUCACUAUUGUACACCAUUUGACUUGAUGUGUUGUUUUCUUUGGCUUGUGUAUUAUCCUGAUCGUCUUUGAGCAUGAUGCUUGUAUUAGUAUUCAUUUGAUCGUCAUAGCUUGUAUGUGUACAUGAGCAAUAUAUCAUGUACUCUGCCUGGUUGUAUGUCGCAUGACUGCACUCCUUUGCAUGUUGCUUGUUUGUGUGGGUAGCACAUCUAUCCCCUUAUCUCCAACGCUCUGGGUUUCGAUUAUUUCCUUUAUUUCGGUUUUCACUUUUGCAAGUGUGAGGCCUUGUGUGUGCUUGUACUUUGACCGAGGAAGAGGUUAGGAGUAGGGUCUAGCGACGGGCUAUAUCGAUGUUUGGGAGCAUUCUGGAGGUGACCGACACAUUGACGUCAAUUGGAGUCCGAUCAUUGAAGACCUGUAUAGCCUGGAGCUAGGUUUCAUGGAUAUUUGUGCGGCCAGUGUGUUUCCCUUUUUGAUUUAGCUUCAUAGAGUUUUCGGAUGCACCCACACCGCUCACUGCGCACUCUAGUUGACCAUUGAGUGUUGAGAGUUUUGAGAGGUUUCGCCAUAGAAAACCUCCUGAGAUAUCGAGGUAGUGCAUGUGUGGAGGUGAUGACCACCUUGCAUAGAAGCGCCCAUUCUUUUCGGAGGCGUGCAGAGGGUUGCGUACCGUCGGAGGGUACGAUCGCUUCUGUUAGGGAUCCUUUAAAGUCCACCCCUCUUCUUUUCAGAGCCACCUUGACCUUGUAGGUCGAGCCUUAGAUAUUUCAAUCAGGAAUUUCUUCCCUAACACGUGGGUGCAUCUGUGGGCCUUCAAAGUUACUUCAGUAGUGAUAGGUUUAGUUACCUUCGUAGUGGUCUCUUAUACAUCUGCUCAGGAUUGGAUAUCACUUUGAUUGCUUACGAGUUACCUUUCGACAUAUUUGAUAGACUUUCUUUGUGGAGAUUUUCCUAACCUUGUAUCUUAUCUAGUAUUUCCAAUAUUGUAGGAGCAUUGAUACAUAGGGUUUGGGUUCGACUUCUUGGAUCCAGGUUAGGGGUAGAUUGAUCAGAGUAUCAGACCCGUUAGACCAGAAAUCAGAUCAUAGAAAUAUGGACUCACAGAUGGUUACCGUUGGCAGCAGGCCUAGGAGGUUUCGCCUCAGGAUGGCGCACAGUAUGACCCUACAGUGCCGUCAUCCCCUCCACCUAAUCAGUCAGCACCACUAGCCAUACCUUUCACUCUGCAUAGUCAGACCGAGGUUGUCCCGACUCCUAUCAUCGUGCCUACCCCAACCUCAGAGGACCCACAUGCUUGUAUGGAUAGGCUCGAUAAGAAGUUGAGACAAUUGAGGAGUUCAGACAGACCUGUUACUUGGGACGAUUUUGAUGGACUACCAGUGGCCAGUUUGCCGGCCAAGUUCAGGAUGCCAGAGAUUGAGCGAUACACGGGCAUUGGCUGUCCUUGCAUCCAUUUGAGGCUUUAUAGUACUAUCAUGAGGGCCCAUGGACUAGAUGAGGUUCAGAUGAUUAUGUUUUUCCCCAUGUGCUUGAACGGUGUGGCGUAGUGAUGGUUUGCUUUAUUGGAUACAUCCCAAAGUCGGACUUGGGAUGAUUUGGCCUAGGAGUUUUUGAGACAAUUCACAUUUAAUACUGUCAUUGACGUCUCGAGGAGAGAGUUAGAGGCAUUGAGACAGAGGCCAGAGGAGUCGAUCACCUCAUUUAUCUCCCGUUGGAGGGAGAAGAUUUCAUAGGUUAUUAAUAGACCAUCGGAGAAGGAUCAUAUUAGCAUGAUUAUGAGAAGCUUGCAACCUCGAUUUGCUAGACACUUGAUGGGAUUUCCUCAUAGAGAUUUUGGAUCUUUGGUACAGGCCUUGUAUGGUAUAGAGGAGGGCAUAGCCAGAGGAUUAUGGUCUGAGUCUUCUCUUUCUAAUUCGAAGGGGAAGAAACCUUUAAGAUGAUAGAGGCUAGUUGAUGUGAGCGCCCCUAGUUCUACCAGCCAGAGGCCUCCUAUGCGUCAUUAGUCAGUGCCACAGCUUCCUGAGACUCAUCCUUCAUAUCCACCUCAACAGUACAGGCCACGAGCGCCUCGUCCGACUUUUGAUCAUGCUUACAUGCCUCAGACACUAGUUUUGCCUUACUAUGCCACUCAGGGCAUCGAGAGACCACCUGUUUCAUAUACAGCCACAGGAUAGCCAUGCUAUGCGGCGUAGUUUACCGCAAGACCUACAUCUUCUUAUCCCAGGCUUAGAGCUCAACAGACUUCUGUUCCUUUUGUUUUGAGGACGCAGAUAUAGUUCUCGCAGUUAAGCAUGCCGUUGAGCCAGGCUAUUCGGAAACCUAUAGAGGUUGGGUUGUUGAUUGCUCUCACUCUUAGGCCACCACCUCAGCCUCUUCCUUCUCGGUUCAGGAUGGAUUUGCACUAUGCAUACCAUCAAGGACCUAGACAUGAGACUGACCGUUGUACCGCUCUGAGACAUGCCAUCCAAGAUCUGAUCGACCAGGGUUUGGUUCACUUAGAUUAGCCGAGUGUAACCACAAACCCACUAUCGACCCACACCACACAUGCGGUUCCCCCACCAACCAAUAACAUUCAUUUUCUGGAUUUUGCUGGGUUUGACGACCAUAUCCAUAUGUUGAGCCGGGAUGACACAGAGCGAGAGCCCAUAGUGUCAGAUGGGAUUUAUGAGAUGAGUGGGGUGACUUUGGGACCUUAGAUACCCGCUCCAUUCAGAUUCGUCCCUAAGGCGGUAUCGGUACAAACGACCACUAUCGAGCGAUUGACUUUCUCACAUUAUAGUGUUCAGACGCAUUUUGUUUUGAUUCCAGAUGUUGAUGGGGUUCAGACUUCUUAUGUUGAUGUUUAUCAGACUCCAUAUGUCGAUGAUGUUCAUACUUUAGAUGUGCAGUAUGUUAUCCACGGAGGUAGGGUAGUACGGCAGCAGCCCCCCGCUGCCGCUAGACCCUUGAAGGGAACGUCAUCCCAAGAGGAGGUCGAGAGGGAGGAUGAUCAGAUUCUGAUGCAGUUACAAAGCACUCAUGCUUGUAUUUCCAUCUAGAGCUUGUUAGCAUCUUCUAGUAAUCACCGAGAUGCUUUGAUUUGAGCCUUGAGCCAGAUCAGAGUUGAAACUACCACCACUCCGGAGGGAUUGAUUCAUAUGGUGAUGGCUGGCAGAGCCGCAUGCAUAGUAUUCUCUGAUGACGGCUUGCAACCAGAGAGUGCGAACCAUACAUGUCCAUUUUAUAUAUCAGUUGGUUGUUUAGGCUAUCGAGUCUCAUUUGUCAUUUUGGAUAACGACUCGGCCCUGAACGUUUGCCCUCUGGCCACUGCCAUCGCCCUUGGUUAUGCGUCCUCUGACUUUGGUCCCUUCACUCAGAUAGUUCGAGCAUACGAUAACACUCAAAGGGAGGUCAUGGGCACUCUAGAGAUUGAGUUGCUGAUAAGUCCGAUCACAUUUGUUACUUUGUUCCAGGUUUUGAAGAUUCCUACAUCAUUUAACCUGCUAUUGGGUCGACCUUGGAUUCACAAAGUCGGGGUCAUUCCUUCUUCCCUUUAUCAAAAGGUGAAGUUCAUUUGCGAUGGUCAGGUCAUCACAGUGCGGUCUAUAGGAGAUAUGUUUAUUUCUACUCAGCCGGUGCUUCAGAUUAGUCACAAUGAUGAUGACUUACUUCUGAGUGGAUUCACAUUCGACGAGGUGCAAACCCUAAAGAUGGAGAAUUUUUUCCGAGACUUCGUAGCUAUGUCGUUUGACUAGCAUGGUAGCACGGUGGUGCUCGAUAUGAUGAGGAGUAUGUCUUAUCUUCCCGGUAUGGGAUUGGGGCGACGUCAGCACGGGCCUAGUGAGUUCAUGGCUAUCCCCGAUCACGAUGUACCGUUCGAACUCGGGUUCAUCCCCACUGAGGCUAAUUAUCGAUAUAUGGCGCAACUGCGCAAGGAGAUGGGUGAGAGCCCAACUGACUCACACGCCUUUUGAUUAUCCUGUUCGCUCAUACACCAUGAGCUUAACAGAAUACUUUGUGAAGGCGUCAGUGCCGCAGAUGCCUUCAAAUGGGAUAAUUGGGGGACUCGAAACUACUCAAGAGGCCAAGCUUCAGCGCCUCGUCUAUCAGCUACAGUUGAGUGAUGGAGUUCCUGGCACUUCGAUAUCUGUGUUGGCUGCCCUAUCAUCUCCAGAUCGUAUGAGCCUUAUGACGCUUUAUUUCCCGGAUGAGAUCAACGAGCAUGAGACAUUUGCUCGAGAUUGGAAACAUAGUGGACAGAGCCAUUCCACAUAAAGAGUACGUCGAUGAGAUGCUCGCGAUGAGCUUAAGCCAGAUCAAGGAGAUAGUUCAGCCUGGGCUCCCUUCACCAUUUGAUCUUUUCGGGGUGUCCGUCAUCCAGAUUGCUGAGGAGAUCCCGACUGCUUCUACUCCGGAGUUUACUGAGGGUGCCAUAGCUGUUAAUGACUUGUUUGAUGGCCCUGUUGGCCUAGUUGAGGGAGCGUCCGACUUUGUGGACCCACUUAUUUCAUUUGAUGUUUUAUCGGGAUUUGUUUCCCUUCAUGAUGAUGUUCUUGGCUCUUCAUUUAUGGAUUUGAGUAUUUUUGAGUAUUUGCCUGCCUCUUGUGAUAUUGCUUUAUCUACACCAUCUUCACCCACAUCACAGAUAUUUGACAUUGAUGAUGAGAUUGUACAACAUGAUUCAAAUGAUGACUCAUCAUCCGCUUCUGAUUCGAACCCCAUUGAUUAGAGAGUUUCACCUACUAUAGGGGAUGCUGAGAUUGUUGAUUUCAGCACAACAGAUCAACUUAGGGAGUUGAGGAUCAGAUCGGAUUUAUCUACUGAUAAGAGGGAUAACCUCAUCCAAUUGCUCAAAUCAUACUUGGACAUUUUCGCAUGGUCUUAUGAGGACAUGCCGAGUCUUGAUCCAUCUAUCGUCCAACAUCAUUUGCCACUUCUACCCUAUGCCAGACCGGUUAAGUAGAAAUUGAGACAGUUGCACCCUCGUUGGAGUUUGCAAGUGAAGGAGGAGAUCCAAAAGCAGCUCAGUGUGAGAUUUUUUUCAAUGGUCGAGUACCCGGAAUGACUCACCAAUGUCGUCAUUGUUCUAAAAAAGGACGACAAGGUGAGAGUCUGUGUUGAUUUUCGAGAUCUCAACAAGGCCAGUUCUAAGGAUGAUUUUCCUCUCCCACACAUCGACAUGCUAGUUGACAAUACAACAGGUCAUUCGAUGUUGUUCUUCAUGGAAGGAUUUUCCGGGUAUAGUUAGAUCUUGAUGGCUCUAGAGAACAUGAAGAAGACGUCAUUCAUUAUCGAGUAGGGUACUUAUUGCUAUAGAGUCAUGCCAUUCGAGUUGAAGAAUGCAGGAGCCACUUAUCAGAGAACAACAACCACACUCUUCCAUAACAUGAUGCAUUGAGAUGUCGAGGUUUAUGUAGACGACAUGAUAGUGAAAUCCCGAGAUAGAUCAGAUCACCUAACAACUCUGGAGAGGUUCUUUGAGAGGAUCAAGCGGUUUAGAUUGAGAUUGAAUCCUAGGAAGUGCAUUUUUGAAGUGACUUCUGGGAAGCUCCUAGGAUAUAUGGUCAGUGAGAGAGGCAUAGAGGUAGAUCUGGAUAAGAUUAGAGCCAUCUUUGACAUGCCUGCACCGAGAACAAAGAGAGAGGUCAAAGGCUUCUUGGGUAGACUUCAGUACAUCAGCAGAUUCAUCGCCAGAUUGAUAAACAUCUGUGAGCAGCCCAAUUUUCUACUCUUGAGGAAGAGUCAACCUACUGUUUGAGAUGAUUAGUGUCAGCAUGCAUUUGAGAGGAUCAGAGAGUACUUGUUGUCACCUCUAGUAUUGGCGCCUCCUACACCAGGCCAUCUUUUACUCCUAUACCUAUCAGUCUCAGACGUAGCAUUGGGAUGCAUGUUGGCUCAAGUCGAUGAUUCAAGCAAGGACCGAGCCAUUUAUUAUCUAAGUAAAAGAAUGUUAGAUUACGAGACGAGAUAUGUCAUGAUUGAGCGCUAUUAUUUGGCAUUGGUUUAGGCCACUCGUCGACUGAGACAUUAUGUGACCGAGUAUUCAGUGCACUUGAUAUCCCAUCUAGAUCCUCUUAGAUACUUGUUUGACAUACCUGCCUUGGUUGGUCGCCUCAUGAGAUGGUUGGUACUUCUGACUGAGUUUGACAUCCAUUAUGUCACUUAGAAGUCCAUCAGAGGGAGCAUUAUCGCAGAUCACCUAGCCUCAUUACCAGUUUCUGAUGGUAGGACUAUUGAUGAUGAUUUUCCAGAUGAGGAUGUUGCUACUGUGCUUAGUCUGUCAGGUUGGCGCAUGUACUUUGAUGGUGCAGCCAACCAUUCCAAAUAUGGGAUAGGAGUUUUGUUAAUAUUCUCUCAUGGUGACCACAUUCCUAGAUCUAUUCGUUUGGCAUUCUCGAAUUGACACCCAGCCACGAACAACAUUGUUGAGUAUGAGGCUUGUAUCUUGGGAUUAGAGAUGAUCCUUAAGUUUGGGAUUAGAUAGAUGGAGGUGUUUGGUGACUCCAAUAUGGUAUUAAGAUAGAUUCAAGGUGAGUGUAAGACUAGAGAUGUGAAGCUUAGGUCUUACCACGCAUAUUUGGAGCUACUGGUUGGGAGAUUUGAUGAUUUAAGAUACACACAUCUACCUAGAGCGCAGAACCAGUUUGUUGAUGCCUUAGCUACUUUGGUUUCCAUGAUUGAUAUUCUUGUCGAUGCCAUUGUUUGCCCUUUACUGAUCAAGUCGAGAUCUGCUCAUGCCUACUAUUACCUAAUUGAUGAUGUAGAGCCAGAUGAUGGUUUGCCCUGGUACCAUGACAUAUAUCACUUUCUGAGACUUGGCGUAUAUCCUAAGGCCGCCAUGACCAAGGCUAAGAAGGCAUUUGAGAUAGUUGGCUGCCCGAUUUGUGAUUUGUGGCAAGACACUAUACAGACGAUCAGUUGAUGGGAUGUUGCUAUUAUGCUUAGACCACGCCUUUACUGAUCUAGUGAUGAGAGAGGUUCAUGCAGGAAUCUGCAGACCACAUAUGGAAGGGCAUAUGCUAGCUCGUAAGAUCAUGAGGACUGGCUAUUUCUGGUUGACCAUGGAAACAGACUGUUGCCAGUUUGUUCAGAGAUGUCCUGAGUGCCAGAUACACGGUGACCUCAUUCACGUGCUUCUUCAGAAUUACAUGCGUUGACUUCGCCGUGGCCAUUUUUAGUAUGGGGUAUAGACAUUAUUGGGAAGAUUUUACCGAAGUCUUUCAGUGGGCAUGAGUUCAUCUUGGUCGCCAUCUAUUACUUCACCAAGUGGGUGGAGGUUGCUUCGUAUGCAAGAUUGACGUCAUUUGAAGUUGCUAGUUUCAUCAGAUCACACAUUAUUUGUCGCUAUGGAGUCUCUCAUGAGUUGAUUUCCGAUAAAGAGGUACAUUUCACAGCAGAGGUUGACACCUUAGUGCAGCGAUAUGGCAUCCGACAUCUUAGGUCAUUUGCGUACAGGCCGUAGACGAAUGGAGCAGUAGAGGUCGCCAAUAAGAAUAUUAAGAGGAUCUUACGAAGAAUGGUUGGGACUUCUCGGGAUUGGUCAGAGAAAUUCCCUUUCGCAUUGUGGGCUUAUCGAAUUUCUUUUCGCACCUCCAUAGGAGCCACACCCUACUCUUUGCUGUAUGGUAUGGAGAUAGUGCUACCAGUUGAGAUUGAGAUGGGUUCAUUGAGGAUAGCAUUAGAGCGGCAGAUUCCAGAGGCAGAUUGGGCUCAGGCCCGAUUAGAUCAACUCAAUCUCCUAGAUGAUAGGAGAUUGAGGGCAGCAGACCAUGUUCGCUCAUAUCAUUAGAGGAAGAUGACCCGUGCUUUCAAAAAGCGGGUCAAGGCUUAACCACUAUGGAUAGGUGACUUGGUUCUGAAUGUCAUCAAGGGAUUGAUAAGAGAUCCUAGAGGGAAGUUCAAACCCAAUUGGAGCGGACCUUACUUCAUCAAGGAGUUAACCCUAGAGAACGCUACAUGGUUGAUGGAUCUAGAUGGAAACCGAUUCUCGGAGCCGAUCAACGUAGAUUAGCUAACGAGGUACUAUGUUUGAGACCAUGGUCAUAGGAUGGGUGGUCAUCAUUUCAGUUAGCCAUAUACCUUGUUAUUCCCCUUUGAUACAUAGACUGUUGCUAGCCCAUUGAGCCUCGUGUGUGCAUUAUAGCAUUUCUAUCUUAUUACCUUGCUCACAUUGUUACACCAGGAUUGGGGCCCUUUAGUGUGUGCAUGCGUUGUUUGGGAGCCUGAUAAGUCUUGGACCUACAAGUGCGUCUUUCUCUCAUUAUUUUUUCCUACCAUCACUCUAAUGCAUAUCAUCACAUCUCGUUGGCCAGGUUCUUCAUUCAUUCUCCUUUAUUAUAUCUACUGCUUGUUUUGCUUCAUAUUCUCUUCACCCUGAGUGGUAAUCCUCCUCAGUUCAUUGCAUGAAGGAUAGUCACAUCAUUUCCACCAUCUAUCCCACGGACACUGAUUCUGAGAUCCUUAGUUUGAGAAGGUUAUCUCGUCAGAGAUAGUUUUUGAGAGUGUGUCUAUCCAUUGUAGAUGUCAUAUUUGGGGAUCAUUUGUUUAUGAUUCAGGGUAUAUGCAUUUGUAUAUAUGUAAAAAAAAAAAAAAAAUGAAAAUGUAAAACAAAAGAAAAAAAUGAAAAUGAAAAGAAAAGAAAAAUAAGCAUGUGUGUAUGUGCAUAGUAUUCUCCAUCAUUGGGCAUGUAUAUUGAUGUUUGAGGGUUACUUCAUUAAGUAUGUUUGUUGAUGAGAGCUCGUAUGUGAGCUUUCCGAGACCGUUCAUUAUUUGUAUUCAGGUUUCAUGUAUUUUGAGAGUGAGAUGAGUGACUUUCUCUUAGGAGCUUUGUAUCAUUGUCCUUUCCAUCAUUACAUUCAUUGUUGAUGUGACUUCACCUCAUGUUGGAUUUGAGCGGAUCAUCAUUCCUCUUUGUGUUCUUCGCUUCACCAUCAUCCUCGUUUUUGCUUUUGAUUCAUCAUCAUCAUCUCACCCCUUGUCAUUUUCUUACAACGACUCUUUUAUUCCCAGUUUGACACUUCCUCCACAUCAUCCUUACACAUCUCAUUAUCAGAUCAAUUUUUUUUCAUUGCCUCGUUAUUGACAUCAUAUUCACAUUAGGCACCCUCAGGUCCGUGACUCACGAGAUUUUCUAUACAUGUGGCAUUUCAUACAUGAGGGCAUGGGUUUCUGUUCAUUUGGUAUUUUGGCCUAGUUUCCCUUCAUUUUUAUCACCCUAUCAUCCCAGUCUACGUUACGUCCCGUGUCUUAAGACCACCCUAAGGCCAUGAGAUCAGAUGUCAUCUUUGACAACCUAUAAUUGGACUGGUGUUUGAGAUCUGAUUGACAUUUAGAUAUUGUCAUGCUUCCUCUUCUGGGAGAUGUCUUUCUGAUGAUUAGAUUUGUUUCAAUUAUGUUUGGAUUACCAGGAUUACAUGUUCGAUGAUAGAUGAUUCCAUGUCACCUAAUUUUAUGAUCUAUCACAUAUUUGGUGUCAUACUAGGGCAUAUUCCGUUUCGGGCGAGAUUUACAAAUCUUCACGGAGUUGCAUGCUUAUCCCCACUUGCGAGAUAUACGCCGAAAUGAUUGACUGGUUCGCUAUUUUAUGAUGAUCCAUUAGUGGAGCCUCUGUGGAGCCGUUCAGCCAGCCCCAUAUUUCUCGGUAUUUGGUUAUUAUCAUGCUUCUUAUUCCGAGAGGCGUUCCCUAGAUGUUUGGAUUUGAUUUGGAUCACGGAGAUCACAUGCUCGAUGAUAUAUGAUUCCAUGUCACUUGAUUUUCUGAUUUAUCACAUAUUCGAUGUCAUACUGGGGCAUAUUCCGUUUCGGGAGAGAUUUAUAGAUCUUCAUGGAGUUGCAUGCUUAUCCCCACUUGCGAGAUGUACGUCGAGAUGAUUGACUGGUUCGCUAUUUUAUGAUGAUCCCUCAGUGGAGCCUCUGUGGAGCCCUUCGGUCAGGUCCACAUUUCUCGGUAUUUGGUUACUAUCAUGCUUCUUAUUCCGAGAGAUGUUCCUUAGAUGUUUGGAUUUGAUUUGGAUCACGAAGAUCACAUGCUCGAUGAUAGAUGAUUCCAUGUCACCUGAUUUUUUGAUCUAUCACAUAUUCGGUGUCAUACUGGGGCAUAUUCCAUUUCGGGCGAGAUGUACGCCGAGAUGAUUGACUGGUUCGCUAUUUUAUGAUGAUCCCUCAGUGGAGCCUCUAUGGAGUUGUUAAGCCAGACCCAUAUUUCCCGGCAUUUGGUUACUGUCAUGCUUCUUAUUCCGAGAUACGCUCCCUAGAUGUUUGGAUUUGAUUUGGAUCAUGAAGAUCACAUGCUUGAUGAUAGAUGAUUCCAUGUCACCUAAUUUUCUGAUCUAUCACAUAUUCGGUGUCAUACUAGGGCAUAUUCCAUUUUGGGUGAGAUUUGCAGAUCUUCAUGAAGUUGCAUACUUAUCCCCACUUGCGAGAUGUACAUUGAGAUGAUUGACUGGUUCGCUGUUUUAUGAUGAUCCCUCAGUGGAGCCUUUGUGGAGCCGUUCAGCCAAACCCACAUUUCUCAGUAUUUGGUUACUAUCAUGCUUCUUAUUCCGAGAGACGUUCCCUAGAUGUUUGGAUUUGAAUUGGAUCACGGAGAUCACAUGCUCGAUGAUAGAUGAUUCCAUGUCACCUGAUUUUUUGAUCUAUCACAUAUUUGGUGUCAUACUGAGGCAUAUUCCCUUUCGGGAGAGAUUUAUAGAUUUUCAUGGAGUUGCAUGCUUAUCCCCACUUGCGAGAUGUACGCCGAGAUGAUUGACUGGUUCGCUAUUUUAUGAUGAUCCCUCAAUGGAGCCUCUGUGGAUCCGUUCAGCCAGGCCCACAUUUCUCGGCAUUUGGUUACUAUCAUGCUUCUUAUUCCGAGAGACUUUCCCUAGAUGUUUGGAUUUGAUUUGGAUCACGGAGAUCACAUGCUCGAUGAUAGAUGAUUCCAUGUCACCUAAUUUUCUAAUCUAUCACAUAUUUGGUGUCAUACUGGGGCAUAUUCCAUUUCGGGCGAGAUUUACAGAUCUUCACGGAGUUGCAUGCUUAUCCCCAUUUGUGAGAUGUACGCCGAGAUGAAUGACUGGUUCGCUAUUUUAUGAUGAUCCCUUAGUGGAACCUCUGUGGAGCCGUUUAGCCAGGCCCACAUUUCUCGGUAUUUGGUUACUGUCAUGCUUUUUAUUCCGAGAGACGUUCCCUAGAUGUUUAGAUUUGAUUUGGAUCAUGGAGAUCACAUGCUCGAUGAUAGAUGAUUCCAUGUCACCUGAUUUUCUUAUCUAUCACAUAUUCGAUGUCAUACUGGAGCAUAUUUCCAUUUCAGAUGAGGUUUACCAAUCUUCAUGGAGUUACAUGAUCAUCUCCACUUACGAAGUAUGAGCUGAGACGAUGACGUGUUCGUUACCUUAUCAUGAUCUCUCAGUAGAGCCUCUUUGGAGCCAUUCAGCUCGACCCACAUUUUUGGCAUUUGGUUGUCGCCAAGCUUAUUAUUCCGGAGACGUUUCAUAGAUGUUUGGGGUUUGAUUUGGGUCAUGGAGAUCGCACAUUUGAUGAUGGAUGAUUUCAUGUCACCCAAUUUUCGACUUAUCGUACAUCUAACGACAUACUGGGGCAUAUUUCCGUUUUGAUCGAGAUUUACAAAUCUCCAUGGAGUUGCAUGCUUAUCUCCACUUACGAGGUACACACCGAGAUGAUGACCUAUUUGUUAUCUUAUCAUGAUCCCUUAGUGGAGCCUCUCUGGAGCCAUCCAAUCAGAUUCAUAUUUUUUCGGCGUUUGGGUUGUUGUCAUGUUUCUCCUUCUGGGUUAUGGAUUUGGAUGACGAGGUUCGUGCUCCUGAUGAUAGAUGACUUGAGGCCAUUUGAUUUUUCCAACCUAUCACACAUUUGAUUCCAUACUGGGGCAUUUUUCCCCUUUCGAUCAAGAUUUGUAGAUCCCCACGAGUUUGCAUGAUCAUCCCCAUUUAUGAGAUACACAUCAGGUUGAUGAUUCGAUUUCAUUUUGUCUUGAUUCUUUCGUGGAGCAUUUUUCUUGAGUCAUUUCGUCAGGCUCACACUUUCUGAUUUUGUUGUGAUUUUUGGAUAGAGUCAUCUCAGGUGCAUAGGAUCCCAUAUCAUCAUUUCAGUGGGACACAUGUCAGAUCUUUUAUAUAUUCCCAUGGAGUUAUUCUCGGGUUAUCAUGAUAGACCGAGUACAUCUGACGCCAUAUUGGGGCAUAUUUCCUUCCUCCAGCUGUAGAGUUUCGAUGAUUUUUGCUAAGAUGAGCCACCAGAGGAACACGACUUCCGGGUUUUGACUGCCCUACUAUCCAUGACUUUUCAGUGGAUUGAGAUCGUAGUAGUUACCCUAGCAGACUAUUCUUUUGUGACCCCCUAGUGGAUCAUUUUUUCGGUAUGAUGAUGGAUUCUUCCAAUAAAACAUUUUGAGUUAGAGAAGUUCUACUUAUUGCGACACUUCAUCAGAUCUCGCGAUUUAGUCAGAUGGGUUGUGAGACUAAGUUCACAGUCGAUUUAAUCAUUUCGACUCGCUAGCAGAGCAUCCUUCAAGACUCAUGAAGUCUUUUUUGUCAUUUCCAUGGACUGAAAUCUGUAGUAGCAUGCUACAUUGGGGCAUAUUCCCCCCUCAUCAUCUCUAUUCAUCUUCAGUCUCGGCGUUCAGAGCCACCGUUUCUUCACAAUUUGGCGUUCAGAGCUAUAUCUUCAGUUUGGUGUUCCAGGUCACGCAUUCUUUUUAGCGUUCAGAGCCAUCAUCAUGUUCACAGUUUGGCGUUUAGAGUCACUAUCUCUUCUUAGUUUUGGUGUUCAGAGUCGCAUCUUCAUUUUGGCAUUUAGAGCCGUUAUUUCUGUUCAGCAUUCAUAGUUACUAUUUUUAGUUUGGUGUUCAGAGCCACCGUUUCUUCGUAUUUUGGCGUUUAGAGCCAUAUCUUCAGUUUGGCGUUCAAAGUCACACUUUCAUUUUGACGUUCAAAGCCAUCGUCAUCUUCUCAAUUUGGGUGUUCAGAGCCACCAUCUCUUCUUAGUUUGGGUGUUCAGAGCCACCAUCUUUUCUCAGUUUGGGUGUUCAGAGCCACCAUCUUUUCUCAGUUUGGGUGUUCAGAGCCACCAUCUUUUCUCAGUUUGGGUGUUCAGAGCCACCAUCUUUUCUCAAUUUCGGCGUUCAAAGCCACCAUCUUCUCAGUUUUGACAUUCAGAGCCACCAUCUUCUUAGUUUAGGCGUUCAAAGCCAUCAUCUUCUCAGUUUGAGCGUUCAGAGCUACCAUUUUCUCAGUUUUGACGUUCAAAGCCACCAUAUCUUCUCAGUUUCGGAAUUUUAAAGCCACCAUCUUCUCAGUUUCGGCGUUCAAAGCCAUCAUCUUCUCAAUUUGGGCGUUCAGAGCCACCAUUUCUUCUAAGUUUCGGCGUUUAGAGCCACCAUAUUCUCAGUUUCGGCGUUCAGAGCCACCAUCUUCUCAGUUUGGGCAUUCAAAGCCACCAUCUCUUCUCAGUUUGAGCGUUCAGAGCCACCAUCUUCUCAGUUAAAGCAUUCAGAGCCACCAUCUCUUCUCAGUAUGGGCAUUUAGAGCCACCAUUUCUUCUUAGUUUGGGCGUUCAGAGCCACUAUCUCUUCUCAGUUUCGGCAUUUAGAGCCACCAUCUCUUCUCAAUUUGGGUGUUUAGAGCCACUAUCUAUUCUCAAUUUGGGCGUUCAUAGCCACCAUCUCUUCUCAGUCUUGGUGUUUAAAGCCACCAUCUUCUUACGACUCAGCCUUCAAAGUCAUCAUUGCUUAUCGGUUACGACGUUCAGAGUCAUCUUCCUCGGUUUUGACGUUCAGAGCCACCAUUUCCUUAUAGCUUGACGAUUAGAGUCAUCAUCGCUUCUCAAUUACGACGUUCAGAGUCGUAUUUCUCAGUUAUGGCGCUCAGAGCCUUCAUCUUCUUCAGUUUGACGUUCAGAGUCGCACCUCUAGCUUGGCAUUUAGAGUUACUAUCUCUUUACAAUUUUGCUUUCAGAGCCAUCAUCCUAUUGCGAUCGGGCAUUCGUUGCCACUUUUUCGACAUUCAGAGCCACCAUCUUUUCUCAAUUAUGGCAUUCAAAACCAUCAUCUCUUUACAACUUGGCGUUUAGAGUCAUCGUCCUUCUCAAUCAUGGCAUUUAGAGCCACAUUUCAGGCAUUCGAAGUCAUGAUUUUCUAAAGCUUAUCAUCCUCCCUUGUGCAUGAUAUAGCUCUUUGAGCUUAUAGCUUAUGUUUUGAUUGUAUCAUUGGUGCCCCUCACUUCGCGCUCUUGUAUGGUGCAUGUAUAGUUUCCCUUUUAUAUAUGUUCCUCUCUAUGCUCCUAGAUGGUUUGACUACUACUCAACUUUGACUUCGAUCUUUGAAUCACUUUUGGUGACAUCUUAGAGGGAGUCUAGAUCCUUAGCGCGGCUUCAAAGGCACUUUGAGAGAUCCAUUUUUCUCUUAGGAUUUUAAAGCUCUUUUUACUCCUCUGAUGGUUUGGGUGAGUUUGUGUUUUACUUGUGUACCUUUAGGGAUCUUUCUUUGUCUUCGGUAGAGUUCACUUCAUUUCACUCUCUAUUCACACUUUUUUUUCACUUUAGUGUUUACAUUCAUUACACUCGUGAGCUCUACCGAAGAGGGGCAUAUUUGUAGACCCCUUUGUGGACACCAUCCGAGAGAGUGGUUUUUCUUUCAUUUUUUUGAAAUGGGGGGACCCCUUUCUGCCAAGAACAAGCUGCAUGGACAUGUGGCCAAGAGCAUGGCUCACCAUGGUGGUGGUUGAUGGUGAUGACAUCCUCCCGGGACAAGGAGCAGUAAAGUGGUUGGUGGCUUGCGGGAGAAGACAGAAAUGGGGGCAGGCAAGCAAGCUGCGAGGGGGUAGGUGAUUUUGGGGUUGCUGGUUUUGGGGAGAUACACUGGAAAAUGCUUUCUUUGGCUGGGGAGUCUUUGUUCUAGGGAGGAGGAAUUCUUUGGCCAGGCAAGAACUGUGAAAGAGCUCUCAGGUAAGUUUACUGGGUAUCUCUUGUUCACAUUUACUAUCACCGUUCUUUCAUUUUCCCCCUUCGCUAUUUGGGGUUUUGUUUGUUUGUUUGGUUAUGGAUAACAGGAGUUAUGCAUGAGUUUUGUUAAUUUCCAGUUUGUUCAUAUACCCAUUGAUCGCUUCAUUCACUAUCCUUCUUAAUAUUGGUUUAAACCCAAUGAAGUUCUGUUUCAUUUUGCUCUAUGUGAAGAUAUUGCUUGUUAUUUUCUCGUUUGGACCUGUUGGUACCCUUCCCACCCAUCCAAGCCCGUUGAAAGAGCAUUAGAUAUGGUUUUUCUUAAUUCACACACACACAUAUAUAUAUAUAUAUAUAUAUAUUUGUUUACUUUUCCUGGCUCUCCUUUGUUCUAGUCUAUAUUUUCUUUUUCCCGUUUUUUUUAUGCACUCGAUCCAGAAUGUCGGUUGAUUGAGUGUCGGUCAGAGGAAUUGGUUUUGGGCUUGUUCUAGAGAAAUGCGCUGGUAAAUAUACAUGCACAAUGUGGAAAAGGUGAAGUUGUUAAUACCUUAUCCAUUUGUUUUUCCGGGCACACGAAUGUUGGUCAAGUAGCCGAAAGAUUAAGAUGAGGCUUUCUCCCAUCACCAUUCCAGCUGAUUCAGUUGUGACUGUUGGUAUUGUGCCCUAUUCCGGGGUCCGUUCAAAAGUGUCUUCGGCUAAGGUUGUGCAAGCUAAAUCAGUUGAUGCUUAAUAUGCUUAGGAAUACUACUUGUGCGUUUUUCAAAUUUUAUGCAAAGGUGACAAGCCAAACAUCAGUGGAAAUGAUGCAUGACUCCUCCAAUAGAUCAGUUCAUACAAUUUUCAGGUGUGGGAAUAUAUGCUAGCAACGUUCUUGAAGUCACUAAUUGGUUCCCAUUUCCAACCCUAGAAGAGAAUGGUGAGACUGAAACAUCAUGUGGUCCCGACAUUUCAUCAUAUAUAAUUCCUUCAUACCCAUAUUCCCACUACCUUCCAUCCUCUAAGCCUCAUUCAUACCCAUAUCACUACUUCAUCUACCCGUAUUCUCAUAUUUCCAUCUCGUCACCAUAUUUUCUCUCUUUACACCACGUGCAUGUCCAUUACCACUCAUGCAUAUCACCACCCUCCUAUGCCCACCUUGCCCAUUCUUUCUUACCACCUUUCUCUUUUUACACCACAUGCCUCCCAAACCCACUACUCGUAUUUCACGCUUCAUCCCAUCUCAUCCCAUAUCCCUCCCAUGGAUAUCAUCACUUUCACAUACCCAUCACUACAUUUCUCUCUCUACACCACACCAUGUUCCCACUUUUUUUUUUUAAUAUGUCACUAGAUCCAUUUCUUCCCACUUUGCAUGGUCAUGCAUGGCCACACUAUGUCACUUCCACACUCAUACCCGUUCCAUACCCACAUCUUCCUAUCUGUAUUCCUACCCUUUUUUAAAAAAAAAAAAAAAAAUCCACUCACUCGUUUCUCUCACUACCACUACCCUUCAUUACUCAUCCCUACCCAUGGCAACCCAUACUCUCCUCACUCAUCUAUUACACCCACUGUCAAUAGCUCUCUUCAUCACCAUACCUAUUUUUUCCACUCUUUCUAAAUCCAUUGGACUCUCUCAUCUCACCACCCUCCAUCAUCCGUUCCAUCAAUAACCUCCCCGAAGACCAAGAAGAUUUUGCAACUUCUGCGCUUGAGAUAGAUAUUUAACAGUGUCUUCCUGAAAGUGAACAAGGAAACAACGAAUAUGUUGCACAAGGUUGAGCCUUACGAGACAUGCGGGUAUCCCAAUUCAAAGAGUGUUAAGGAAUUGGUUCACAAGCCAGGGUGCCUACCCGCUACAGUGAAACGCUUGGCUUUCAUAGUCUGCAUCGCGAGACAAUCAUGAAGCAUCAGUAUUGUUUGCAUUAGAGCGGGGUAUACCUUCCAUAGUUGGUACUCUUGGAAGUAUGUCUAUGGGAUGAAGCUGAUAUAUUAUCUGUUUUAUUUGAUAAUGGAUGAAAUCAUGGUGACUUUGUGGUCUAUAUCAUCCAGAAGUUCUCUCAAGAGAUAUAGCCGUCAUGUGAAGAUUCUUUUUCCUCACACGGUUACGCUGCUAAGAAGGAUUUCUCAUGCUUUGAAGGUCAUCAUGAAUCGAAAGACUCAAGAAGAAGGGUUAGCAUUGGUUCGUACUCAUCAGAUGCCUAGAAACAAGUGGGCAGAGUUGACAAAACUCUCGUCGAGAAGAACAGACAAUGCAAUAAAAGACCACUAGGACAGUUAUGUAAAGAAGAAGUUGGACUCUCAUAUAGCAUCAGAUUCACUUGCACAGUCCCAAGGCCAGCCUCUUGUUGGUCACUGAAACUGAUCGAUCCAUUCAUCUUCUUCAAAUAUGUAAUAGAGUAGUGGAGGUGAUGGCGGAGCCAAAGGUGGGAUAGAAGCAGAGGAAAUUUCAGAAUAUAGUCAAGGUUCAAUUGCGGAUUUUCUGGAAGCGUGAGGCACCAGUUUAAUUCAAAUGGGCAACCCACUCCUUCUUUUGAGCUGGGACAAGCAUCAUCAGGUUUAUCAUCGCAUUUUAAAGGUGGCAGAGGAAACCAGGGCACAGUUUCUGUCCCGUUCAUGAACUUCUGUAGGGUUGAGUGAUUCCUCUUCCACGGGAAAUAUAGGUGUGGACUCUGAUAUACCUGAGCAUUUACUGAUAUCUGAAGGCGACUGUUGUGGGUUCAGAUUCCAAGAGGAACUCCAGCUUCACAGUCAUAUUACUCCCUAAGGAUGACAGCGGCAAGCAUCACUAGCACCAAUAGGGUAGUCACAAUCGCACCCAAGGCCCAUGUGUAUUAUGGCCAACCUCCCAGACCCAUUUUCAAGGCCCACGUGCUUCUUUCCUUCACCUUAAAAAAAAAAACAAAAAAUGAUGAUUUUCUGAAAAUCCAAUUUCCAAAUAAUUCAACUCUCUAUUCUUUCAUCUCUAGAAUUUUUGGGUCCUAAAUUCCAUUUCCCAAUUUCCAUAUUUAUUUAUUUAAUAAGUAUUAUUUUUGUUAUUAUUAUUAUUAUUAUUCUAUUUAUUUAUUCAUUUAUUAUAAAAUUCCACCUUUAAAUAAUUUUCCAAAAUUCCGACUUCUGGAUUUAAAGUUCCAAUUUAAAAAAUCUCAAUAUUCACAUUCAUUUAUUUAAUUAUCAUUUUUGUUUUUAUUAUUAUUCUUUUUAUUUAUUUAUUCAUUUAUCAAUUCUUCAAAAUUUCGACUUUCAAAUAUAAUUUCUGAUUUUUCAUAAUUUCACUAUUCACAUUCAUUUAUUUAAUUAUUAUUUUUGUUAAUAUUAUCAUCAUUCCAUUUAUUUAUUUAUUUUAAAAUUUCAUCUAUUAACAAUUCUUCAAAAUUCCAGUUUCCGAAUUUAAUUUCCAAUUUCAAAUUUUCCACUAUUCACGUUCAUUUAUUUAAUUACUAUUUUCGUUACUAUUAUUAUUACUCCGUUUAUUUAUUUAUUUAUUCAUUUUAAAAUUUCAUCUUUUAACAAUUCUUCAAAAUUCCGGUUUCGAAUUUAAUUUCCAAUUUAAAAAAUUCCACUAUUCACAUUAAUUUAUUUAAUUAUUAUUUUCGUUAAUAUUAUUAUCAUUCCAUUUAUUUAUUUUAUUUAUUCAUUUUAAAAUUCCAUCUUUUAACAAAUUCUUCAAAUUCCAAUUUUCAAAUUUAAUUUUCAAUUUCCAAAAUUCAUUUUUUCACAUUUAUUUAUUUAAUCAUUAUUAUUUUCGUUAUUGUUAUUAUUUUAUUUAUUUUAAUUAUUUAUUUUUGAAAAUUCCAUUUUUAAAUAAUUCUUUAGAAUUCCAAUUUUUGAACUUAACUUCCAAAAUUUCAAUUCUUAAAUUUAAUUCCCAAUACUCCAAUUUCCAAAUAAUUUUCAAGACUCCAAUUUUCAAAUAAAUUUCAAAAAUCCAGUUUUCACUCGAACAAUUUUAAUUUCAUUCCGAUUCUCAAAUAAUCUAUUGUUUAUCUUGAUUUUACAUAAGUAUGAAUGCAAUUUUUCAUAAUUCCACAAUAAUGGAAUUUGCGAAACUAAUUCGUGCAAGAUAGAUUGGAUUUUGGUGGGAGGCCCAACAUUGGUGUUUUUUUCCUCUAAAAAUAAAUUUAAUUGAAUUGAAUUGUGAUAUCUAUUGAUUUCUCACUCUGUUUAGUGGCAUAUGUGACAUAGUCUGUUUUUGUUAAUUCUGCACUAAUCUCAUUUCUUGAUAGCACAUUGUGGCUCAUGGCCCAAGUACGCAUCCGCUCCCAUUCUAGUCAUUCUCCAUGCAUAUUCUGAUUCUCAUAUGUGCAUGAUCGAUUUGAGUACCCAUUGAUUUCCUUAUUGAUUGCCACAUCAACUUCCUUUUAUCAGUAGAGACCUGACUUUAGGGACUUAUAUGGGUGCUACGGUCCUUACUAUACAUUCCCGAUAAGUAAUCUGACCUCCGAGUCUGAUCCGGUUUUUCAAAAAUCACUUUUUUCAAAAUAAGGAGUUACACUUAGGGUUUUCUUUCUUAUUUUGUAUACCCUUUUGAUUACUACUCAAAAAGUGCUAUUUGAUAGCUUGUAAUUAACUCUUUUAAACACUUUUGAGUAGUAGUUAUUGCCUUUUAACCCAAUUAACAUGUUAAGGACCCUUGCAAUCAAUUCUAAUCAAAUUGUGUUAAGUUUUGGUGUUUUUGUUAGUAAUUUGAUCACCAAAACAAUCCAAGAUUGAGGAGAGUUAUUUGGAAUCCAUGGCAAAGCUUUUGGAAGCUCAAAUUUAUGAAGAACCAAGCUUUGGAGCUCCAUAGCCCUUUGCCAAAGUCGUUCAAAGUAUGCAAGGAGAGAAGCAAGGAGAAGAGGAAAACAGAGUGAAGAAAACAGAGGACAAGAAGCUGCAGUCUUCAUGCGCACUUUUGGAGCACUUCCCGAAGUCCAUUUUCUACAUUCUAUAUACCAUUUCAAAGCUCAGGAAGUCAAGAAUCCAAUGCUUCAAACGGUGCGUGAUUCGGAGUUGAAACGAAGAAGUUACAGCCAUUGCAAGCAGAUCACUCCAAAGUGUUGCGAAAUCAGCCUUUUGUUGCGAGAAUUUCGCAGCCUUUUUGUACAGUGCUAUGGAAUUCCUCCUGAAGCUACCCGAUACAUGCCGCAAGCUGGAACGCUGAGAACCUCAAGGUGGAAGCCAAUUUCGCAGCCCUGCGAGUUUAACUUGUUGUUGCGAAAAUAUUUCGCAGCCCUCUUGGGUGUCUGCGAAAUCUCGCAGACACCAUUUUCACCUGCGAAAUGGUUCCUGAAGCUUCCCGAUAUUUUCCACCGACUCUUUUGGAUAUUUUUCUUCAGAUAUUUUUGUAUAAAUUUCCAUUUUCUCCUUGUAUUCAGCCACUCAUGUAAUUCCUUAGCUAGGAAGUGUCCAAGGAAGGGUAAAUUACCUUCCUAUAUAAACUCUCUUGCAUCCACUGUAAAAAAAACGCUCGGAGAAGUAUGUAAUAUAGAAACAAUAUAUAGAAUCAACGAACAGAGCACUUGCUCUGUUUUUUCAUAUAUAUUCUUGUCUUCUCCUUCAUUUUCAUUUUCUAGCCAACCAAACUCUGAGGAUUUUUCCACAGAGGAUGAGAGGCUAAGCUUUUUGUCUCUUGGAGUAAGGAAAGCCGGGUAAGUUUCCACAUGCAUAAUUUGGAAGUUUUGUUGUUUUAGUUUUAAUGAAGAGAAAGUGUAACCCGUUAAUGGUUUUUAUCUUUUUAGUUAACUUAAAACACCUUAGAGUCACCUGAGCCAACACUUGGUAAGGCAAGUGAUUUCUAUCCAUGGAAAUGCACUAGUUUACCCCUUGCGAGCCUUUGGGAGGUGACUUGAAGGUAGGAUUUUCUAGAAUAGCCAACACUUGGUAAGCUUUUGGACUCCAAGGAGACAUCCAUUAGUUAUCUCUUGCGAGCUUUUGACGGGUAAUCCAAGGUUAAAGAUCUCCUUGAAUGGCAAGUGCUAGGUGAGAGGUAUGAGCCAUUGCAAGAUGCAUCAGUGAGAGGGAUUUAGUGUUUGAACCCAUUAAUGGGAAGCAUCUGUACAACACCGGUUGGAGAAGGAACUAUAUGUUAAUUCUCUAAUGCGAGGAAAAGAAACAAGUGACCGGAACUCCCUUUUUGUAUGAGGAAUCUGAGCCUAGUGAUCUGAAAUUCCAAGAAACACUUUUCUUUGUAAGUAAAAUCAGUUACUAUUUUUGGUUAGCUUAAAACCAAUCCUUUUUCAUUCAAAAAUCUUUAUGUUUUCUUUUAAAGCUAACCUUGAAAUGAAAAGGCACCAAUUCAGCUUUAAAUUAAUAUCAUUUGCAAAGUGAAAACCCAUCCCAGUGAACGAUCCUAGAGCCACUAUACUAUAGUAGUUUUGUCUUUGCUACCCUAGUAUAUGGUGUAAUAGGUUAUAAAUUUUGUUGAUUACUCCCUCAAUCAAGGAGCACCAGCUGUACACGAAUCAGCUGAGACAUCAAUUGGGCACGAAUCAAAUGGCGCCGCUGCCGGGGAUCGAACCCCGAAUCAAAUGGUGCCAUUGCCACUGCCGCUGCUAGGGACGAAUCAUUAAAAACAAAACAAAAAUAAGUGGCGAUUCCAAGUCAUUUCUAAAAAAAAAAAUCAUAUUUUUCAUUAAAUAAAUAAAAAACGAAUUUGCCAUCGAGUGAGAACGCAUUGAGCAAAAAUGCGAGGUCCACAUAUUGUUAUUUUUAUUUAUAAAGAAUCGAAAUUUACUUUAUCAUUUAUUAAUUGGCAUGAAAUGUUUUGACUUGCCUUGAUUAAUAAGGACUUCCAUGGCUUACCUGAUAGAGUUGGGCCCUUAACGUUAUCCACUCUGCAAUGUAUCAUGCCCUUCCAAAGCUUAAUCAAGUCAACGGCUAAGGUGUAAUUUCAUGCAUUAAAUUAUUUUAAAAAAUGUUUAAUACUGCAGUCAAGCUCGUACUACAUAUACUCUAAAAUCAACAAUGUAAUUUUCUGCACUGAGCAAUUUCAUAAAAAUGGUUUUUGAGUAAAAGAGAUUUGGAUUUUGGCCUAUGGCCUAUGGACUUUCAAAACAGGGGGUUACUCCUUGCAUUAGCUUUGUCAGGAGCACAAACCUGACAAAGAAAGCAAUUGGCAACAUGUUGAAUUUAAGCCACAAGCAUAGAGAAUCUUCAAACUUUGCAGCCUCCCCAGGUUUUGUGGCAACUUGUGGAGUUUUGAACACUCACUGACAUUGAGAACUUCAAGAAAGCAUAAAUUACAAGUGCUUCCUGGAAGAGUCACAAGGUUUUGGCAUCUGUCCAGAUUCAAAAGUUCAAGCCUAUUCAAAUGUUCGAUUGAUGAUGGUAGCUCUUUUAUAGCCGUUCCGUUCAAGUGAAGCUCCCUUAAGUUUUCCAUAUUCUCCAAGAUUUCUGGAAAGUACUGUAAUUGUGAACAGUCAGAGCCAAAGAGAGAUUUUAGGGAUUUGAACUCCCGAAUGCUUGUUGGCAGACUCUCAAGGUUUUUGCACUCUCGCAAACAUAAGGUAUCAAAUUCAGAGGCAUGCUCAAUGGGUAGUAGGUUGAUUGUCUGACCCUUUAAACAAAGCUUUCGGUGUUCCACGUUCCUCUGACAUUCCACGCAGCUAGCAUCCACAUCCUCAGUCUGUACUAUUGGAUCUUGGGAGUAUAUAGGUUGAAGCCCACACUUGAGCACCUUAAAAUGAUUGCGAGAGCCCAUAAAUAGAGCCCCAAGAAACAUGGAUGGAUUGGUGUGACAGCUCUCCAGAAUAGCAGCCUUGGGAUAGAAUAUCACCCACAUUUGUUCUGAUGCACCUCCAUCAUGGUAGCAUUUACAAGUAGUGCGAAAACUGAGAGGUUGCACACACAGGGGAGAAAAUCCAUAUCCAUCAUGCAAUGACAAUUGACAUUCUAACUCAGUGGAGAUUGAAGAUUCAGCUUCAAAUAAAUCGUCAGAUUCAUUCAGGGCUUCGUCACCAGAUUCAUUCUCCGAAAAUGUAUGUGCAAAAUCAUUUUCUGGUAUGUCCUCACAUUCAUCGAGUGGAGCAUAAACACAGCAUAUAGCAAUUCCCAAGAAGUCAUUAUUUUCAUAACAACUCUGAGGAAGGUCCAUUGUGAUCUGAUAUCCCUCUCUCUGUUUCCUUAUCCACUUGGGAAUUCCACUGCUUCCCGGAACAACAAUACAGAUUCCAUGGCCAAUGAAGUCAGAAUCAGGGAGAAAUACUUCAUUUGAACUGCUCUUGUAUUUCAAAUCCUGUACAAAGGGACAAUGUAAAUCCAGUGGGUCUGUGCCAUUAUGUGAGUUUUUAUGAGAGAGUUUGUUAUCGGUUUUUGAUAAAUUGAUUCCCAGUUUUAACUUUCUUUGAUCUAUGCUCCUGAAUCUACUUAAUAUCCCUUUUAGAUGACGGAUAAUCAAUCAACAUGAAAGUGAGUGACAAGAUUAAGUGUGAAAACUGGAAGUGAGGGGAAACUGAAACUGAAAGUGAGUAGAAUAAGCAGAUCUGUUCUUCACUUGCAGUAGCUUCUUCUCCAUUCAGAUUCAGAGAUCUUAGAAUUGUAGCUUCAACUUAACUCUCAGAAUCUUAAAGACAAAGUUCGCUCAAGUUUCAAAAACUCACAGAAAAGUUUCUCCUCAUGUUUCUUUUAAUCCCAUGAGGCGACAGACAUGUAGCACACACUUACUGGCUUUUUGCCAUGCAAGUUUCAAGGUGGAGUGUCCAAUGAACUAAAACAUUCCCUCAAAUCCUAGUGGAAAUUCACACUAUAAAUUUCAGAAUUUGCUAAAGAAAAGUUUAAUUAAUUUUACCCAUGACUAAAAAGGCAUGUGAGGGCAUUUUAACAGCCUAUUAAUUAUUAUAUUAAACUACUAUUCUCAUUACUCAAACUCAUGAUCCUUCACAUCAUCACCACAUUUUGAAGAGACUUUCGUCAACUCUUCUAUGAAUGAAUUGAUGUUUAAGGAGGCAUAAUAAACUUUUAAUUGAAUUUAACAUUAUUUCUAUCCUUAUACUCAUCUUAAAUUAUUAUUUUUUUAUAUUCUUAUCAAAAUAAAUAAAAACUUAACAAAAAAAAUAAAGAUUUCAAAACAAACUUUAUUAGCAACACUUAUUUACAUCAUUCUUUAAAAAAAUAUUCAAAAACAAAUUUUUUUACAAUUAAAAAAAUGUGAUUUAAAAUUUAUAAAGAACAAAAUUUUUAGAAAAAUAUGGUAGUUGUUUGAAAUAAAAUAAAAGGGAAAUCAAAAUUCUUAGUAAAUGAAUAGUCAAAAAAACUGUAACAGAUAUGCAAAUGAGAAAAAAAAUAAUCAAUGUCAAGAAUGAGAAACAAUUUUUUCUUUUUUCUUUUCUUAUUUUAUGCAUUCAUUACCAUUUUUAAAUUAAUAAAUAAAGUUUUUCUCACAAAAUUUUAAAAUGGCAUGUAUGCUUCAAAAUUUAUAUAUUGUUAUUAGAUUUUUAUAAAUUUCAUUUAUAUCCUCAAAAUUAGAAUCAUUAAACUCACAUUUUAAAAUAAGAUAUCAAAUAGUUAUUUUUUCAUCCUUUAGCAAUAUCAAACGUUUUUUGUACUUUAAUAAAAAAAAAAAAAGCUAUUUUUUCUAAUUAAUGACUAUUUUGCAUAAUAUUUGUAUAAAUUAUUUAAUAUAUAAAUAUUACUUAUUUAAUAGUUUUUUUUUAAUUUCUUAUAGAAAGAGUAGUGCAUACAUAAUUCAAACAAAAGGUAAUUUUAUAUUGCAAAAAAGUUUGUGGAAAAAGGAAAUUUGAACAAGGAUUGAAAUUUAUAGAACCAUAUUGGACACCUAGUUCUAGGUUUGUCCCUUUCCAACAAUCAUGACUUGGUAGUAGCCUAAUCUCAAAUCUAACUUUGUCAGGCCCUUCCUUUACUAAGUCGAUCAAACAAGUUGUUAACAAACAGAAUAAGAUAUUUUUUCUUUUCACCUUGUUGAGUCUUCGAUAAUCUAUACACAUUCAGAGGGAUCCAUUAUGUUUCUUUUAGAAUAAUAUUGAUGUGGCAUAUGAAGCUUUAGUUGGUUGGAUGUAUCCCAUGUUAUGCAACUUCUUAAGUUGUUUCCUUUGUUCUUCUAAAUUAGGUAGUAUCAUCCUAUGGGACCUCCAUGGCAAGGGGCUUAGCUCCUGGCUCUAAGUCAAUCUUGUGCUCCCCUUCCCUUAUUUGUGUGAGUUUCUUAUGUAAUUUUAAUGACAUCUAAGGAUGGCAAAGUUUGAUACAAUUUUUCAACCAAACUUGAAGAAGCGUUAUUAGUGGGUUUGGAAAGUUCUAAUCUAUUUUACUUUUUAAAACAAAGUAAAAUAGAGAACAAUUUUUAAAGAACAAUUAGGAGUUGUUUUUACCAAUUUUUAAAAAACAAAAAAUAUAUAAACUCAUUUGACUAUAUUCUUUUAAACUUGUUUUUAAAUUAAAGAAUAAAAAAUAAUUUUUUAAAAUAAGUUUCAAAAAAUAUGACCAAGUCGGGGUUUAUAAUAUUAAAGAGGAAAAAAGUUAAUUUAAGAUUUUGCAUGCAGGUAAACAUCAGGCUGUAAAACUGGUUUACUAAGACACUCAUUUUAUUUAUAUAUUCUUCUAUGUGCAUGCAUUGACCAUGUGGUUAAGAUGUGUUGCACCGAAAUCUAAUGAUUAGCUGUAAAACGUUAAUUAAUCCGAGCAUACAUUUUUCUUUAUUUGUUUUGGUUUCUUUACAAGAAUGCUUCUUUAUGUAUUCUUGUUGAACCUAUAAAAUAUCAUCCAUAGACAUUCUUUUUGAAUAAUUAAGAACCGAGAUUUCUAAUUGGUUGGUUAUUAUUUUUAUCUGUAAGGAAUCGAAAUUUAGCUCAUCAUUUAUCGUAUGAAUAUCAUAUAGAUUUGAAAAGAAUUUCACACUUAGAAAUGUACCUCUCAGAACAUUUGAAGUUAAGAUGUUUUUGUCUUCUUCAAUUUGAUUGCUCAUUACGACUUUGAGAUUCAAAUUCCUUUUGAUGUAAAAAACAAACUUAAAUAAAUAAAAAGAAUUAAAAGAUAAGCAGAGCAAAAAAUUAAAUAGUGUGAGUUGGAAUGAAUAAAGUUUUAAUCAAAAUUGGAAAUUAAGGUGAAACAUCCUAAAUUAUAUACAAAAGCUCAUAUAAUAUUACACCAUAAUUUCUCUAAAUUAAUCUUAACCUUUUAGUGCAGUGUGUACAGUCAUUGCUUGUUUGUGGAUUAGAAUUAGUAUCUUCUGCUGCUGAUCUGGUAUCACAACUUCUCUGCUCAUCAUUGUACUCUAUCAUUGUCUGAUGGUCGCGCCUGGUGGCUUCUGUGUUGUCACAGCUUCUCCGAGCAUCACUACUGGUAUCUUCUGGGAUGUUUCUGUUUAUAACAUCAGGUGUAUAUAUAAGAUGGAACCCACACUCUUUCACUUCGACUGGUGUACCGUCCAAGCUAUGAAAUGAAGCCUUCAAACGUCUCCAUUCGUUCGACCAAUACUGGUUGCCAAUAACAACCUUGGGAUAAUAAGUCACACACAUUUGACUUGAUUCACCGCAAAUUCGGCAGCAAUAAGACCGGACAUCAUCCACGUGACAGCAUUCAGAUUGAUCACCACAGAUAUUGAGUUCGCAAUUCAACCAACCACAAGCCAUAGGAAUAAAAACAGAGUAUAAAGCAAAUCCUAAGAAGCCAUCUUUUCUGUACAAAUCCGUAGAAAGCUCUAUUGUUAUUUGAGAUCCUUUUUUUGGCUGGCUUAUCCACUCUGGAAUUCCAUCAUUUCCCGAAAUAACAACUCUGAUUGCCUUGUUCCAAUAGGAGCCGCAUUCAAAUUCCUGCACAGAAGUACAGUGUUAAUACUCUGUUCAUAAGGAAAAAGGGCUGAAUGUUAUGAAAAUCAUACCUCAAUCAUUGAUUUGAAGCAUUUGAACAGAGAAAAACCAAGUUGACUUGAUGGACUUGAUAAAGUUUCCAAGCAUGUGCAACUGUGGACAUCUAGAACUCGUAAACUUGGUGGAAACUCUGGAACUUGUAGAAGCCCCUGGCAGUGACUCAAUUCAAGGACUCUCAGUUUAGAAAGUUGAAUGAUGCCUGCAAGUAUGCUACUAAAACAGUCCUUGCUUAGAUUUAGACCUGAAGCGUACAAACCCUCUAAACAUUGCAAACUCCUCAGGUUCUCGGGAAAUCUCUCAAGUUUUGUACAGAAACUGACAUUUAGAAUUUUGAGAGUUUUCAAAUUACAAAAGGCCUCUGGAAGACUCACAAGGUAUUGCGAGAUUCAAAUAUUGAAGCCCUCUUAGAUAUUGAAUUGAUGCUGGUAGUUCUUCGAUAGCAGUUCCAUCUAAAUGAAGCUCUCUUAUAUUUUCCACAUCCUCGAGGAUUUCCGGAAAGCUCCUUAAUCGUGAACAGCCUGAGCAGAAGAGAGUUGUAAGGGAUUUCAACUCACAUAUGCUACUGGGAAGAAGCUCAAGGUUUUUGCAUUCUCGCAAACAUAACCUAUUAAGUUUAUGGGGACACUCAACAGUGGGUAGUUCAUUGAUGGCAUUUCACUUUAAACAAAGCUUCCAUAGGGAUUGCACAUCCUCUUGACAUUCCCGGCAAACGGUGGAUAUCAUUGCUUUACCAUGGUUCUGUUCAUGAUCAUGGGCAUAUAUAAGAUGGAUCCCACACUCUUCUACUUUCACUGCUUUACCUCUCAAGUAGCCACAAAAUGAAGCCGUCAACUGCCUCCAUUUAUUUGAGUGGUACUUCUCCUCAAUCUCAUGCUUAGGAUAAUAAAUCAUCCACAUACAAGGUACAACAUAGACGUGAAAUGAGGGAUAAAACUGGAGUUUAUCCACAAACUGAAUUUCAUGACCACGCAAAGUUAAACCAUACUCGAAGUAAGUUGCACCAUUCUCCAGUGUCUCCUCAGAUUCAUUAUCCAGUGGAUAAUAGACACAGUACAAAACAAAACCCAACAAGUCGUCAUUUUUAUACCAAUUUUGAGGAAGCUUUGCUACUACUUCAGCUCCCUUUUUGUGAUGGCUUAUCCAAUCUGGAAUUCCACAACUUUCUGAAAUAAUAAGAUUUACUCGGGCAAAAGGUUUUUCUAAAGGAUAAAUCUUGCAUUCCAAAUCCUGCAGAAAAUUUAAUUAACACUUAAAUCCCCAUGUCUCCACAAAAAAAGUUUUGGUCUAUGAAUAUCAUACCUGAAUCAAUGAUUUGAAGCAGUUGAAUAGAGAAGACCAGAGUAGACCUGAAGAAGUUUCCAGCCGUUUGCACAAAUGUAUAUCUAAGACACGCAAACUGGAUGGAAGUGCUGGAAUUUGUCGAAGCUCUUGACAGUUACCCAAGACAAGGAGUCUCAGCCUAGAAAGUUGAUUGAUCCCAGCAGGUAUGCUCCUAAAAAGAUUCCCGAAUAGAAAUAAUUCUUGCAGAGAUGAUAGCUGGCAAAUUUCAGUGGGGAUUCCUCCUUCAUCUAUACCACACACACGUAGAUCUACAACUUCCAAGGAGUACAAGCAGCAAAUAUCACUCAGGACUACUCCUUGCAUUAGCUUUGAGUAAAUAAGAUCUAACUCCUUUAAGGAGCAUAAACCUGACAAAGAAAGCAAUUGGCAACAUCUUGAAUUUAAGCCCCUAGCACGGAGACACUUCAAGCUUUGCAGCCUCCCCAGGUUUUGUGGCAAUUUGUGGAGUUUUGAACAGUAAUUCACAUUGAGAUCUUCAAGAAAGCGUAAAUUACAAAUGCUUUCUGGAAGAGUCACAAGGUUUUUGCACCUCUCAAGAUUCAAAACUUGAAGCCUAUUCAAAUGUUCGAUUGAAGAUGGUAGCUCUUUUAUGGCCGUUCCGUUCAAGUGAAGCUGCCUUAAGUUUUCCAUAUUCUCCAAGAUUUCUGGGAAGUACUGUAAUUGUGAACAGUCAGAGCAAAAGAGAGAUUUUAGGGAUUUGAACUCCCAAAUGCUUGUUGGUAGACUCUCAAGGUUUUUGCACUCUCGCAAACAUAAGGUAUCAAAUUCAGAGGCACACUCAAUGGGUGGUAGGCUGAUUGUCUGACCCUUUAAACAAAGCUUUCGGUGUUCCACAUUCCUCUGACAUUCAGCGCAGCUAGCAUCCACAUCAUCAGUCUGUACUAUUGGAUCUUGGGCGUAUAUAGGUUCAAGCCCACACUUGAGCACCUUAAAAUGAUUGCGACAGCCCAUAAAUAUAGCCCCAAGAAACAUGGAUGGAUUGGUGUGACAGCUCUCCAGAAUAGCAGCCUUGGGAUAGAAUAUCACCCACAUUUGUUCUGAUCCACCUCCAUCAUGGUAGCAUUUACAAGUAGUGCGAAAACUGAGACGUUGCGCACACAGGGUAGAAAAUCCAUAUCUAUCAUGUAAUGACAAUUUACAUUCUAACCCAGUGGAGAUUGAAGAUUCAGCUUCAAGUAAAUCGUCAUAUUCAUUUAGGGCUUCGUCACCAGAUUCAUUCUCCGAUGUAUGUGCAAAAUCAUUUUCUGGUAUGUCCUCACAUUCAUCGUGUGGAGCAUAAACACAGCAUAUAGCAAUUCCCAAGAAGUCAUUAUUUUCGUAACAAUUCUGAGGAAGGUCCAUUGUGAUAUGAUUUCCCUCUCUCUGAUUCCUUAUCCACUUGGGAAUUCCACAGCUUCCCGGAACAACAAUACAGACUCCAUUGCCAAUGAAGUCAGAAUCACGGAGAAAUACUUCAUUUGAACUGCUCUUGUAUUUCAAAUCCUGUACAAAAGGACAAUGUAAAUCCUGUGGGUCUGUGCCAUUAUGUGAGUUUUUAUGAGAGAGUUUGUUAUCAGUUUUUGAUAAAUUGAUUCCCAGUUUUAACUUUCUUUGAUCUAUGCUCCUGAAUCUACUUAAUAUCCCUUUUAGAUGACGGAUUAUCAAUCAACAUGAAAGUGAGUGACAAGAUUAAGUGUGAAAACUGGAAGUGAGGGGAAACUGAAACUGAAAGUGAGUAGAAUAACCAGAUCUCUUCUUCACUUGCAGUAGCUUCUUCUCCAUUCAGAUACAGAGAUCUUAGAAUUGUAGCUUCAACUUAACUCUCAGAAUCUUAAAGACAAAGUUCGCUCAAGUUUCAAAAACUCACACAAAAAUUUCUCCUCAUGUUUCUCUUAAUCCUAUGAGGCGAGAGACAUGUAGCACACACUUAUUGGCUUUUUUACAUGCAAGUUUCAAGGUGGAGCGUCUAAUGAACUAAAACAUUCCCUCAAAUCCCAGUGGAAAUUCACACUAGAAAUUGCAGAAUUUGCUAAGGAAAAGUUUAAUUCAUUUAAUCCAUGAAUAAAAAAGUAUGUGAGAGCAUUUUAACAUCCUAAUACUUAUUAUAUUAAACUAUAAUUCUCAUUAUUUAAACUCAUGAUCCUUCACUUCAUCACCAAAUUUUGAAGACACUUUUGGCAUCUCUUCCAUGAAUUAAUUGAUGUUUAAGAAGGUAUAAUAAACUUUUAAUUGAAUUUAACAUUAUUUCUAUCCUAAUACUCAUCUUAAACUCUGUUUUUUUUUUUUUUAUACUCUUAUCAAAACAAAUAAAAACUUAACAAAAAAAUAAAGAUUUCAAUUACUCCGUGUUCAAAAGGGAAAAUGGCUAAAUGUCAUGAAAAUCAUACCUCAAUAGUUGAUUUAAAGCAUUUGAACAGAGAAACACCAAGUAGACAUGAUGGACUUGAUAAAACUUCCAAGCAUGUGCAACUGUGGACAUCUAGAACUCGUAAACUUGGUGGAAGCUCUGGAACUUGUAGAAGCCCCUGGCAGUGACUCAAUUCAAGGACUCUCAGUUUAGAAAGUUGAAUGAUGCCUGCAAGUAUGCUACUAAAACAGUCCUUGCUUAGAUUUAGACCUGAAGCGUACAAACCCUCUAAACAUUGCAAACUCCUCAGGUUCUCGGGAAAUCUCUCAAGUUUUGUACAGAAACUGACAUUUAGAAUUUUGAGCGUUUUCAACUUACAAAUGGCCUCUGGAAGACUCACAAGGUUGCUGCAAUCUGCAAGAUUCAAAUGUUGAAGCCCUCUUAGAUAUUGAAUUGAUGCUGGUAGUUCUUCUAUAGCAGUUCCAUCUAAAUGAAGCUCUCUUAUAUUUUCCACAUCCUCGAGGAUUUCCGGAAAGCUCCUUAAUCGUGAAC
rnacentral:lncRNA from 1 species